GCAGUGCCAUGCCAAUCCAUCCAUGCGAUUUUCGGUGCCAGGUAGCCUUCAUAAUUUGUUUCAAAUGUAAACAUGACAUGCACCGAGUGCUGAAAUUCGUGUGUUUAUGUGGACGCAAAAUGUAUGAACUGAUGAUAGAACACCUACGGAAUCUUGUUCAGCUGUUGUAGGCUGAUUACUACUAGUAUUUUGGUCUGCUUGUUUGUGGCAGAGCUUUACUUGAGGACAACUAGGGAUGAUAGUAUUGCAAUUUUGAUCAUGUUGUUGGUGCUACUCAGGAUAAGGGUUAUCUAUCCAAGCAGUUUUAUGUAUUUUUGGCUCGUACUCUGGUUCGUCAAUCUUAUCCAAACGAAACUGCUACCAGAUUAUAUAUGUUCAGACAAAAGAAAGCUAGUGCUAUAUUAUACUACUCCAGAAGCCAUCGUGCCAAGCUGUGGGACGACGAUCAAUUCCUCCUCGUCGGCAGAGUCGAUCGUGGGAACUUGAUGCUGGAAACUGAUGCAUUGUGUGUGUAACGUGAUGUAGUAGCAUUGCAUUUGGACAGCCGUUCUCUCUGCAUAUCAUCUACUCCCAACCGACCAACCAACCAGCGCUCCCACACCACGAUUCAAUUGGGAGCACAUGACAGGAGCCUCGACGCAGACGAGGUGGUGGUGGUGUCGCUGUAGCAGCGGAAACCCGGGCCGCGUCGGGGAGGUAGGGGGGUUCGGGAGCCCGGACACGCGGGGGCAGGGCACGGCCGGCAGCGGCUUUCCGCAAAGCUGCGCCGCUUUGCGACUCGCCCGGCUCGGUGUGGGGCGGCGGUGGCCUGCGCGGCGGCCCCGCGGGCACGUGCUGCUGGCCGGCGAGGGGCGUGGAGCGGCAGACGCGAAGCGAGGUUGUACCCGUACGGGGCGGGCAGAGCGACGCUGUCGCGGGCGCGACAUCAUCAUCGCCGCCGCCGCUGCCGCUGCCUGCCGUGGCCCGGCUCCGGACCCGGUGCGCCAUCAUUCGGCACUCCGCCCCGCUCUGCUCGCUGGCUGGGGGCAUGGGCGUACUGCUACGGCCACUGGAGGGGUGCCCUGGGCUACUUGCGUGAUAAUUGCACUGUGAGUACUGGUCUGGGCACUGGCCAGGCGGGGCUGACCGCUGCACGAGGAGUCGAGCAGACCACGGCGGGACGCCGUGCCAUGCCAUCGAUGAAGUUGCUGCACUGGGAAUCGCUGACGCUCGUGAUUUAUGAGGCGAUCGAUGAAGCCGUCCGAUCGGGCCUGCCUGGAUUCCACGAACACGAAAUGGGACAUGGGCUCCAUGUGACGUAGGCGCUACAAUUGAUACCUUUCCCCAUUUUACUUUUGCUUCGAUACACCUUUUUUUUUGCGAGGGAAAAGAUAUGCUUCGAUACACCCUACAAACACAUCAACGAUCAAGAUCGGUCUGUCCCCCCCUUCAUACUUAAACAACUAAUAACAUUAAAAAACUAUUAAGUCAAGUCUAACCCUAAUAUUUCAAAAAGGAAGUCAAGUCUAAACCCUAUUGAAAUCCGAAUGACCCGGCCUUAGAAAGUUAGCAGGUUCUAAACAUUGAUAUCCAAUCUCGAAAAAAAAAACAUUGAUAUCUUUCUGUGAAGAAGAAUACUCGGAUCGUGUAGAGCCAACCAUAGUCAGAGAUCAUCGAGAGAGUUUCAUCUUGGCAUCCACGAGUAGACUCGAGCGUGUGGCUGACAUUGUUUCAGCAGAAGCUGUUGUACUACUUUUUUUUUAAAUGGAGGAAGACCCCAGCCUCUGCAUCUGGACAAUGCAUGCAGUCACUUUAUUAAUUAUUCACACAAAAUCUUACAAGACUAAAGCCAACGUUUAGACAACAUCUGUCGCUACUCCUACGCAGCUGAUGAAGGGACACUGAUAGUCUGAGGCUAAUACCAAACAGACCUCGCAACCAAACCUAACAUCUAAAAACUGAGGUCCCAACCAGGACGCCUGCCGGGUAUGGGGCAUCCAUCAGUUCAGCGCACUCCUCAACCAGGACACCUACCUGGUAUGAGGCCACCACAGUCACCUGCCAUCACUUCAUCUUCAAUACUGUACUGUUGCAUCUACCUUGUCCUGUUUAGCUGUCGUCGACGCCACCAUCCUACACGUAUCCAUCCACACACGCCCGUCGCCGAAACUCCGCAGCGCCAUGCCGCCGGGAUCCGUCGUCGGCCUUCCGGUAAAUGAAACACUGCUCCUCCUCGUCCCUUCCAGCCAGCUCCUGCUCCAAAACGAUGCCCUCAGGAGGGAGCACGACAUCGAAGGCGAUGUCAUCUUCCGAUCCGGUAGAUCCAAAUCUAGGGUUUCCCCCGGAACAUCCCGAUCAUGUUGACGCAGUUUGCAACGACGAUGCCUUAACACGAGGCAUCGAAGACGCCGUCAUCGUCCGCCAUGACCGAAGUCGGCGCGAUUUUCAUCGGAAGUAGCGCCACCACGAUCUCGCCGCUGACUGGAUCCGAGCACACCCUCGCCAUGUAGACGUAUGGUGUCAUCGGAAAGCCGGUUGAGGACCUCCGGCCGCCCCAUCCCGGCCCAUCACGCGCCGUCGGCCGGCCAUAGCCGAAGCACGACGGAUCUGGCCGGGAUGCCAGAUCCGCAGCCACCGCCGCCACCCAACCCGGCCAGGCAAGCCAACGACUCAACCCACCGGCCAUGGGGGAAACGGCCGCCGCCCCACGCCAGGGUCGCCGCCCUGACCGCGCCGGCUGAAGACGAAGGCGCCAACGCGAGAUCGAUCCAGACGACCUGAAUCCCUCGUGCGCGACCCCGGUCAGCCACGCAGAACCUCCUCGCUGCGCUUACGAGAGGUUCACCGCCGGAUCCACCACGCCGGCUUCCGCCGCUAUGCCGCAAGCGGGCCACGCCGUCCAGGGCAAAGCGCCGCCGCGAGGAGAAGAGUGCCUUGCCGCUGGCGUCCUUCGAGGCGGGCUUCGCCCGUCGGCCUCCUCCGGCAGCGGCCAGGCCACGGGCUGCAGAUGCGAGGGACGGGGCGGUGGCGGCUAGGGUUCGCUCGUGCCGCCCCCGAAGAGCGACACGAGCGCUUGCGAUGUUAUUUUUCUCCAAUGUGACUAUUAGAAGGGCAUAAACGCAUCCAAAGCCUAGGAUGCAACAAUGUCCCGGUGAGGAUGGACAACAUCACAGUGGUGGAAGCUUUAAAGCUUAAUGAAGGUCAUUCUAUGGUGGCAGUCCCUAUCUUGAGGUUUUGCAGAGUAUUGCUUAGAGAGAUCAGGAAGGUUACUAUUGAGCAUUGUAACAGAGAGUCAAAUGUAGUUGCUCAUCAGCUAGCUCAUUGGGGGUCGUGUAAACACUCCCUCAUUGUGGGUGGAUGCACCUUCUGAUUUUAUUGCUAAAUUUUUAGCAGACGAUGUAAGAGUUAUUUGAUUUAAUAAAGCUGGCCAUCAAGGUCUUCCCAUCAAAAAAUAAUAAUCCGUAUGACCCAUUUGAAUCCAUAUGUGUUGUACAAUUAAUAUGGCUGUAUAUAUUUAUGGGCGUCAUCGCCCACUCCUCUUGCUCGCCUCAUCCUUGCCGAACAGGCGCACCCUUGGAAGAAGCGAUGAUGCCCUCCUCUCUGGCCCGUACCGGCCUCCACUCCAUCCCACGUCACCCUCUCCGCUACAUCUCGUAUCGGUCUCUACCCCAUCCCAUGCCACUUCACCAUCCCAAUCCAUGCCACCCUGUGCACCGUUUGGCACCACACCCACACCGCCAACUUAUCAGAUUAGUUUGGCGGCUGUAGCAAAUGAUUUUAGGGAACCCUAACUGCCGACCCAGUCACAAAUGGGAUGUCCCAACACGCCCCCGAAGGUAGUUCCGAAAAUCUAGAGGCACAUUCCCGACGGCCAGGAUUCGGGGCUACUUCCGGUGUAACUUCUGGCUGAGCAACAGAGCCUUUGUUGUCAACCAUAACCUUAUGAUGGAACCGAUGCCACAAUUUGAAGCUCCGAGGAGUGACCCAGAAGUUCUGUGAUAAACUUCCAAAUGAAGUAAAAAAAAUCCUUUUUGAGUUAAGGAGGGUGUGGCGGAUAGAAUUGCCCCCGGUGCCCCCACCCUAAAAAAGGACUGGAUGACCCAAGAACUAUUUGUCAACCCUUCCUAGCGGGCCCGACUUGUCAUAGACACAUCGAACGGUCAACGUAAUUAAUGAGGCCACCCAUCUUGCCACGCGGCGGCGUAACGGUUCCCUCACGCAUUUUAACGGCUUCCAAGGCACCGGGAUUCCAAGGCGCUACCAUUAAUGUCGAUCGAUGCCCACCUACCAUCUACCCCUCUCCAUAUCCUACUCUUCCCUAGGGGCCUACCAUUGCACAAUCCUCUCCGUCGCCUCAGCCUCCAGUCUCUACAGCCGUCGCAGGAUGGCGUGUAAUGACGACGGGGCCAGGUCCAGCCAAUGGGCACUAGGAGGGUUGCUGCGUAGUCUAACCGCUAGUAAGGCAUCAUAGUUAGCGGAGUACAACAUCCUGGCGUCGUCCAAGACGUUGCAACUCCCGUAGGAGUUGUUGUAUUUCCCCAAAGAGGAAGGGUGAUGUAUCACAACAGCAAAGAGUUGUUGGCGAACGCAGUAAUUUCAAAAAAAUUCCUACGCACAGGCAAGAUCCAUCUAGGUGAUGCAUAGCAACGAGGGAAAAAAAGUGUUGUCUACGUACCCUCGUAGACCGUAAGCGGAAGCGUUAUGACAACACGGCUGAUGUAGUCGAACAUCUUCAAGAUCUGACCGAUCCUAGCACCGAAGGUACGGCACCUCCGCGAUCUGCACACGUUCAACUCAGUGACGUCCCACGAACUCUAGAUCCAGCUGAGUGUCGAGGGAGAGUUUCUUCAGCACGACGACGUGAUGACGGUGAUGAUGAAGCUACCGGAACAAGGCUUCACCUAAGCACUGCAACGAUAUGACCGAGGUGGAUUAUGGUGGAGGGGGCACCGUACACGACUAAGAUAAUUGUCAACUUGUAUGUCUAUGGGGUGCCCCCUCCCCCGUAUAUAAAGGAGUGGAGGAGGGGAGGGGUUGUCCCUCUAUGGCGCGGCCAAGGGAGUCCUACUCCCACCGGCAGUAGGAUCCCCCCUUCCCUAGUUGGAUUAGGAGAGGAAGGAAGGGGGAGAGAGGGGGGAGGAAAGGGGGGGGGGGCACCCAAUUCAGAUUGGGCUUGGGGGCGCGCCCCCUCCUAGACUCCCUUCUACUCUCUCCCACUAUGGCCCAAUAAGGCCCAUAUACUUCCCGGGGGGUUCCGGUAACCUCCCGGUACUCCGGUAUAUGCCCGAACUCACCUGGAACCAUUCUGAUGUCCAAACAUAGUCAUCCAAUAUAUCGAUCUUUAUGUAUCGACCAUUUCGAGACUCCUCAUCAUGUCCAUGAUCAUAUCCGGGACUCCGAACAACCUUCGGUCCAUCAAAACACAUAAACUCAUAAUACCGAUCGUCACCGAACAUUAAGCAUGCGGACCCUACGGGUUCGAGAACUAUGUAGACAUGACCGAGACUCAUCUUUGGUCAAUAACCAAUAGCGGAACCUGGCUGCUCAUAUUGGUUCCUACAUAUUCUACGAAGAUCUUUAUCGGUCAAACCGCAUAACAACAUACGUUGUUCCCUUUGUCAUUGGUAUGUUACUUGCCCGAUAUUCGAUCGUCGGUAUCAUCAUACCUAGUUCAAUCUCGUUACCGGCAAGUCUCUUUACUCGUUACGUAAUGCUACAUCACGUAACUAACCCAUUAGUUACAUUGCUUGCAAGGCUUAUAGUGAUGUGCAUUACCGAGAGGCCCAGAGAUACCUCUUCGAUAUACGGAGUGACAAAUCCUAAUCUUGAUCUAUGCCAACUCAACAAACACCAUCGGAGACACCUGUAGAGCAUCUUUAUAGUCACCCAGUUAUGUUGUGACGUUUGAUAGCACACUAAGUGUUCCUCCAGUAUUCGGGAGUUGCAUAAUCUCAUAGUCAUAGGAACAUGUAUAAGUUAUGGAGAAAGCAAUAGUAGUAAACAAAACGAUCAUUGUGCUAAGCUAAUGGAUGGGUCAAGUCUCACAUCAUUCUCUAAUGAUGUGAUCCUGUUUAUCAAAUGACAAGUCCUUGUCCAUGGCUAGGAAACUUAACCAUCUUUGAUCAACGAGCUAGUCAAGUAGAGGCAUACUAGUGACACUCUGUUUGUCUAUGUAUUCACACAUGUACUAAGUUUCCGAUUAAUACAAUUGUAGCAUGAAUGAUAAACAUUUAUCAUGAUAUAAGGAAAUAUAAAUAACAACUUUAUUAUUGCCUCUAGGGCAUAUUUCCUUCAAAAGUAUUUCUCUUAGUUAAGAACCAAGGUUUAAUUGAACCAGUAGGAGUCUACAAGCUAACAAGAUAAGGAACACCUGCACACAAACAAAAUAAAUGCCUGCACCCAACUUGGCAGGUGGUUUUGGCAAUCCCCUCGUCUUGCUAGUUGCAAGGUUAAAAGAAAAUAAUGGAUGAUAAUAAUAUAGUGGAGCGGUAAAAUAAUGGAGAGAAAAUAAAAGAGCAAUUUUGUAAACACAAGGAUUGAUGAAAAUAGACCCAAGGGUCGUAUGCUCACUAUUGGCAUCUCUCUGGGAAGCAGGUAAUGACAUGGUAGACAAAUUACUGUUGGACAAUUGAUAGAAAAGCGACAUUCACGACUAUGAUUGUGCAUGACAUAAUCAUGUAUAGGCAUCACGUGCAUGAUAAGUAGACCGUAAUCCAACUGCAUCCAUGCUACUUCUUGAGCUUGCGUUGGUUUUUUUCCUUCAAGAGGAAAGGGUGAUGCAGCAAAGUAGAGAUAAGUAUUUCCCUCAGUUAGAGAACCAAGGUACCAAUCCGGCAGGAGACAAGACACAAAUCACCAAUACCUACACAAACAAUCAAACACUUGCACCCAACGCGAUAAAGGGGUUGUCAAUCCCUUCACGGUCACUUGCAAAGAUGAGAUCUGGUAGAGAUAGAUAAAACUAAACAAAAGAUAAAGUAAAUAUUUUUGGGGUUUUUUGGUUUAUAGAUCGGAAAGUAAAAGAUUGCAAAAUAGUAGAUCGUAAACUUAUAUGAUGGAGAAUAGACCCGGGGAACAUAGGUUUUACUAGAGGCUUCUCUCAAGAUAGCAAAUAAUACGGGGGGUGAACAAAUUAUUUUCGAGCAAUUGAUAGAAAAGCGCAAAGUUAUGACGAUAUCCAAGGCAAUGAUUAUGCAUAUAGGCAUCACGUCUGUGUCAAGUAGACCGACUCGUGCCUGCAUCUACUACUAUUACUCCACACAUCGACCGACUCCCGCGUGCAUCUAGAGUAUUAAGUUCAUGAAGAACAGAGUAACGCUUUAAGUAAGAUGACAUGAUGUAGAGGAAUAAACUCAAGCAAUAUGAUGUAAACCCCAUAUUUUUAUCCAUGAUGGCAACAAUACAAUACAUGCCUCGCCGCCCCUACUGUCACUGGGAGAGGACACCGCAAGAUUGAACCCAAAGCUAAGCACUUCUCCCAUUGCAAGAAAAACCAAUCUAGUUGGCCAAACCAAACCGAUAGUUCGAAGAGAAUUACAAAGAUAUCAAAUCAUGCAUAAAAGAAUUCAGGGAAGAUUCAAACAAUAUUCAUAGAUAAGCUGAUGAUAAAUCCACAAUUCAUCGGAUCUCGACAAACACACCACAAAAGAAGAUUACAUCGGAUAGAUCUCUGAUAACCCACAAGUAUAGGGGAUUGCAACAGUUUUCGAGGGUAGAGUAUUCAACACAAGGGGAGCCAAAAAAUAUUUGAAGGUAUUAGCAGCUGAGUUGUCAAUUCAACCACACAUGGAGAUUAAUUAUCUGUAGCAAGUAAUCAGUAGCAAAGUAAUAUGAUAGUUUUGGUAGUGGUGACAGCAUCAAUAGUAACGGUAACAGUGAUAGCAGUAGUUUUGUAGCAAGUGUAACAGUGAUGAUAGCGGUAGUAACUUAACAAAAACAAUAUAGGAUAAAUUCGUAGGCAUUGGAUUGGUGACUUGUUGGAUGAUAUUCAUCAUGAGACAGUUAUAACCUAGUGCGAUACGGCACUAGCUCCAGUUCGUCAAUAUAAUGUAGGCAUGUAUUCCAUAAAUAGUCAUACAUGCUUAUGGAAAGAACUUGCAUGACAUCUUUUGUCCUACCUCCCAUGGCAGCGGGGUCCAUAUUGGAAACUAAGGGAUAUUAAGGCCUCCUUUUAAUAGAGAACCGAAACAAAGUAUUAACACAUAGUGAAUACAUGAACUCCUCAAACUACGGUCAUCACCGAGAGUGGUCCCGAUUAUUGUCACUCCGGGGUUGUCGGAUCAUAACACAUAGUAGGUGACUAUAACUUGCAAGAUCGGAUCUAGAACAUGAAUAUAAUGGUGCUAACAUAAACGGUUCAGAUCCAAAAUCAUGGCACCCGGGCCCAAAGUGACAAGCAUCAAGCAUGGCUGAUGACCCACAAGUAUAGGGGAUCAAUUGUAGCUCUUUUCGAUAAGUAAGAGUGUCGAACCCAACGAGAAGCAGAAGGAAAUGACAAGUGGUUUUCAGUAAGGUAAUGUCUGCAAGUGCUGAAAUUGUAAGUAGCAGAGUAGUUUGAUAGCAAGAUAAUUCGUAACGAGCAAGUAACGAUAGUAGUAACAAAAGUGCAGCAAGGUAGCCUAGUCCUUUUGAGGCAAAGGACAGGCCAAAAUGGUCUCUUAUGAUAAGCAAAGCGUUCUUGAGGGUACACUGGAAUUUUGUUGGAAAUAUGCCCUAGAGGCAAUAAUAAAGUGGUUAUUAUUAUAUUUCCUUGUUCAUGAUAGUUGUCUAUUGUUUAUGCUAUAAUUGUAUUAAUCGGAAACCGUAAUACAUGUGUGAAUACAUAGAUCGUAAUAUGUCCCUAGUAAGCCUCUAGUUGACUAGCUCGUUGAUCAAUAGAUGGCCAUGGUUUCCUAACCAUGGGCAUUGGAUGUCGUUGAUAAUGGGAUCACAUCAUUAGGAUAAUGAUGUGAUGGACAAGACCCAAUCCUAACCAUAGCACAAGAUCGUGUAGUUUGUUUGCUAGAGCUUUUCUAAUGUCAAGUAUCAUUUCCUUAGACCAUGAGAUUGUGCAACUCCCGGAUACCGUAGGAGUGCUUUGGGUGUACCAAACGUCACAACGUAACUGGGUGACUAUAAAGGUGCACUACAGGUAUCUCCGAAAGUGUCUGUUCGGUUGGCACGAAUCGAGACUGGGAUUUGUCACUCUGUAUGACGGAGAGGUAUCUCUGGGCCCACUCGGUAAUGCAUCAUCAUAAUGAGCUCAAUGUGACUAAGGAGUUAGCCACGAGAUCAUGCGUUAUGGAACGAGUAAAGAGACUUGCCGGUAAUGAGAUUGAACGAGGUAUGGGGAUACCGAUGACCGAAUCUCGGGCAAGUAACAUGCCGAUGGAUAGAGGGAAUUGUAUAUGGGAUUGAAUCCUCGACAUCAUGGUUCAUCCAAUGAGAUCAUCGUGGAACAUGUCGGAGCCAACAUGGUUAUCUAGAUCCCGUUGUUGGUUAUUGGCCGGAGAGAUGUCUCGGUCAUGUCUGCAUGGUUCCCGAACCCGUAGGGUCUACACACUUAAGGUUCGGUGACGCUAGAGUUGUUAUGGGAAAUAGUAUGUGGUUACCGAAGGUUGUUCAGUCCUGGAUGAGAUCCCAGACGUCACGAGGAGUUCCGGAAUGGUCCGGAGGUGAAGGUUUAUAUAUGAUAAGUCCAGUUUCAGUCGCCGAAAUAGUUUCGGGGGUUAUCGGUAUUGUACCGGGACCACCGAAAGGUGUCCGGGGGUCCACCGGGUGGGGCCACCUGCCCCGGUGGGCCAAGUGGGCUGAACAAGGAUGGGAACCAGCCCCUAGUGUGCUGGUGUGCCCCCCAGGGCCCAAGGCACCUAGGGUUGAAACCCCUAGGGGGUGGGGGCGCCUCCCACCAAACUUGGGGGGCAAGUUCCCCCCUUGGCCGCCCCCCUCUAGAUGCAUCUAGGGNNNNNNNNNNNNNNNNNNNNNNNNNNNNNNNNNNNNNNNNNNNNNNNNNNNNNNNNNNNNNNNNNNNNNNNNNNNNNNNNNNNNNNNNNNNNNNNNNNNNNNNNNNNNNNNNNNNNNNNNNNNNNNNNNNNNNNNNNNNNNNNNNNNNNNNNNNNNNNNNNNNNNNNNNNNNNNNNNNNNNNNNNNNNNNNNNNNNNNNNNNNNNNNNNNNNNNNNNNNAGGGGGGCGGCCCCCUCUCCCUUCACCCUACAAAUAGAGGGGGGGGGGGUGGGUGGGAGGGCUGUCGCACCCCUUCCCUGGCGCAGCCCUCCCCCUCUCCAACACCUCCUCCUCCGUAGUGCUUGGCGAAGCCUUGCCGGAGAACUACAAGCUCCACCACCAUGUCGUUGUGCUACCGGAGCUCUCCCUCAACUUCUCCUCUUCUCUUGCUGGAUCAAGAAGGAGGAGACGUCCCCGGGUUGUACGUGUAUUGAACGUGGAGGCGCCGCCUGUUUGGCGCUAGAUCGGAUCUUCCACGAUUUGAAUCGCUGCGAGAACGACUCCGUCAUCCGCGUUCCUUGUAAUGCUUCUGCUCAGCGAUCUUCUAGGGUAUGAAGAUGCACUCCCUCUCUAUCGUUGCUAGGAUCUCCUAGAUUGAUCUUGGUGACACGUAGGAUUUUUUUGAAUUAUUACUACGUUCCCCAAUAGUGGCAUCAUGAGCUAGGUCUAUGCGUAGAUUCUAUGCACGAGUAGAACACAAAGUAGUUGUGGGCAAUGAUUUGUUCAAUUUUCUUACCAUUACUAGUCUUAUCUUGAUUCGGUGGCAUUGUGGGAUGAAGUGGCCCGGACCGACCUUACACAUACACUUACGUGAGACUGGUUCCACCGACUGACAUGCACUUGAUGCAUAAGGUGGCCAGCGGGUGUCUGUCUCUCCCACUUUAGUCAGAUCGGAUUCGAUGAAAAGGGUCCUUAUGAAGGGUAAAUAGAAAUUGGCAUAUCACCGUUGUGGCUUUUGCAUAGGUAAGAAACAUUCUUGCUAGAAACUCAUGACAGCCACGUAAAACAUGCAAACAACAAUUAGAGGACGUCUAACUUGUUUUUGCAGUGUAUGCUAUGUGAUGUGAUAUGGCCAAAAGGAUGUGAUGAAUGAUAUAUGUGAUGUAUGAGAUUGAUCAUGUUCUUGUAAUAGGAAUCACGACUUGCAUGUCGAUGAGUAUGACAACCGGCAAGAGCCAUAGGAGUUGUCUUAAUUUAUUGUAUGACAUGCGUGUCAAUGAAAAUGCCAUGUAAUUACUUUACUUUAUUGCUAACCAUUAGUCAUAGUAGUAGAAGUAAUAGUUGGCGAGACAACUUCAUGAAGACACGAUGAUGGAGAUCAUGAUGAUGGUGAUCAUGGUGUCAUGCCGGUGAUGAUGGUGAUCAUCCCGCGCCUCGAAGAUGGAGAUCAAAGGCGCAAGAUGAUAUUGGCCAUAUCAUGUCACUUUAUGAUUUGCAUGUGAUGUUUGUCAUGUUUACAUCUUAUUUGCUUAGAACGACAGUAGCAUAAAUAAGAUGAUCCCUCACUAAAAUUUCAAGAAAAGUGUUCCCCCUAACUGUGCACCAUUGCGAAGGUUCGUUGUUUUGAAGCACCACGUGAUGAUCGGGUGUGAUAGAUUCUAACAUUCGCAUACAACGGGUGUAAGACAGACUUACACAUGCAAAACACUUAGGUUGACUUGACGAGCCUAGCAUGUACAAAAAUGGCCUUAGAACACGAGCGACCGAAAGGUCGAACAUGAGUCGUAUAGUAGAUGCGAUCAAUAUGGAGAUGUUCACCGUUGAUGACUAGUCUGUCUCACGUGAUGAUCAGACACGACCUAGUCGAUUCGGAUCAUGUAUCACUUAGAUGACUAGAGGGAUGUCUAUCUGAGUGGGAGUUCAUUAAAUAAUUUGAUUAGAUGAACUUAAUUAUCAUGAACUUAGUCUAAAAUGUCUUUACAAUAUGACUUAUAGAUCAAAUGGCCCAUGCUAAUAUUGCCCUCAACUUCAACGCGUUCCUAGAGAAAGCCAAGCUGAAAGACGAUGGUAGCAACUAUACGGAUUGGGUCCGUAACUUGAGGAUCAUCCUCAUAGAUGCCAAGAAAGCAUAUGUCCUUGAAGCACCGCUAGGUGACACACCCAUUUUCCCAGCAACUCAAGACGUUAUGAACGCCUGGCAGUCGCGUAGUGAUGAUUACUCCCUGGUUCAGUGCGGCAUGCUUUACAGCUUAGAACCGGGGCUCCAAAAGCAUUUUGAGCAACACGGAGCAUAUGAUAUGUUCCAAGAGCUGAAAAUGGUUUUCCAAGCUCAUGCUCGGGUCGAGAGAUAUGAAGUCUCCGACAAGUUCUACAGUUGUAAGAUGGAGGAAAACAGUUAUGUCAGCGAGCAUAUACUCAAAAUGUCUGGGUUGCACAACCGCUUGUCUUAGCUGGGAGUUAAUCUUCCAGAUGACUCGGUCAUUGACAAGAUCCUCCAGUCGCUUCCACCUAGCUACAAGAGCUUUGUGAUGAACUACAAUAUGCAAGGGAUGGAGAAGUCCAUUCGUGAGUUAUAUUCAAUGCUGAAAUCAGCGGAGGUGGAAAUCAAAAAGGAACAUCAAGUGUUGAUGGUGAAUAAGACCACUAGUUUCAAGAAAGGCAAGAGUAAGAAGAACUUCAAGAAGGACGGCAAGGGAGUUGCCACACCCGGUAAAUGAGUUGCCGAGAAGGAGCCAAAGAAUGGACCCAAGCCUGAAACUUAGUGCUUUUAUUGCAAGGGAAAUGGUCACUAGAAACGGAACUACCCCAAGUACUUAGCAGAUAAGAAGGCCGGCAAUGCCAAAGGUAUAUGUGAUAUACAUGUUAUUUAUGUGUACCUUACCAGCGCUCGUAGUAGCUCCAGGGUAUUUGAUACCGGUGCGGUUGCUCAUAUUUGUAACUCAAAACAGGAGCUGCGGAAUAAGCGGAGAUUGGCGAAGGACGAGGUGACGAUGCGCGUCGGGAAUGGUUCCAAGGUCGAUGUGAUCGCCGUCGGCAUGCUACCUCUACAUUUACCUACAUGAUUAGUUUUAAAUCUCAAUAAUUGUUAUUUAGUGCCAGCUUUGAAUAUGAAUAUUGUAUCUAGAUCUUGUUUAAUGCGAGAUGGCUACUCAUUUAAAUCCGAGAAUAAUAGUUGUUCUAUUUAUAUGAGAGAUAUGUUUUAUGGUCAUGAUCCGCUGGUCAAUGGUUUAUUUUUAUUUAAUCUCGAAUGUGAUGUUACACAUAUUCAUAGUGUGAAUGCCAAAAUAUGUAAGGUUGACAAUGAUAGUCCCACAUACUUGUGGCACUGCCACCUUGGUCACAUUGGUGUCAAACGCAUGAAGAAACUCCAUGCAGAUGGACUUUUGGAGUCUCUUGAUUAUGAAUCAUUUGACACGUGCGAACCAUGCCUCAUGGGCAAAAUGACCAAGACUCCGUUCUCCCGAACAAUGGAGCCAGCAACCAACUUAUUGGAAAUCAUACAUACUGAUGUGUGCAGUCCAAUGAGCAUUGAGGCUCGCGGUGGCUAUCAUUAUGUUCUCACUCUCACUGAUGACUUAAGUAGAUAUGGGUAUGUCUACAUAAUGAAACACAAGUCUGAGACCUUUGAAAAGUUCAAGGAAUUUCAGAGUGAGGUAGAGAAUCAACGUGACAGAAAAAUAAAGUUCUUACGAUUUGAUCGUGGAGGGGAAUAUUUGAGUCACGAGUUUGGCACACACGUAAGGAAAUGUGGAAUUUUUUAACAACUCACGCCGCCUGGAACACCUCCUCGUAAUGGUGUGCCCAAACGUUUUAAUCACACUCUAUUGGAUAUGGUGCGAUCUAUGAUGUCUCUUACCAAUCAACCGCUAUCAUUUUGGGGUUAUGCUUUAGAGACUGCCGCAUUCACUUUAAAUAGGGCUCCGUCGAAAUCCGUUGAAACGACACCGCAUGAAUUAUGGUUUGGGAAGAAACCUAAGCUAUCGUUUCUGAAAGUUUGGGGAUGCGAUGCUUAUGUCAAGAAACUUCAACCUGAAAAGCUCGAACCCAAGUCGGAAAAAUGCGUCUUCAUAGGAUACCCUAAGGAAACUAUUGGCUAUACCUUCUACCUCAGAUCCAAAGGCAAGAUCUUUGUUGCCAAGAAUGGAUCCUUUCUGGAGAAAGAGUUUCUCUCGAAAGAAGUAAGUGGGAGGAAAGUAGAACUUGAUGAGGUACUGCCUCUUGAACCGGAGAGUGGCGCAGCUCAGGAAGAUGUUUCUGUGGUGCCUGCAUCGACUAGAGAGGAAGUUAAUGAUGAUGAUCAUGAAACUUCGGAUCAAGUUGCUACUGAACUCCGUAGGUCCACUAGGACACGUUCCGCACCAGAGUGGUACGGCAACCCUGUCCUGGAAAUCAUGUUGUUAGACAACAGUGAACCUUCGAACUAUGAAGAAGCAAUGGCGGGCCCAAAUUCCAACAAAUGGCUUGAAGCCAUGAAAUCCGAGAUAGGAUCCAUGUAUGAAAAUGAAGUAUGGACUUUGACAGACUUGCCCGAUGAUCGACAAGCCAUAGAGAAUAAAUGGAUCUUUAAGAAGAAGACUGACGCGGAUGGUAAUGUGACCGUCUAUAUGGCUCGGCUUGUUGCUAAGGGUUAUCGACAAGUUCAAGGGGUUGACUAUGAUGAGACAUUCUCACCCGUAGCAAAGCUGAAGUUCGUCCAAAUCAUGUUAGCAGUUGCUGCAUUCUACGAUUAUGAGAUAUGGCAAAUGGACGUCAAAACGGCAUUCCUUAAUGGUUUCCUUAAGGAAGAAUUGUAUAUGAUGCAGCCAGAAGGUUUUGUCGAUCCUAAGAAUGCUGACAAGGUAUGCAAGCUCCAACUCUCCAUCUAUGGGUUGGUGCAAGCAUCUCCGAGUUGGAACAUUCACUUUCAUGAAAUGAUCAAAGCGUUUGGGUUUAUACAGACUUAUGGAGAAGCCUGUGUUUACAAGAAAGUGAGUGGGAGCUCUGUAGCAUUUCUCAUAUUAUAUAUGGAUGACAUACUCUUGAUGGGAAAUGAUAUAGAACUUUUGGAAAGCAUAAAGGCCUACUUGAAUAAGUGUUUUUCAAUGAAGGACCUUGGAGAAGCUACUUACAUAUUAGGCAUCAGGAUCUAUAGAGAUAGAUCGAGAUGCCUCAUUGGUCUUUUGCAAAGCACGUACCUUGACAAGAUAUUGAAGAAGUUCAAUAUGGAUCAGUCCAAGAAAGGGUUCUUGCUUGUAUUGAAAGGUGUGAGAUUGAGCACAGCUCAAUGCUCGACCUCGGCAGAAGAUAGAGAAAAGAUGAGUGUCAUCCCCUAUGCCUCAGCCAUAGGGUCUAUUAUGUAUGCCAUACUGUGUACCAGACCUGAUGUGAACCUUGCCGUAAGUUUGGUAGGGAGGUACCAAAGUGAACCCGGUAUGGAACACUGGACAGCAGUCAAGAAUAUCCUGAAGUACCUGAAAAGGCCUAAGGAUAUGUUUCCCGUUUAUGGAGGUGACGAAGAGCUCAUAGUAAAGGGUUACGUCGAUGCUAGCUUCGACAUAGAUCUGGCUGACUCCAAGUCACAAACUAGAUAUGUGUACAUUUUGAAUGGUUGGGCAGUCAGCUGGUGCAGUUGCAAGCAAAGCAUCGUGGCGGGAUCUACAUGUGAAGCAGAGUACAUAGCUGCCUCGGAGGAAGCACAGGAAGCAGUCUGGAUGAAGGAGUUCAUCACUGACCUAGGUGUUAUUCCAAAUGUGUCGGGCCCGAUGACUCUCUUCUGUGACAACACUGGAGCUAUUGCUCUUGCCAAGGAGCCCAGGUUUCACAAGAAGACCAUGCAUAUCAAGUGUCGCUUCAACUCCAUUAGUGAAUAUAUUCAAGAUGGAGACAUAGAUAUUUGUAAAGUGCAUACGGAUCUGAAUGUCGCACAUCCGUUGACUAAACCUCUUCCACGAGCAAAACAUGAUCAACACUAGAACUCUAUGGGUGUUCGAUUCAUCACAAUGUAACUACAUUAUUGACUCUAGUGCAAGUGGGAGACUGUCGGAAAUAUGCCCUAGAGGCAAUAAUAAAGUGGUUAUUAUUAUAUUUCCUUGUUCAUGAUAAUUGUCUAUUGUUCAUGCUAUAAUUGUAUUAGCUGGAAACCGUAAUACAUGUGUGAUACAUAGAUCGUAAUAUGUCCCUAGUAAGCCUCUAGUUGACUAGCUCGUUGAUCAAUAGAUGGUCAUGGUUUCCUGACCAAGGGCAUUGGAUGUCGUUGAUAAUGGGAUCACAUCAUUAGGAGAAUGAUGUGAUGGACAAGACCCAAUCCUAAGCAUAGCAGAAGAUCGUGUAGUUUGUUUGCUAGAGCUUUUCUAAUGUCAAGUAUCAUUUCCUUAGACCAUGCGAUUGUGCAACUCCUGGAUACCGUAGGAAUGAUUUGGGUGUACCAAAAGUCACAACGUAACAGGGCGACUAUAAAGGUGCACCACAGGUAUCUCCGAAAGUGUCUGUUGGUUGGCACGAAUCGAGACUGGGAUUUGUCACUCUGUAUGAUGGAGAGGUAUCUCUGGGCCCACUCGGUAAUGCAUCAUCAUAAUGAGCUCAAUGUGACUAAGGAGUUAGCCACGGGAUCAUGCGUUACAGAACAAGUAAAGAGACUUGCCGGUAACGAGACUGAACGAGGUAUGGGGAUACCGACGAUCGAAUCUUGGGCAAGUAACAUGCCGAUGGACAAAGGGAAUUGUAUACGGGAUUGAUUGAAUCCCCGACAUUGUGGUUCAUCUGAUGAGAUAAUCAUGGAACAUGUGGGAUCCAACAUGGGUAUCCAGAUCCCUCUAUUGGUUAUUGGCCGGAGAGAUGUCUCGGUCAUGUCUGCAUGGUUCCCAAACCCGUAGGGUCUACACACUUAAGGUUCGGUGACGCUAGAGUUGUUAUGGGAAAUAGUAUGUGGUUACCGAAGGUUGUUCGGAUUCCUGGAUGUGAUCUCGGACCUCAUGAGGAGUUCCGGAAUGGUCCGGAGGUGAAGAUCUAUAUAUGGGAAGUCUAGUUUCAGUCACCGGAAUAGUUUCGCGGGUUAUUGGUAUUGUACCAGGACCACUGAAAGGUGUCCGGGGGUCCACCGGGUGGGGCCACCUACCCCGAUGGGCCAAGUGGGUUGAAAAAGGGUGGGAACCAGCCCCUAGUGGGCUGGUGCGCCCCCCAAGGGCCGCAAGGCGCCUAGGAUUGAAAACCCUAGGGGGUGGGGGCGCCUCCCACCAAACUUGGGGGGCAAGUUCCCCACUUGGCCGCCCCCUCUAGAUGCAUCUAGAGGGGGCCUCUCCCUUCACCCUAUAAAUAGAGGGGGGUGGGAGGGCUUCCGCACCCCUUCCCUGGCACAGCCCUCCCCCUCUCCAACACCUCCUCCUCCUCCGUAGUGCUUGGCGAAGCCCUGCCGGAGAACUGCAAGCUCCACCACCACGUCGUCGUGCUGCCAGAGUUCUCCCUCAAAUUCUCCUCUUCCCUUGCUAGAUCAAGAAGGAGGAUACGUCACCAGGCUGUACGUGUGUUGAAAACGGAGGCACCAUCUGUUCAGCGCUAGAUCGUAUCUUCCGUGAUUUGAAUCGCCGCUAGUACGACUGCAUCAUCUGUGUUCCUUGUAACACUUUUGUUUAGCGAUCUUCAAGGGUAUGAAGAUGCACUCCCUCUCUCUCCCUCGUUGCUAGCAUCUCCAAGAUUGAUCUUGGUGAAACGUAGGAAUUUUUUUGAAUUAUUACUACGUUCCCCAACAAAUUUCAUCGAGUCACUUUCAUCAUGUUGUUUUAAUUCUUGUUCGGUACUUUGAUAAUUUGAUAUGUGGGUGGACCGGUGCUUAGGUGCUGUUCUUACUUGAACAAACCUCCUACUUAUGACUAACCCUCUCGCAAGCAUCCACAACUACAAGAAAAGUAUUAAGAAUACAUUCUAACCAUAGCGUUAAACUUUUGGAUCCAAUCGGUCCCUUACGGAAUAGCGCAUAAACUGGGGUUUAAGCUUCUGUCACUCUCGCAACCCAUCAUCUAAUUGCUACUCCACAAUGCAUUCCCUUAGGCCCAAAUAUGGUGAAGUGUCAUGUAGUCGACGUUCACAUGACACCACUAAGGAAUCACAACAUACAUACUAUCAAAAUAUCGAACACAUAUCAAAUUCACAUGACACCACUAAGGGAAUCACAACAUACAUACUAUCAAAAUAUCGAACACAUAUCAAAUUCACAUGAUUACUUGCAACAUGAUUUCUCCCGUGACCUCAAGAACAAAGGUAACUACUCACAAAUGAUAAACAUGCUCAUGAUCAGAGGGGUAUUAAAUAGCAUAUUGGAUCUGAACAUAUAAUCUUCCACCAAAUAAACCAUAUAGUAAUCAACUACAAGAUGUAAUCAACACUACUAGUCACCCACAAGCACCAAUCUAUAGUUCCGGUAACAAGAUUGAACACAAGAGAUGAACUAGAGUUUGAGAGGAGGCGAUGUUGUUGAAGAUGUUGAUGGAGAUUGCCCUCCCCAAUAUGGGAGAGUUGUUGGUGAUGAUGAUGACGAUGAUUUCCCCUCCGGGAGGGAAAAUCCCCUGACGGAAUCGCUCCGCCGGAGCGCAAAAGUGCUCCUGCCCAAGUUCCGCCUCGAGGCGGCGGCGCUUCGUCUUGAAAGUCCUCCACUUAUUUUUUCUAGGUCAAAACGACCUAUAUACCAGAAGAUGGGCAUCGGAGGUGGGCCUAGGUGAGCACAACCCACCAGGGUGCGCCUGGGCUCCCUGGCAUGCCCAGGUGUGUUGUGCCCACCUGGUGGGCCCCUCCGGUACUUAUUGGCUCCAAUAUUCCUCAUAUAUUCCAUAAAAAAUCCUCGUGAAGCUUCAACUCAUUUGGAGUUGUGCAGAAUAGGUAACCUGAUGUAGCUUUUUUAGGUCUAGAUUUCCAGCUGCUGGAAUUCUCCCUCUUGGUGUGUACCUUGCAAAUUAUGAGGGAAAAGUCAAUAGAUUUGCUCCAAAAAGCAUUAUUAUGGAUUAAAACAUCAUAAAUAACAGUAAGAAAACAUGAUGCAAAAUGGACGUAUCAACUCCCCCAAGCAUAGACCUCGCUUGUCCUCAAGCAAAAGCUGAAAUCGAAAAACAUGUCCACAUGCUUUGAGAGAGAGGUGUUGAUAAAAACAAAAUACGGACAUAGAAGCAUUGAUAACCCACAAGUAUAGGGGAUCGCAACAGUUUUUGAGGGUAGAGUAUUCAACCCAAAUUUAUUGAUUCGACACAAGGGGAGCCAAAGAAUAGUCUCAAGUAUUACCAGCUGAGUUGUCAAUUCAACCACACCUGGAAACUUAAUAUCUGCAACAAAGUAUAAUAUGAUAGUAGUGGUAACGGUAGCAAAAGUAAUGGUAGCAAAAGUAAUAUUUUUGGGUUUUAUAGUGAUGGUAACAGUAGCAACGAAAAAGUAAAUAAGCGAAGAACAAUAUGUGAAAAGCUCGUAGGCAUUGGAUCGGUGAUGGAGAAUUAUGUUAGAUGCGAUUAUUCAUGCAACAGUUAUAACAUAGGGUGACACAGAACUAGCUCCAAUUCAUCAAUAUAAUGUAAGGACCCCGAUUCCAAGUCACAUCGAUCUAGCCGGUAACACCUCAUAUCACUUUGCGGCCUCACGCACGGUAUCCCUCGGGUGUCGCCUUACCAUGGCCCGGGACCGUUUGCGCCUUUUGGCUCACGUAUAUGAUAGUGUCGCUAGCAUCCAUAUGACAGAGAACCCGGGCCGACAUGGCUAGUCGUGAACCCAAAGCGGCACAGACCUAUGGAGACAGGCAUACAUGAAUCACAUCGAACAUGUCGGUCAUCAAUGAGUGAUUCCGGGCUAUAGCACUGGGCUAACAGGACUCCGUGGAACCCCGGGCUGUAGCAGGCUAGGCAGGACUCCGGAAGUCACCGUGUGACAUUUCCCCGAAGGGACAGACAUAGGGACGAAGUGAAACACAUGCCGGCCAGUCAAGUGUCCUGAACAGUAGUGCUGGGCUAGCAGGACUCCGGUGAACCGGGCUGUAGCGGACUACUAUGGCUCGAGGAACACUAGACUACAUUUCCCCAUAAGAAAGGCUGCCAAGGAUAAACAACUAGAUUGUCGGAUCCCACUCAUACCAAGCAUUUCAAUCAUACACACAAUAUGCCCGAUAUGAGUACAUACAACAUGGCAUCACAACAAAACUCUACAACUCAAGUACUUUAUUUAAAGGCUCCAGAGAGCCAUAUAUAACAUGUUCAUACAGAUAGGGGUCACACGACCCAACACUCAAGUCAUACAAACAUACAAGCACAUGCGGAAGCAACUAGUCUGAGUACAGACUCUAGAAAGAAAGAAGGCUUCUCGAAGCCUGUCUAACUACAUAGGGCCCUCCAUGGCCAGGAUCACCACCUGUGUGGCUAGUCACUCGUCGACGUCAAGGUCUACAUAGAACCCAUCGGGGUGGGAGGUGUUGUCGUCUGGAAACAAUAAAUAAACAAACAUGAGUACAAAGGUACUCAACAAGUCUUACAUCAGAACCUACUAUACAUGCUUAUUCUCAAGAAGGUGGUGGGGUUAAUGCAGCAAGCUAGCUUUGACUCUUGGCUAAGCUAUCCUACGGGACUCCACCAGUAAAAUAGUUUUCGCACACGAGUCCACUACUCACCAACACAAUACUCCACCGAGGAUCCUCCCUCAUCAUCCUACGAGAGGGCCAUCCUCGAUACUCACACUAUUCUUGAGUCUUUUAGUAGUGUCCAUUAAGUUGUCUAUGAACUGUAUAGGCAACCAAGUAGUCCUUUACCGCGGACGCGGCUAUUCGAAUAGUUUUAUACCCUACAGGGGUGUACUUCGUCACACACGCUUUCACCACUUACCGCCGCUUACACGACAUGUACUCGACAACCUUCAAGCGGAAGCCCAGCGAGGGUGUUGGCCACGGCCUACCUAAACACUUUAGUCUCUAGUCCAGGUUUAUCGCCUAUCCAGGUUCCAUCCGCAGGGAGUCCGGCCGAGGUUUCCACAUACGGCCCCGAACAAUGUGAACAGGGUUCCCGGGACACCAAACGGGUGACUCGGUACACUGUGCCACGGUGUAUCUACCGCAACAUAGCCCACCCCUAGGGUCAGCGCUACGCACGGCCGCCAACACAUAACCUACAAACACCAGAAACUAUUUGCAACUCCUGGACAGAGUACUAGGGUGGUUAAGAAGCCGAGAGGGUCAAUUAAGGAUCCCAAUGCAUGGUAGUAGCUGAAUCUUAAAUCACACAUACAUAUCUCAGUUCCUAGGGACGGCCUCAAUGAAACAACCCACCAUGUACUCCUACAUGGCCUCUCAUCGAUACCUUUACCAAAACAUGUUCAACACAUCCCUCACAUUACCGACAUAAACAUUUCACUCUAGCCCAUCACCCAGAUGAACCAGACCUGACACAACUCUAAGCAUAGCAGGCAUAGCAAGGUAGGAAUCACAUACAUGGCUCAAUCAAAUCCUACACAUGCUAGUGGGUUUCAUCUAGUUACUGUCGCAAUGACAGGUCAUGCAGAGGAUAAGGGUUCAACUACCGUAGCACACAGCAGUUUGAAUCGCGUUGUCUUAAUAUAGUAAACAAGAGCAAAAGCAAGAACAUGGGUUUGUAUCGGAAUGAUCAAUGGUUGCUUUCCUGAUGGAGUGGUAGCGGGAUACUGCCCUUCAGUUGGAUACUCGUGAAUAUCCUCGGAGGCAGAACCUACCACGGAGAACACAUCGGAACACAAUCAACACAUGACGAUAUGCAACAAUAUGAUGCGUGCUAUGACAUGGCAAUAUGAUUGUGUCUUGGCCUAAUGCAAGUUAUAUUAGAAAGGAAUGAACUCAUUUGAAUCAAAGAUUCAAAUAUUAGCUCAUUAAACAUGGCCUUGAUAGUGCAUUUCCUUAUUCUGCUUAAACAGCAAGGUAAACUUGUUUUGUCAUGCAUGAAACCAUUACAGGUGGAUAGAUUGAAUUUUUCUGAUAAUUUUUCAUAUAUAAUUUAUCCCAUUUGGAGCUAUGGUUGAAUUUCUAUGAAUUUUUGAAGUUUGAACUAUUUUCUGGAAUUUCCUGUAUAAUAAUAAAUCCAGAAAAUGCAUUACUGCGUCAGCAUUGCGUCAGAGUGACGUCAGCAGGUCAAAGGCGCCAGCCCAGGUCAAACCUGACUGGUGGGCCCCUUCUGUCAGUCUCUCAGCUAAUUAGCAAAAUUAGAUUAACACUAAUUAGUUGUCAGUGGGGCCUGGGCCCACAUGUCAGUGACUGAUUUAAUUAAAAUUAAUUAAGAUUAAUCCUAAUUUAGUUAGCCAACCGGCCCCACCUGUCAUAGACUCAGGGGGGGUCUUCCUGGGCCCACCCAGGGGUCAAACUGGGUCAACUCGCCGGCGGCUCGACGCCGGCGAAGCCCGAGACGGCGGAGGGCUUCGGAUUUGGUCCUUCGGUGACCAAAUCGACGGCGGAGAUGUGCUACGCGUAGCUGGGGCUCGUGCGCAUCUAGUGGGGCAAUGGGAGGAGCUGGGGUGGAGCGAGCUCGCCGGAAUCGAGCUCGUGGCGGCGGCCGGAGUUCGGGCGAGGUCGGAAUCGACGCUACGGUGCACGGGAGGGAGAACUGGGGGUGGCUACAGGUUCCUGGUGCUGCACUGAGCACGGUGAGGCGCUCGGACGCGUGCUUACACGGCCGUAGGCACGACGGCGACAUGGCCGGUGGCGAGGAGCGCUCGGGCUCGGAGGGAGCGGUGGCUACGAGGCGUAAUCGAGCACGGGAACUAGGGGGAAAGGAAGAGGGGCUCACAGCGGAGUCGGAGAGGGGGUCAGCGGGCUCGGGGAGGUCCUGGCAGCGGCGAAUUCGACCGGAGAUGGCUCGGGUGCCCGAGGUUGAAGACGAAGGCGAAGGCGGCGAUGCAGGGCCUCCGGCGAUGCGUGGCUCGGUGGGGAGGACGAGGGAGUCGAGGCGGAGCUAAUGGGCUCGUCGGAGGGGUGCGGGGGUGUCUGUGGUGGCAACUACGGCGAUCGGCGGCGAGGUACUCGCUCGGCCGUCGCGGGAGAGAGAGAGGGAGACGAGGGGGAGAGUGAGCGAGUGCGAGAGGGAGACGUGGGGGUCGCGUGGCACUUCAGGGCGUCUCCCGGGCGUCGGCGGAAGCAGGAGGUGGCCGGCGUGUGGCCGCGGGCGCCGGCCACGCCCUUCGCAUCCUUCUGGCGCGAGGAGGACGACGACUGGCAGCGCCAGCAGGCUGGGCCGAGCCAGGUGGCUGGGCCAACAUAGGUAAGGCCCAGGUGGGCUUUCUUCUCUCUCUUUUUUUUUGAUUUUUGUUUCUGUUUUCUAUUAAACUGCAACUGUUUAGCUUUAGAUAAAAUACUAAAACGUUUCCAAAAAUCCUGAAAAUAAAUGUGGCCUCUGUUUAGAUUAUUUCCAACAGGAAACAUUUAUUCCCAGAAUUAUUUGAGCAUUUGGAUUAUUUUAUAGCAUUUAAAUGCCCAAAUUCAAAUACUUAUGAUUUAAUUCAAUGACCUUCUGUUGACCUAGAAAAUUGUGCACCAAUUUUGCCAGAGGUUCUAACCUAAGACAAAGAGGGUGAACUUUUUAGAAGGGCAUUUCAGGUUCAUUGAAAAUAUUUUUAGUAAACCCUAGUUGUUUCCAGGGGGGUGUUGGGGGUUUCUGCCUUCCCCAUUUCAAAUUUAAAAGAAAUUUAAACAUGAUGCACAUUCUAAUGCUGGAACUAGCUAGGGUGUGACAACUCACCCCCACUCAAAAGAAUCUCGUCCCGAGAUUUAGGAUCCUCUAGAAGAAGGUGGGGUACUCGAGUCGAAGACGAUCCUCCCUUUCCCAAGUGGCUUCUUCCUUAGAAUGGUGUGACCAUUGAACCUUGAGAAACUUGAUAUUAUGACAUCGAGUGGUACGCUCGGCUUGAUCAAGGAUAUGAACGGGAUAUUCCCGAUAAGAGAUGUUAUCUUGUAGAUCAAGCGUUUCAUGGUCCACUCCACGGAUAGGAUCCGCGAAGCAACGCCUGAGUUGUGAAACGUGGAAGACAUCGUGAACUCUGGAAAGAUGCGGAGGUAGUUCCAAUUGGUAGGCCACUUCUCCUCGUUUGGCAAGAAUGCAAAAGGGUCCAAUGUAACGAGGGGCCAAUUUGCCUUUGAUACCGAAAUGAUGGGUUCCCUUUAACGGAGUAACCCGAAGGUAAGCCUUCUCGUCGACUUCAUAAGUCAUAGGCUUAUGUUUAUGAUCAUAUUGACUCUUUUGGCAAGAUUGGGCUGUUCUCAAUUUCUCACGAAUAACGCGAACUUGCUCUUCUGCUUCUUGAAUCAUAUCCGGGCCAAAGAGUUGUCUUUCCCCGGUUUCUGACCAGUUGAGAGGCGUUCGACAUUUUCGUCCAUAGAGAACUUCGAAUGGAGCUUUCCCCAAACUAGCUUGAUAACUAUUGUUAUAAGCAAACUCUGCGAAUGGAAGGCAUUUCUCCCAACUUAUUCCGAACGAGAUGACAGAAGCUCGGAGCAUAUCUUCCAUAAUUUGAUUGACUCGCUCUACUUGACCACUUGAUUGAGGAUGGAAGGCAGUGCUAAAGGAGAGACGAGUUCCCAUAGCAUUUUGGAAACUUUCCCAAAAUCGAGAGGUGAAGAGACUCCCACGGUCUGAGUUAAUUUCCAAUGGAACACCAUGAAGAGACACCAUUCGGGAGAUGUAUAGAUCAGCUAGCUGGCUAGCAGUGAUACUCUCACGAACAGGUAGAAAGUGGGCUACUUUGGAAAGUCGGUCGAUCACAACGAAGAUGGCAUUAUUCCCUCUCUUGGUCCUGGGAAACCCAGUGAUGAAAUCCAUACUGAUUUUAUCCCAUUUCCAUUCAGGAAUAGCCAAAGGUUGAAGGGUGCCAGCAGGCCGUUGAUGCUCUGCUUUAACACGACGACAAACAUCGCAAUUAGCAAUGUAUUGAGCGAUUUCUCUCUUCAUCCUAGUCCACCAAAACCUCUGGCGUAGGUCUUGAUACAUUUUGGUACUACCGGGAUGAAUGGUGAUAGGGGAUUCAUGAGCUUCCUUAAGGAUCAAUUGGCGUAGAUGUUGUUUCUUGGGAACCACCAAACGGUUCUCGAAAAAGACAGCACCUCGCUCAUCCAUGGAGAAACAUUUAGCAACUCCGCUAGCGAUGUUUUCCUUAAUCCGGGAUAUGCCCUUAUCAUACCGCUGGGCGGUUAUGAUCUGAUCCAUAAGGUUAGGUUUCGCCACCAGGGUGGAUAGGAAUCCUCGAGGAACAAUGUGAAGAUUAAGCUUACGGAAUUCCUCAUGGAGAAGUGGUUGACUUUGUUGUAACAUCAGGUUGUUACAAUAGGACUUACGGCUUAGUGCAUCAGCCAUGACAUUGGCUUUGCCUGGGGUGUAAGUUAUUCCUAAGUCGUAAUCCGAGAUCAACUCGACCCAACGUCUUUGCCUGAGAUUCAAAUCUGGUUGGGUGAAGAUAUAUUUCAAACUUUGGUGAUCGGUGAAGAUCUCGCAAUGAUUACCGAGAAGGUAAUGUCGCCAGGUUUUAAGUGCAUGGACUACAGCUGCAAGCUCUAGAUCAUGUGUGGGAUAGUUUUCCUCAUGUGGGUGUAAUUGCCGUGAAGCAUAGGCAAUUACCUGACGAUCUUGCAUGAGUAUGCAACCUAGUCCUUGUCGCGAGGCGUCGCAAUAGAUAAUAAAGUCCUUGGAGAAAUCUGGUGGUACCCGUACGGGAGCAGAUGUCAGGCGUCUUUUCAGUUCCUGAAAGCUGAACUCGCACUGUGGAGUCCACUCGAACUUUUUAUCUUUCUUGAGGAGUUCAGUUAGAGGUUUAGCAACCUUGGAGAAAUUUUCGACGAAGCGGCGGCAAUAGCUCGCUAAGCCAAGGAAGCUCCGAACUUGCUUAACCGUCUUAGGUGGAGUCCAAUCAAGGACGGCUUGAACUCGCUCGGGAUUGACAGCAAUACCCUUACCAGAAAUGACAUGGCCUAGAUAGGUCACUUCUGGCAACCAAAAUUCACACUUGGAGAAUUUGGCAUAAAGGCGAUGCUCUCGAAGUUUCAUCAAUACCAGCCUUAGAUGUUCGGCAUGUUCCUCUUCAUUCUUGGAGUAGAUGAGUAUGUCAUCGAGGUAUACUACGACAAAUUUGUCCAAGUACUCCAUGAAAACCGAGUUCAUUAACCGGGAAAAGGUGGCUGGGGCAUUGGUUAAACCGAAGGACAUCACGGUGUACUCGUAUUGGCCAUAACGAGUAACAUAGGCCGUUUUGGGUAUGUCCCCGUUUCUGAUUUUGAUUUGAUGGUAGCCCAACCUCAAAUCCAUCUUGCAAAAGACUGAAGAUCCAGCGAGCUGAUCAUACAGAUCGUUGAUCCUGGGAAGCGGAUAUUUGUUCUUGAUGGUGACCAAAUUGACAGGUCGGUAAUCCACAACCAUUCGAUCCGUUCCAUCCUUCUUCUUGACAAAGAGGACGGGGCAAGCCCAAGGAGAGGAACUAGGAUGGAUGAAACCCUUUUUCAAGGACUCAUCGAGUUGAUUCUUAAGCUCGGUUAGUUCUAAGGGUGCCAUCUUGUAGGGUCUUCUAGAGAUUGGAACGGUUCCUGGAACAAGGUCUAUUACGAACUCAACAUCCCUGUCAGGUGGAACACCUGGCAGUUCCUCUAGAAAGACAUCCGGAAAGUCUCGGGCUACCGGAACAUCCUCAAGGUCUGGACGAGGGUGGGCAUUUAGAGAGUAAAGCUGGCGCUUGGCCACUCGAGUUAAGACAUUGACUGUCUUGCCCGAUGGGUGAGUAAGUUGAACGGUUCUAGUGGCACAAUCGAUCUUAGCAUAAUGAGCUGACAUCCAGUCCAUAUCCAAGAUGAUAUUUAUGUCGGAGGACUUGAGAGCUAUUAAGGAUGCAAGGAAGACAAGUCUGUCGACAAGAAUUUCAUUCCCAUGGCUUACUCUAGAAGUUUGCCAUUUGGAGCCCGGGGUCUGAAUUACCAUGGAAGUGGGCAUGUCACAGAAUGACGUGUUAUGCAAUCGAGCAUAGCUUUCGGAUAUGAAUGAAUGAGAUGCUCCAGUAUUGAAAAGAACAGAUGCCGGAUGGCAGUUAACAAGGAGCGUACCAAGGACGACGUUGGGAUCCUCAUGAGCCUCCUCGGCUGAAACAUAGUUGACAUGGCCACGUGCAGUGGUGGCCGGCUUGGUGUAGAAUGUUUUUCCCGCGGGCUUACCACGGCCAACGGAUUUUCCAGUUUGAUUGGGGUUGUUGUUCUGGGGACACUAUCGGCUAUAGUGACCCGGCUCUCCGCACUUAAAGCAUGUCACCACAUUGGGGCGUGGAGUAGCAUUAGAAGCGGGGCCACCAUAGGGCUUGGGCGGUGCAAAUUGCUGGUUGGGACGAGGCGCCUCAAAGGAUGGCCUCGGGAUGAACCUGGGUGGCAGUGCCGUGCUUGGGAUCCACACCCGGCGCUUCUGAGCUCCAGAGCCGGAUGAAGAGCCAAAAUCACGGAAGUGCUUGCGUGAAGCGUCAUAAUCAGUCUGGCUUGUCUCAGCGCUGAUGGCUUUAUUGACCAGCUUCUGAAAGGAUGUGCACUCGUGCAGACAGAGAUCACGGCGAAGCUCAGGGCUAAGUCCCUUGCGGAACCUUGCCUGCUUCUUAGCGUCAGUAGAAACCUCUUCAAGAGCAUAGCGUGCCAGAUUCCCAAAUUCACGACUAUAAGCAUCCACAAUCAGUCUUCCUUGGGUGAAGUUGCAGAACUCCUCGCUCUUGCGAUCCAUGAGACCUUCCGGAAUGUGAUGCUCACGGAAAGCCUCACUGAAUUCUGCCCAAGAAGUGAUUUGGCCGACCGGGCGCAUAGGUUCGAAGUUUUCCCACCAAAGGCUAGCAGGGCCUUCGAGAUGAUAGGCAGCAUAGGUAACCUUGUCGGCUUCGGCUACGUUGGCAGAACGUAGCUUGUGGGUGAUUCUGCGAAGCCAGUCAUCCGCGUCGAGGGGCUCGAUGGAGUGAUUAAACUUUGGCGGGUAUAGCUUGAUAAAGUCAUUGAUUGACACCAAGUCAUUUCGCGGGUGGCGUGCAGUGUUCUGCUCAAUCCGCUCUAGCAGGCGGUUAGUCUCACGCUUGUUUCUUUCCGCCUCCAACAUUACCUCGGCCAGAGAAGGUGGGUGAGGCAGAUCUUCACCCCUAGCUGCACUGGCUUCCCCCUGCUCCGAGGCAGCAGGGUUGCUGCGGGUGUUGACCAUCCUAGGAGAAAACAAGACAAUGGUUUAGAUAAGGAUGGCUCAAACUUAGCAAGGAGGUGCAGAAUGUAAUGUAUAACACGGAAUGCAGAGAUGUUCAUCCGUAUGUCAUGGUAAUAUAAAACUGCCAUAUAUAUACCAACGAUCAUACACAUCAUACAUAGUUUAGUACAAGCCCAGGCUACAGUACAACUAUGAUGAAGGACAUUACAUCUCAUCGGAGGCAUUCCAAGCUCCUAUACAUUAUUUGUCUACACCUCCGGAAUUGAUUACACACAAAGUCAUAUCCCACAAGUCACGCAGGACACUGGAGAUACAACUACUACAAUACUAGUGGUACUACUACUAACUCAGACAGCUCCGUAAUAGUUCUCAUAGAAGUCACCCCAUAGCCUGGAAGUUCAACAUGACCAUCCGGGAACAGACAGUCCCGAGGAGCCUGUGGACCAUAGGGGCUAGGAUGAGGUCUUGGACCAACAAACGGUGGCCUGCGGGGAACACGGGGUGGGGUGAUGCCUCCCACAUCACGCCAAUCCACCAUGUCUGGCAGAGCUGAUCUCACAGGAUACAGAUCCCUUGUAUCCAUACAUCCAGCUUGCACCGCAGGUGCAAACCGAGUCAAUGUGGCCCAAUGAUCAGCACGGGUAUUGAAAAGCUCCAAUCUCAAGGCCCGAUUCUCUCGGUCCUUAUCUUCGAGCAUCUCGGCAGUGGUAUGAGUUAAUGAAUCCUCCUGAGUGGAGUAAGCAUAGAUAGCCUGAAGACACCCUUGCGCUCCCCGGAGUGAAGCUGUCAUGUAACGGAAAUCAGUGUUCCGAAGCAGGCCAGUCCGGACUCGCAAGAUGGUCAUCAUGGAAUAGGCAGCAUCCUGCACAGCCAUCUCAACAGUAACCCCGAGUCCAUAGGAACAGUGAAGGGGCUCGGUAGAUCCAGGAUAAGAAGGAAAUAUCCUGACGGUGCAGAGAUAUUGACUUUGAUUAAAGUCGCGGAACUGCUCUUCGAUGGUGUAUUCGGGAUACCAACGAUAGCCCGUCUAGAUCAUUACCCGGACUAACAUAGCAGUAUGACCGGGCACGUCGAGGCACCGGGUCAGGCGAACCACUUGAUUUUGAACAUGGUUGGCCAUCUGAAAGCACAACCACAAUGCAAAGGCAUCAGAAUUUCUAGGGAAAAUUGGACAGCAUAAAAGCUGUAAAUGCUCAGAAAAAGAUUUGAGUCAUCCACAACAGUUCGCAAUACCACUCAACAACAUCAUAUCAAGAUUCUGAUCCAAUUAGCAACAUACUAAAGUAGUAGAACUAAAUUGGGGCUUGUAACAACAAUCCUAUAAGCUACUAUGGAUUAGUAACACGUGAACCUGAUAGAAGAAGAGAGCCUAGUCCUUAACCCACGUUGAAUGAGAAGAGAAUGACUCAGAUCGGAGGCAUAGGUAAAGGAGUAAAAGAACCUUACGUUCCCUCCCACAAUCAAUUCCCCUACAUAUAACUAGAGCAUUUCUAGACUCGACAUCAACCAGUUUGGCUCAACGAACCUACAGGCAGUCCGGCUCUGAUACCAACGCUGUCAGGACCCCGAUUCCAAGUCACAUCGAUCUAGCCGGUAACACCUCAUAUCACUUUGCGGCCUCACGCACGGUAUCCCUCGGGUGUCGCCUUACCAUGGCCCGGGACCGUUUGCGCCUUUUGGCUCACGUAUAUGAUAGUGUCGCUAGCAUCCAUAUGACAGAGAACCCGGGCCGACAUGGCUAGUCGUGAACCCAAAGCGGCACAGACCUAUGGAGACAUGCAUACAUGAAUCACAUCGAACAUGUCGGUCAUCAACGAGUGAUUCCGGGCUGUAGCACUGGGCUAAUAGGACUCCGGGGAACCCCGGGCUGUAGCAGGCUAGGCAGGACUCCGGAAGUCACCGUGUGACAUUUCCCCGAAGGGACAGACAUAGGGACGAAGUGAAACACAUGCCGGCCAGUCAAGUGUCCUGAACAGUAGUGUUGGGCUAGCAGGACUCCGGUGAACCGGGCUGUAGCGGACUACUAUGGCUCGAGGAACACUAGACUACAUUUCCCCAUAAGAAAGGCUGCCAAGGAUAAACAACUAGAUUGUCGGAUCCCACUCAUACCAAGCAUUUCAAUCAUACACACAAUAUGCCCGAUAUGAGUACAUACAACAUGGCAUCACAACAAAACUCUACAACUCAAGUACUUUAUUUAAAGGCUCCAGAGAGCCAUACAUAACAUGUUCAUACAGAUAGGGGUCACACGACCCGACACUCAAGUCAUACAAACAUACAAGAACAUGCGGAAGCAACUAGUCUGAGUACAGACUCUAGAAAGAAAGAAGGCUUCUCGAAGCCUGUCUAACUACAUAGGGCCCUCCAUGGCCAGGAUCACCACCUGGGUGGCUAGUCACUCGUUGACGUCAAGGUCUACAUAGAACCCAUCGGGGUGGGUGGUGUUAUCGUCUGGAAACAAUAAAUAAACAAACAUGAGUACAAAGGUACUCAACAAGUCUUACAUCAGAACCUACUAUACAUGCUUAUUCUCAAGAAGGUGGUGGGGUUAAUGCAGCAAGCCAGCUUUGACUCUUGGCUAAGCUAUCCUACAGGACUCCACCAGUAAAAUAGUUUUCGCACACGAGUCCACUACUCACCAACACAAUACUCCACCGGGGAUCCUCCCUCGUCAUCCUACGAGAGGGCCAUCCUCGAUACUCACACUAUUCUUGAGUCUUUUAGUAGUGUCCAUUAACUUGUCUAUGAACUGUAUAGGCAACCAAGUAGUCCUUUACCGCGGCUAUUCGAAUAGUUUUAUACCCUGCAGGGGUGUACUUCGUCACACAUGCUUUCACCACUUACCGCUGCUUACACGACAUGUACUCGGCAACCUUCAAGCGGAAGCCCAGCGAGGGUGUUGGCCACGGCCUACCUAAACACUUUAGUCUCUAGUCCAGGUUUAUCGCCUAUCCAGGUUCCAUCCGCAGGGAGUCCGGCCGAGGUUUCCACAUACGGCCCCGAACGAUGUGAACAGGGUUCCCGGGACACCAAACGGGUGACUCGGUACACCGUGCCACGGUGUAUCUACCGCAACAUAGCCCACCCCUAGGGUCAGCGCUACGCACGGCCGCCAACACAUAACCUACAAACACCAGAAACUAUUUGCAACUCCUGGACAGAGUACUAGGGUGGUUAAGAAGCCGAGAGGGUCAAUUAAGGAUCCCAAUGCAUGGUAGUAGCUGAAUCUUAAAUCACACAUACAGAUCUCAGUUCUUAGGGACGGCCUCAAUGAAACAACCCACCAUGUACUCCUACAUGGCCUCUCAUCGAUACCUUUACCAAAACAUGUUCAACACAUCCCUCACAUUACCGACAUAAACAUUUCACUCUAGCCCAUCACCCAGAUGAACCAGACCUGACACAACUCUAAGCAUAGCAGGCAUAGCAAGGUAGGAAUCACAUACAUGGCUCAAUCAAAUCCUACACAUGCUAGUGGGUUUCAUCUAGUUACUGUGGCAAUGACAGGUCAUGCAGAGGAUAAGGGUUCAACUACCGUAGCACACAGCAGUUUGAAUCGCGUUGUCUUAAUGCAGUAAACAAGAGCAGAAGCGAGAACAUGGGUUUGUAUCGGAAUGAUCAAUGGUUGCUUGCCUGAUGGAGUUGUAGCGGGAUACUGCCCUUCAGUUGGAUACUCGUGAAUAUCCUUGGAGGCAGAACCUACCACGGAGAACACAUCGGAACACAAUCAACACAUGACGAUAUGCAACAAUAUGAUGCAUGCUAUGACAUGGCAAUAUGAUUGUGUCUUGGCCUAAUGGAAGUUAUAUUAGAAAGGAAUGAACUCAUUUGAAUCAAAGAUUCAAAUAUUAGCUCAUUAAACAUGGCCUUGAUAGUGCAUUUCCUUAUUCUGCUUAAACAACAAGGUAAACUUGUUUUGUCAUGCAUGAAACCAUUACAGGUGGAUAGAUUGAAUUUUUCUGAUAAUUUUUCAUAUAUAAUUUAUCCCAUUUGGAGCUAUGGUUGAAUUUCUAUGAAUUUUUGAAGUUUGAACUAUUUUCUGGAAUUUCCUGUAUAAUAAUAAAUUCAGAAAAUGCAUUACAGCGUCAGCAUUGCGUCAGGGUGACGUCAGCAGGUCAAAGGCGCCAGCCCAGGUCAAACCUGACUGGUGGGCCCCUUCUGUCAGUCUCUCAGCUAAUUAGCAAAAUUAGAUUAACACUAAUUAGUUGUCAGUGGGGCCUGGGCCCACAUGUCAGUGACUGAUUUAAUUAAAAUUAAUUAAGACUAAUCCUAAUUUAGUUAGCCGACCGGCCCCACCUGUCAUAGACUCAGGGGGGGGUCUUCCUGGGCCCACCCAGGGGUCAAACUGGGUCAACUCGCCGGCGGCUCGACGCCGGCGAGGCCCGAGACGGCGGAGGGCUUCGGAUUUGGUCCUCCGGUGACCAAAUCGACGGCGGAGACGUGCUACGCGUAGCUGGGGCUCGUGCGCAUCUAGUGGGGCAAUGGGAGGAGCUGGGGUGGAGCGAGCUCGCCGGAAUCGAGCUCGUGGCGGCGGCCGGAGUUCGGGCGAGGUCGGAAUCGACGCUACGGUGCAUGGGAGGGAGAACUGGGGGUGGCUACAGGUUCCUGGUGCUGCACUAAGCACGGUGAGGCGCUCGGACGCAUGCUUACACGGCCGUAGCCACGACGGCGACAUGGCCGGUAGCGAGGAGCGCUCGGGCUCGGAGGGAGCGGUGGCUACGAGGCGUAAUCGAGCACGAGAACUAGGGGGAAAGGAAGAGGGGCUCACAUCGGAGUCGGAGAGGGGGUCAGCGGGCACGGGGAGGUCCUGGCGGCGGCGAAUUCGACCGGAGAUGGCUCGGGUGCCCGAGGUUGAAGACGAAGGCGAAGGCGGCGAUGCAGGGCCUCCGGCGAUGCGUGGCUCGGUGGGGAGGACGAGGGAGUCGAGGCGGAGCUAAUGGGCUCGUCGGAGGGGCGCGGGGGUGUCUGUGGUGGCAACUACGGCGAUCGGCGGCGAGGUACGCGCUCGGCCGUCGCGGGAGAGAGAGAGGGAGACGAGGGGGAGAGUGAGCGAGUGCGAGAGGGAGACGUGGGGGUCGCGUGGCACUUUAGGGCGUCUCCCGGGCGUCGGCGGAAGCAGGAGGUGGCCGGCGUGUGGCCGCGGGCGCCGGCCACGCGCUUCGCGUCCUUCUGGCGCGAGGAGGACGACGACUGGCAGCGCCAGCAGGCUGGGCCGAGCCAGGUGGCUGGGCCAGCACAGGUAAGGCCCAGGUGGGCUUUCUUCUCUCUCUUUUUUUUGAUUUUUGUUUCUGUUUUCUAUUAAACUGCAACUGUUUAGCUUUAGAUAAAAUACUAAAACGUUUCCGAAAAUCCUGAAAAUAAAUGUGGCCUCUGUUUAGAAUAUUUCCAACAGGAACCAUUUAUUCCCAGAAUUAUUUGAGCAUUUGGAUUAUUUUAUAGCAUUUAAAUGCCCAAAUUCAAAUACUUAUGAUUUAAUUCAAUGACCUUCUGUUGACCUAGAAAAUUGUGCACCAAUUUUGCCAGUGGUUCUAACCUAAGACAAAGAGGGUGAACUUUUUAGAAGGGCAUUUCAGGUUCAUUGAAAAUAUUUUUAGUAAACCCUAGUUGUUUCCAGGGGGGGUGUUGGGGGUUUCUGCCUUCCCCAUUUCAAAUUUAAAAGAAAUUUAAACAUGAUGCACAUUCUAAUGCUGGAACUAGCUAGGGUGUGACAACUCACCCCCACUCAAAAGAAUCUCGUCCCGAGAUUUAGGAUCCUCUAGAAGAAGGUGGGGUACUCGAGUCAAAGACUAUCCUCCCUUUCCCAAGUGGCUUCUUCCUUGGAAUGGUGUGACCAUUGAACCUUGAGAAACUUGAUAUUAUGACGUCAAGUGGUACGCUCGGCUUGAUCAAGGAUACGAACGGGAUAUUCCCGAUAAGAGAGGUUAUCUUGUAGAUCAAGUAUUUCGUGGUCCACUCCACGGAUAGGAUCCGCGAAGCAACGCCUGAGUUGUGAAAUGUGGAAGACAUCGUGAACUCUGGAAAGAUGCGGAGGUAGUUCCAAUUGGUAGGCAACUUCUCCUCGUUUGGCAAGAAUGCGAAAGGGUCCAAUGUAACGAGGGGCCAAUUUGCCUUUGAUACCGAAACGAUGGGUUCCCUUUAACGGAGUAACCCGAAGGUAAGCCUUCUCGUCGACUUCAUAAGUCAUAGGCUUAUGUUUACGAUCAUAUUGACUCUUUUGGCGAGAUUGGGCUGUUUUCAAUUUCUCACGAAUAACGCAAACUUGCUCUUCUGCUUCCUGAAUCAUAUCCGGGCCAAAGAGUUGUCUUUCCCCGAUUUCUGACCAGUUAAGAGGCGUUCGACAUUUUCGUCCAUAGAGAACUUCGAAUGGAGCUUUCCCCAAACUAGCUUGAUAACUAUUGUUAUAAGCAAACUCUGCGAAUGGAAGGCAUUUCUCCCAACUUAUUCCAAACGAGAUGAUAGAAGCUCGGAGCAUAUCUUCCAGAAUUUGAUUGACUCGCUCUACUUGACCACUUGAUUGAGGAUGGAAGGCAGUGCUAAAGGAGAGACGAGUUCCCAUAGCAUUUUGGAAACUUUCCCAAAAUCGAGAGGUGAAGAGACUCCCACGGUCUGAGUUAAUUUCCAAUGGAACACCAUGAAGAGACACUAUUCGGGAGAUGUAUAGAUCAGCUAGUUGGCUAGCAGUGAUACUCUCACGAACAGGUAGAAAGUGGGCUACUUUGGAAAGUCGGUUGAUCACAACGAAGAUGGCAUUAUUCCCUCUCUUGGUCCUGGGAAACCCAAUGAUGAAAUCCAUACUGAUUUUAUCCCAUUUCCAUUCAGGAAUAGCCAAAGGUUGAAGGGUGCCAGCAGGCCGUUGAUGCUCUGCUUUAACACGACGACAAACGUCACAAUUAGCAAUGUAUUGAGCGAUUUCUCUCUUCAUCCUAGUCCACCAAACACUCUGGCGUAGGUCUUGAUACAUUUUGGUACUACCGGGAUGAAUGGUGAGAGGGGAUUCAUGAGCUUCCUUAAGGAUCAAUUGGCGUAGAUGUUGUUUCUUGGGAACCACCAAACGGUUCUCGAAAAAGACAGCACCUCGCUCAUCCAUGGAGAAACAUUUAGCAACUCCGCUAGCGAUGUUUUCCUUAAUCCGGGAUAUGCCCUUAUCAUACCGCUGGGCGGUUAUGAUCUGAUCCAUAAGGUUAGGUUUCGCCACCAGGGUGGAUAGGAAUCCUCGAGGAACAAUGUGAAGAUUAAGCUUACGGAAUUCCGCAUGGAGAAGUGGUUGACUUUGUUGUAACAUCAGGUUGUUACAAUAGGACUUACGGCUUAGCGCAUCAGCCAUGACAUUGGCUUUGCCUGGGGUGUAAGUUAUUCCUAAGUCGUAAUCCGAGAUCAACUCGACCCAACGUCUUUGCCUGAGAUUCAAAUCUGGUUGGGUGAAGAUAUAUUUCAAACUUUGGUGAUCGGUGAAGAUCUCGCAAUGAUUACCGAGAAGGUAAUGUCGCCAGGUUUUAAGUGCAUGGACUACAGCUGCAAGCUCUAGAUCAUGUGUGGGAUAGUUUUCCUCAUGUGGGUGUAAUUGCCGUGAAGCAUAGGCAAUUACCUGACGAUCUUGCAUGAGUAUGCAACCUAGUCCUUGUCGCGAGGCGUCGCAAUAGAUAAUAAAGUCCUUGGAGAAAUCUGGUGGUACCAGUACGGGAGCAGAUGUCAGGCGUCUUUUCAGUUCCUGAAAGCUGAACUCGCACUAUGGAGUCCACUCGAACUUUUUAUCUUUGUUGAGGAGUUCAGUUAGAGGUUUAGCAACCUUGGAGAAAUUUUCGACGAAGCAGCAGCAAUAGCUCGCUAAGCCAAGGAAGCUCCGAACUUGCUUAACCGUCUCAGGUGGAGUCCAAUCAAGGACGGCAUGAACUCGCUCGGGAUUGACAGCAAUACCCUUACCCGAAAUUACAUGGCCUAGAUAGGUCACUUCUGGCAACCAAAAUUCACACUUGGAGAAUUUGGCAUAAAGGCGAUGCUCUCGAAGUUUUAUCAAUACCAGCCUUAGAUGUUCGGCAUGUUCCUCUUCAUUCUUGGAGUAGAUGAGUAUGUCAUCGAGGUAUACUAUGACAAAUUUGUCCAAGUACUCCAUGAAAACCGAGUUCAUUAACCGGGAAAAGGUGGCUGGGGCAUUGGUUAAACCGAAGGACAUCACGGUGUACUCGUAUUGGCCAUAACGAGUAACAAAGGCCGUUUUGGGUAUGUCCCCAUUUCUGAUUUUGAUUUGAUGGUAGCCCAACCUCAAAUCCAUCUUGGAAAAGACUGAAGAUCCAGCGAGCUGAUCAUACAGAUCGUUGAUCCUGGGAAGCGGAUAUUUGUUCUUGAUGGUGACCAAAUUGACAGGUCGGUAAUCCACAACCAUUCGAUCCGUUCCAUCCUUCUUCUUGACGAAGAGGACGGGGCAAGCCCAAGGAGAGGAACUAGGACGGAUGAAACCCUUUUUCAAGGACUCAUCGAGUUGAUUCUUAAGCUCGCUUAGUUCUAAGGGUGCCAUCUUGUAGGGUCUUCUAGAGAUUGGAACGGUUCCUGGAACAAGGCCUAUACGAACUCAACAUCCCUGUCAGGUGGAACACCUGGCAGUUCUUCUGGAAAGACAUCCGGAAAGUCUCGGGCUACCGGAACAUCCUCAAGGUCUGGAAGAGGGUUGGCAUUUAGAAAGUAAAGCUGGCGCUUGGCCAGUCGAGUUAAGACAUUGACUGUCUUGCCCGAUGGGUGAGUAAGUUGAACGGUUCUAGUGGCACAAUCGAUCUUAGCAUAAUGAGCUGACAUCCAGUCCAUACCCAAGAUGAUAUUUAUGUCGGAGGACUUGAGAGAUAUUAAGGAUGCAAGGAAGACAAGUCUGUCGACAAGAAUUUCAUUCCCAUGGCUUACUCUAGAAGUUUGCCAUUUGGAGCCCGGGCUCUGAAUUACCAUGGAAGUGGGCAUGUCACAAAAUGACGUGUUAUGCAAUCGAGCAUAGCUUUCGGAUAUGAAUGAAUGAGAUGCUCCAGUAACGAAAAGAACAGAUGCCGGAUGACAGUUAACAAGGAGCGUACCAAGGACGACGUUGGGAUCCUCAUGAGCCUCCUCAGCUGAAACAUAGUUAACAUGGCCACGUGCAGUGGUGGCUGGCUUGGCGUAGAAUGUUUUUCCCGCGGGCUUACCACGGCCAACGGAUUUUCCAGUUUGAUUGGGGUUGUUGUUCUGGGGACACUCUCGGCUAUAGUGACCUGGCUCUCCGCACUUAAAGCAUGUCACCACAUUGGGGCGUGGAGCAGCAUUAGCAGCGGGGCCACCAUAGGGCUUGGGCGGUGCAAAUUGCUGGUUGGGAUGAGGCGCCUCAAAGGAUGGCCUCGGGAUGAACCUGGGUGGCAGUGCCGUUCUUGGGAUCCACACCCGGCGCUUCUGAGCUCCAGAGCCGGAUGAAGAGCCAAAAUCACGGAAGUGCUUGCGUGAAGCGUCAUAAUCAGUCUGGCCUGUCUCAGCGCUGAUGGCUUUAUUAACCAGCUUUUGAAAGGAUGUGCACUCGUGCAGACGGAGAUCGCGGCGAAGCUCAGGGCUAAGUCCCUUGCGGAACCUUGCCUGCUUCUUAGCGUCAGUAGAAACCUCUUCAAGAGCAUAACGUGCCAGAUUCCCAAAUUCACGACUAUAAGCAUCCACAGUCAGUCUUCCUUGGGUGAAGUUGCAGAACUCCUCCCUCUUGCGAUCCAUGAGACCUUCCGGAAUGUGAUGCUCAUGGAAAGCCUCACUGAAUUCAGCCCAAGAAGUGAUUUGGCCGACCGGGCGCAUAGCUUCGAAGUUUUCCCACCAAAGGCUAGCAGGGCCUUCGAGAUGAUAGGCAGCAUAGGUAACCUUGUCGGCUUCGGCUACGUUGGCAGAACGUAGCUUGUGGGUGAUGCUGCGAAGCCAGUCAUCCGCGUUGAGGGGCUCGACGGAGUGAUUAAACUUUGGCGGGUAUAGCUUGAUAAAGUCAUUGAUUGACACCAAGUCAUUUCGCGGGUGGCGUGCAGUGUUCUGCUCAAUCCGCUCUAGCAGGCGGUUAGUCUCACGCUUGUUUCUUUCCGCCUCUAAGCAUAGCAGGCAUAGCAAGGUAGGAAUCGCAUACAUGGCUCAAUCAAAUCCUACACAUGCUAGUGGGUUUCAUCUAGUUACUGUGGCAAUGACAGGUCAUGCAGAGGAUAAGGGUUCAACUACCAUAGCACACAGCAGUUUGAAUCGCGUUGUCUUAAUGUAGUAAACAAGAGCAGAAGCGAGAACAUGGGUUUGUAUCGGAAUGAUCAAUGGUUGCUUGCCUGAUGGAGUGGUAGCGGGAUACUGCCCUUCAGUUGGAUACUCGUGAAUAUCCUUGGAGGCAGAACCUACCACGGAGAACACAUCGGAACACAAUGAACACAUGACGAUAUGCAACAAUAUGAUGCAUGCUAUGACAUGGCAAUAUGAUUGUGUCUUGGCCUAAUGGAAGUUAUAUUAGAAAGGAAUGAACUCAUUUGAAUCAAAGAUUCAAAUAUUAGCUCAUUAAACAUGGCCUUGAUAGUGCAUUUCCUUAUUCUGCUUAAACAGCAAGGUAAACUUGUUUUCUCAUGCAUGAAACCAUUACAGGUGGAUAGAUUGAAUUUUUCUGAUAAUUUUUCAUAUAUAAUUUAUCUCAUUUGGAGCUAUGGUUGAAUUUCUAUGAAUUUUUGAAGUUUGAACUAUUUUCUGGAAUUUUCUGUAUAAUAAUAAAUCCAGAAAAUGCAUUACCGCGUCAGCAUUGCGUCAGGGUGACGUCAGCAGGUCAAAGGCGCCAGCCCAGGUCAAACCUGACUGGUGGGCCCCUUCUGUCAGUCUCUCAGCUAAUUAGCAAAAUUAGAUUAACACUAAUUAGUUGUGAGUGGGGCCUGGGCCCACAUGUCAGUGACUGAUUUAAUUAAAAUUAAUUAAGACUAAUCCUAAUUUAGUUAGCCGACCGGCCCCACCUGUCAUAGACUCAGGGGGGGUCUUCCUGGGCCCACCCAGGGGUCAAACUGGGUCAACUCGCCGGCGGCUCGACGCCGGCGAGGCCCGAGACGGCGGAGGGCUUCGGAUUUGGUCCUCCGGUGACCAAAUCGACGGAGGAGACGUGCUACGCGUAGCUGGGGCUCGUGCGCAUCUAGUGGGGCGAUGUGAGGAGCUGGGGUGGAGCGAGCUCACCGGAAUCGAGCUCGUGGCGGCGGCCGGAGUUCGGGCGAGGUCGGAAUCGACGCUACGGUGCACGGGAGGGAGAACUGGGGGUGGCUACAGGUUCCUAGUGCCGCACUAAGCACGGUGAGGCGCUCGGACGCGUGCUUACACGGCCGUAGCCACGACGUCGACAUGGCCGGCGGCGAGGAGCGCUCGGGCUCGGAGGGAGCGGUGGCUACGAGGCGUAAUCGAGCACGGGAACUAGGUGGAAAGGAAGAGGGGCUCACAGCGGAGUCGGAGAGGGGGUCAGCGGGCUCGGGGAGGUCCCGGCGGCGGCGAAUUCGACCGGAGAUGGCUCGGGUGCCCGAGGUUGAAGACGAAGGCGAAGGCGGCGAUGCAGGGCCUCCGGCGAUGCGUGGCUCGGUGGGGAGGACGAGGGAGUCGAGGCGGAGCUAAUGGGCUCGUCGGAGGGGUGCGGGGGUGUCUGUGGUGGCAACUACGGCGAUCGGCGGCGAGGUACGCGCUCGGCCGUCGCGGGAGAGAGAGAGGGAGAUGAGGGGGAGAGUGAGCGAGUGCGAGAGGGAGACGUGGGGGUCGCGUGGCACUUCAGGGCGUCUCCCGGGCGUCGGCGGAAGCAGGAGGUGGCCGGCGUGUGGCCGCGGGCGCCGGCCACGCGCUCCGCGUCCUUCUGGCGCGAGGAGGACGACGACUGGCAGCGCCAGCAGGCUGGGCCGAGCCAGGUGGCUGGGCCAGCACAGGUAAGGCCUAGGUGGGCUUUCUUCUCUCUCUUUUUUUUAUUUUUGUUUCUGUUUUCUAUUAAACUGCAACUGUUUAGCUUUAGAUAAAAUACUAAAACGUUUCCAAAAAUCCUGAAAAUAAAUGUGGCCUCUGUUUAGAUUAUUUCCAAUAGGAAACAUUUAUUCCCAGAAUUAUUUGAGCAUUUGGAUUAUUUUAUAGCAUUUAAAUGCCCAAAUUCAAAUACUUAUGAUUUAAUUCAACGACCUUCUGUUGACCUAGAAAAUUGUGCACCAAUUUUGCCAGAGGUUCUAACCUAAGACAAAGAGGGUGAACUUUUUAGAAGGGCAUUUCAGGUUCAUUGAAAAUAUUUUUAGUAAACCCUAGUUGUUUCCAGGGGGGUGUUGGGGGUUUCUGCCUUCCCCAUUUCAAAUUUAAAAGAAAUUUAAACAUGAUGCACAUUCUAAUGCUUGAACUAGCUAGGGUGUGACAUAUAAUGUACGCAUGUAUUCCGAAUAUAGUCAUACGUGCUUAUGGAAAAGAACUUGCAUGACAUCUUUUGUCCUACCCUCCCGUGGUAGCGGGGUCCUAUUGGAAACUAAGGGAUAUUAAGGCCUCCUUUUAAUAGAGUACCAGACCAAAGCAUUGAUAACCGACAAGUAUAGGGGAUCGCAACAGUUUUCGAGGGUAGAGUAUUCAACCCAAAUUUAUUGAUUCGACAUAAGGGGAGCCAAAGAAUAUUCUCAAGUAUUAGCAGCUGAGUUGUCAAUUCAACCACACCUGGAAACUUAAUAUCUGCAGCAAAGUGUUUAGUAGCAAAGUAAUAUGAUAGUAGUGGUAACGGUAGCAAAAGGUAACAGUAGUAAAAGCAAUGUUUUUGGUAUUUUGUAGUGAUGAUAGCAAUGGCAACGGAAAAGAAAAUAACCGAAGAACAAUAUAUGGAAAGCUCGUAGGCGAUGGAUCGGUGAUGGAGAAUUAUGCCGGAUGCGGUUCAUCAUGGAACAGUCAUAACCUAGGGUGACACAGAACUAGCUCCAGUUCAUUGAUAUAAUGUAGGCAUGUAUUCCGAAUAUAGUCAUACAUGCUUAUGGAAAAGAACUUGCAUGACAUCUUUUGUCCUACCCUCCCGUGGCAGUGGGGUCCUUACGGAAACUAAGGGAUAUUAAGGCCUCCUUUUAAUAGAGAACCGGAACAAAGCAUUAACACAUGGUGAAUACAUGAACUCCUCAAACUACGGUCAUCACCGGUAAGUAUCCCGAUUAUUGUCACUUCGGGGUUAACGGAUCAUAACACAUAAUAGGUGACUAUAGACUUGCAAGAUAGGAUCAAGAACACUCAUAUAUUGAUGAAAACAUAAUAGGUUCAGAUCUGAAAUCAUGGCACUCGGGCCCUAGUGACAAGCAUUAAGCAUAGCAAAGUCAUAGCAACAUCAAUCUUAGAACAUAGUGGACACUAGGGAUCAAACCCUAACAAAACUAACUCGAUUACAUGAUAGACCCCAUCCAACUCAUCACCGUCCAGCAAGCCUACGAUGGAAUUACUCACGCACGACGGUGAGCAUCAUGAAAUUGGUGAUGGAGGAUGGUUGAUGAUGACGAUGGCGACGGAUUCCCCUCUCUGGAGCCCCGGACGGACUCCAGAUCAGCCCUCCCGAGAGGUUUUAGGGCUUGGCGGCGGCUCCGUAUCGUAAAAUGCGAUGAUUUCUUCUCCCUGAUUUUUUUCUCCCCAAAACUCAAUAUAUGGAGGUGGAGUUGGAGUCGGAGAGGCAACAAGGGGCCCACGAGGUAGGGGGGCGCGCCCCCACCCUCGUGGAGAGACGAUGGGCCCCCUGGCCUUCAUCUUUGACAGGUAUUUUUCUUAUUUUUUGAAAAGUGUCUCCGUGAAGUUUCAGGUCAUUCCAAGAAAGUUUGCUCCAGCACAUAAGCAACACCAUGGUAGUUCUGCUAAAAACAGCGUCAGUCUUGGUUAGUUCCAUUCAAAUCAUGCAAGUUAGAGUCCAAAACAAGGGCAAAAGUGUUUGGAAAAGUAGAUACAUUGGAGACGUAUCAACUCCCCCAAGCUUAAACCUUUGCUUGUCCUCAAGCAAUUCAAUUGACAAACUGAAAGUGAUAAAGAAAAACUUUUACAAACUCUGUUUGCUCUUGUUGUUGUAAAUAUGUAAAGCCAACAUUCAAGUUUUUAGCAAAUAUUAUAACUAACCACAUUCGCAAUAACGCAUAGGUCUCAUGUUACUCAUAUCAAUAGCAUAAUGAACUAGCGAGCCAUAAUAAUAAAACUCGGAUGACAACACUUUCUUAAAACAAUCACAAUAUGAUAUAACAUGAUGGUAUCUCACUAGCCCUUUCUGAGAUCGCAAAACAUAAAUGCAGAGCACCUUUAAAGACCAAGGAUUGACUAGACAUUGUAAUUCAUGGUAAAAGAGAUCCAGUCAAGUCAUACUGAAUGUAAACUAACAAUAAUGAAUGCAAAUGACAGCAGUGCUCUCCAACUGGUGCUUUUCAAUAAGAGGAUGAUGACUCAGCAUAAAAGUAAAUAGAUAGGCCCUUCGCAGAGGGAAGCAGGGAUUUGUAGAGGUGCCAGAGCUCGGUUUUGAAACAGAGGUGAAUAAUAUUUUGAGCGGUAUACUUUCAUUGUCAACAUAACAACCAAGAGAUGGCGAUAUCUUCCAUGCUGCACACAUUAUAGGCAGUUCCCAAACAGAAUGGUAAAUUUUAUACCCCCCUUCCACCAACAAGCAUCAAUCCAUGGCUUGCUCGAAACAACGAGUGCCUCCAACUAACAAGAGUCCCAGGGGGAGUUUUGUUUGCAAUUAUUUUGAUUUAGUUCGCAUAACGCAUGGGACUAGGCAUCCCGGUGACCAACCAUUUAUCUCGUGAGUGAGGAGCGGAGUCCACUCCUCUUGAGAAUAACCUGCCUAACAUGGAAGAUACAGACAACCCUAGUUGAUACAUGAGCUAUUCGAGCAUACAAAACAGGAUAUUUAUUUGAAGGUUUAGAGUUUGGCACAUUCAAAUUUACUUGGAACAGCAGGCAGAUACUGUAUAUAGGUAGGUAUAGUGGACUCAUGUGGAAUAACUUUGGGGUUUAAGGAGUUUGGAUGCACAAGCAGUAGUCCCACUUAGUACAGGUGAAGGCUAGCAAAAGACUGGGAAGCGACCAGCUAGAGAGCGACAACAGUCAUGAACAUGCAUUAAAAUUAAUCAACACGGAAUGCAAGCAUGAGUAGGAUAUAAUCCACCAUGAACAUAAAUAUCGUGAAGGCUAUAUUGAUUUUGUUUCAACUACAUGCGUGAACAUGUGCCAAGUCAAGUCACUUAAAUCAUUCAGAGGAGGAUACCACGUACAAUCAUACCAUAGGCUAGCUUCUAGGGUUUAGCCUCUCCGAUCUCGCGGUAGAUCAACUCUUGUAUUACUCACAUCAUCAAGAAUAAAUCAAGUAGGACGUAGGGUUUUACCUCCAUCAAGAGGGCCCGAACCUGGGUAAAACAUUAUGUUCCAUGCUUCCUGUUACCAUCUGCCUUAGACGCACAGUUCGGGACCCCCUACCCGAGAUCCGCCGGUUUUGACACCAACAUUGGUGCUUUCCUUGAGAGUUCCUCUGUGACGUUGCCGUACGGAAGGAUGCCUCAUCUCGUUGUUAAAAGCAACAUUACCGCCGGGGGACACUACAAAAAAAAGACACAUCCGUGACAUUUUGGGCCGAACGGAUUUUUUUUCUGUCAUACAUAUGACACUUCUAUGAGGAUAAUUGUGACAAAACCCGGUAUCAUCAUAGAUGUGGUGGGCUCCUACUUCUGUGACAAAAAAUCAUGACAAAAAUGGGCUUUUCGUCCUGGGCGGGCCGGAGACGCAACUGCAUGACAUUCUUUGGGCCGUCCAUGACGGAAAAAACCGUGGUAGAAGCGAGGGGGAGGAAAAUUUCGGGGAGUUCCCGGUUACGAUGGGAGGUCGGGGGCCGAGCGAUGCGCGUUUCUCUCGUACACGUACGCGCGCGUGUGUGAGGCGUUGGCUCUAACUGAACCCGAGCGAGGCGUUGGGCUCUAACUGAACCUGAGCGAUUGCACUGCAGGCUACGCGUUACUGAACCUGAGCGAUCGAUCGAUGGCUGUUAACUGAACCCGAUCGAGCGAUUCCUUCGCUACUGCUGCUAACUGAAGCCGAUCGAUGCUGCCUCUCGAUGAACAGUGAGCAUUNNNNNNNNNNNNNNNNNNNNNNNNNNNNNNNNNNNNNNNNNNNNNNNNNNNNNNNNNNNNNNNNNNNNNNNNNNNNNNNNNNNNNNNNNNNNNNNNNNNNNNNNNNNNNNNNNNNNNNNNNNNNNNNNNNNNNNNNNNNNNNNNNNNNNNNNNNNNNNNNNNNNNNNNNNNNNNNNNNNNNNNNNNNNNNNNNNNNNNNNNNNNNNNNNNNNNNNNNNNNNNNNNNNNNNNNNNNNNNNNNNNNNNNNNNNNNNNNNNNNNNNNNNNNNNNNNNNNNNNNNNNNNNNNNNNNNNNNNNNNNNNNNNNNNNNNNNNNNNNNNNNNNNNNNNNNNNNNNNNNNNNNNNNNGGGGGGGGGUGGGUUGGAUGAACAGUUCCCGGUGGGGGUGGAUGAACAGGACCCCGUGGUGUUGUCUCUAGAUGAACAGGAUCCCGAUCGAUCGAGCCGGUUGGGGCUGGAUGAACAGGACCCUAUGGAGGGCUGGUUGAACAGGACCACCCCGUGGAGGGAAGGAUGAACAGUACAUAGUGGAGGGCAGGAUGAACAGUAGCCCGUGGAGGGGUGGUUGAACAAGAGCCCGUGGAGAGGGCUGGUUGAACAGUAGUUGGUGGAGUAGCACGCGGUGGAGGCUGGAUGAACAGGAGCCCGUGGAUGAACAGUCGCAGGUGGAGGCUGGAGGAGGUCGACGGUGUAUGAACAACAGCUCGUGGAGGCUGGAGGGGGUCAACGGUGGAGAUGAACAGUAUCUCGUGGAGUCCCGUUUUGCGGUACGCCACACCCCUCCCGAUGAACAGGACCCCCUUUUCGACCAUAGCGCUCCAACACAAGUCUGUUUCCUCCGUUUUGCGGUACGCCACACCCCUCUCGAUGAACAGGACCCCCGUUUCGACCGUAGGAGGUCUGUUUCCUCCGUUUUGCGAUACGCCAGACCCCUCCUGAUCAACAGGACCCCGUUCCGAAAGUAGGAGGUCCAUUUCCUCCGUUGUGCGGUAUGCCAGGCCUCGUUUCCAUCGCCUGUUCUGUCCAAGCCCUCCCGAUGAACACCACGCAUUCCGUUGCCUCCCCAUGAACACGACGCAUUCCGUUGCCUCCCCAUGAACACGACGACGACGUUGUUUCUCUGUUCCGACCCAGCCAUGUACACAAGCCCUCGCUGUACGUAUGCGCGAGUAGGCGUUCGAGACCCCGCCCGUAUGUACACAUACGUGGCCGUAUUUUCUUUCUUGCAACCUGGCCGCUGCACGUACGUGUACAUGCUACGUACGCGCCUCUACUACGACACGUGUGCGCCUCUACUACGACACAUGCGCGCCUCUACAUCGACCAGUAUGUACGUACACGUUCGUGACCAGAAUGACAACGCUACACAUGCUUCGACCAGGUGGGUCCCGACUGUCAGGCACUUCCUUGCCUGCAAAGAUGUAGCUGGUGGGUCCUAGCAGUCAGGGGGCGAAUCAUUUUUUUGCCCGGACGCACUUCCAAGAUGUAGCUGGUGGGUCCUAGCAGUCAGGGGGAAACAUUUUUUCGCGAAAUAUAGUGGCCCGUCUGGUGGGUCCCAGCUGUCAGGUGGAGGAAUCAUUAUUUUCCGCGUAAUAAGGAGGCACUUCCUUGCUGCGGCCGUGGACCCAGCUGUCAGCCUCUCCAUGUACAGUCCAUGUCCGAUGGAAGUCGUUCCUUGACCACGUUGACCAUGCCGCGCCGAGAGCACCAGGGCGGUGGACGACGGCGAGGCCUAGGAAGGGGACGACACGGAGGCAGGGAAGACUCGGCAGUUGUUUCCCACGCGGAGGGGAGUACGACUGUACGAGGGUUUACUGGUUCGUCUGCCGUCGCCGAGGAAUAACAGCAGGUGCGGGUGAGUAGAGGGAUGACCAGGCCAGCGAUGGGAGUACGGUCAGGCGGUGAGGCCUGCGCGGCAGCACAGCCGGCCGCGAGGAGGAGGGAGCAGGCAGUCCCGCCGUCGCUUGUUUGAGUGGCUGGAGCAGGAAGAGCAGAGAUUGAAGAAGCACGACGGCCGUUGGAUGGACAUCCAACAGUCAGUGCUUGUGCGUCAACCUUUUUUUUAGGAAAGCCUCAAAUCUGUGGAAAACAGCAUACAACCCAUCUGCCAUUAUUUCUAAUAAUUUACAGCCCAUUUGCUAAUUCUUAAGGUUUUUUUGGAUCCCAUAUUCUUUUUGUUAGCAUUACAACCCAUAUUGUGGCAACGGUUAAAAAAUUAUACGAAAUUUUGCAUAUUUCGGUGCGGUCCGAACUGUUUUUAAUCCCGAAAUUUCGACUCACAUUCAAACUGAUUUUAAAAAUAAAUGUAUACCAAUAUAAAAUCCAACAAAUUCUCCACGCAUAAAAAUUAAUGUAAUUUAAAAUCUUGAAAUGAAAAAAAGAUAUUUGAAACUAAUUGCCGGUUUGAUGUGUUUUAAAAAUGUACAACCCAUUUCUCAUUACUGAUGGGACAUUUUCUCGGCCAGCCGAAUGAAAGCUCUCCUCGUCUUGAAAGAUUUGCAGCCCAACAGGCCUGACAAAGCGACUUACUUGGCAAAUCACAAAAAAACUGGGUUGUGGCCGUGGACCCAGCUGUCAGCCUCUCCACGUACAAUACUCUUCCAAUGGAAGUUGUUCCUUGACCACGUUGACCACGCCGUGCGGAGAGCACCACGGUGGUGGAUGACGACGAGGCCUAGGAAGGGGACGACAUGGCAGUGGAAGCCCACGCGGAGAGGACUAUGAGGGUUCACUGGUUCGGCUGCGGUGUGAGGCUGUCGUCGCCGCAGGGCCUGGCCAGCGGUGGGAAUAGUAGGGGCGAUGAGGCCUCUGCGGCAACACAGCCAGCCACGUGAGGCAGGAGCAUGCGGCACGACCGGCGCUGCUUUGGGCGGCUGGAGCAAGAAGACCAGAGGUUGAAGAAGCACUACAGCCGUUGGAUGGACAUCGUACGGUUACCGGAGCUAGAAUCAUUCAUAUUGACUAAGUUGACAAAGCCCUUCAUCCCCGUCAACUUAGUAGGCCCACAAGUCAGCCUCCCAGCAAGGUGGGUCCCAGCUAGCUGGGGGAGUAUUCAUUUUUUUGUGCGUAAUAAGGAGGCACUUCCGGUGGGACCGAGCUAACAGCGGGGGGGGGGACGUUUUUUUCGUGAAAUACGGUGGCCCGUACGGUGGGUCCCAGCAGUCAGGGGAAAAGAUUUUUUUCGCAAAAUACUGGUGGCCCGUCCGGUGGGUCCCCGCUGUCAGGUGGAGGAAUAAUUAUUUUGCACGUAAUAAGGAGGCACUUCCUUGCUGCGGCCGUGGACCCAGCUGUCAGCCUCUCCACGUACAGUCCACGUCCGAUGGAAGCCGUUUCUUGACCACGUUGACCACGCCACGCCAAGAGCACCAGGGCGGUGGACGACGGCGAGGCUUAGGAAGGGGACGACGUGGAGCCGGGGAAGACGCGGCAGUGGAUGCCCACGCGUAGAGUACGGGGGUUCACUGGUUCGCUGCGGUGUGAGGCUGCUGUCGCCGCAGAAUAACAGGGGGUGUGGGUGAGUAGAGGGAUGGCCUGGCCAGCGGUGAGAGUAGUAGGGGGCGGUGAGGCCUCCACCGCAUCGCACCCGGCCACGGGAGGCAGGAGCAUGAGGCACGACCGACGCUGGUUUGGGCAGCUGGAGCAAGAAGACCAGAGGUUGAAGAAGCACUACGACCGUUGGAUGGACAUCGUACGGUCACUGGAGCUAGAAUCGUGCAUAUUGACUAAGUUGACAAAGCCCUCCGUCCCCGUCAACUUAGUAGGCCCACAAGUCAGCCUACCACUAAGGUGGGUCCCAGCUAGCAGGGGGUAUUCAUUUUUUGUGCGUAAUAAGGAGGCACUUCCGGUGGGUCCGAGCUGACAGCAGGGGGAACGUUUUUUUCGUGAAAUACGGUGGCCCGUCGGGUGGGUCCCAGCAGUCAGGGGCAAAUGUUUUUUUCGCGAUAUACUGGUGGGCAUCCGGUGGGUCCCUGCUGUGAGGUGGAGAAAUAAUUAUUUUCCGCGUAAUAAGGAGGCACUUCCUUGCGGCUGCCGUGGACUCAGCUGUCAGCCUCUCCACGUAGAGUAUUCUUCCGAUGGAAUUCGGUCGUUGACCACAUUGACCACACCGCGCCGACAGCACCACGGCGGUGGACGAUGGUGAGGCCUAGGAAGGGGACGACGCGGAGCCGGGGAAGACGCGGCAGUGGAUGCCCACGCGGAGAGGAGUACGAGGGUUCACUGGUUCAGCUGUGCUGUCGUCGCCGUAGAAUAACAGGGGGUGUGGGUGAGUGGAGUGGAGGGAUGGCCUGGCCAGUGGUGGGAGUAGUAUGGGGGCGGUGAGGCCUCUGCGGCAGCACAGCCGGCCACGAGAGGCAGGAGCAGGUGGCAUGACCGGCGCUGCUUUGGGCGGCUGGAGCAAGAAGACCAGUGGUUGAAGAAGCACUACGGUCGUUGGAUGGACAUCGUACGGUCAGUCGAGCUAGAAUCGUGCAUAUUGACUAAGUUGACAAAGCCCUUCGUCCCAGUCAACUUAGUAGGCCCACUAUACUGGGUCCCAGCUAGCAGGGGGAGUAUUCAUUUUUUUGUGCGUAAUAAGGAGGCACUUCCUUGCGUGCGAAGAUAUAGCUGGUGGGUCCGAGCUGUCAGCGGUGGUAACGUUUUUUUCGCGAUCUACAGAGGCCGUUUCAGUGGGUCCCAGAUGUCAGGUGGAGGAAAUCAUUAUUUUGCACGUAAUAAGGAGGCAUUUCCUUGCGUGCGGCCAUGGACUCAGCUGUUAGCCUCUCCACAUACAGUCCACUUCGGAUGCAUGUCGGUCGUUGACCACGCUGACCACGCCACGCUGAGGGCACCAGGGCGGUGGACGACGGCGAGGCCUAGGAAGGGAACGACACGGAGGCAGGGACGACUCAGUUGUUGUUUUUGUUUCCCACGCGGAGGGGAGUACGAUGUAUGAGGGUUUACUGGCUCGUCUGUCGUCGCCGGAGAAUAACAGCAGGUGUGGGUGAGUAGAGGGAUGGCUAGGCCAGCGAUGGGAGUAUGGUGGGGCGGUGAGGCCUGUGCGGCAGCACAGCCGGCCGCGGGGAGGAGGGAGCAGGCAGUCCCGCCGACGCUUGUUUGAGCGGCUGGAGAAGGAAGAGCAGAGAUUGAAGAAGCACGACGGUCGUUGGAUGGACAUCCAACAGUAUAUAAGCCAUCUGUGGAAAGCCUCAAAUCUGUGGAAAACAGCAUACAACCCAUCUGCCAUUAUUUCAAAUAAUUUACAGCCCAUUUGCUAAUUCUUACGGGUUUUUUUGGAGCCCAUAUUCUUUAUGUUAGCAUUACAGCCCAUAUUGUGGCCACGGUUAAAAAAUUAUACGAGAUUUUGCAUAUGUCGGUGCGGUCUGAACUGUUUUUAAUCCCGAAAUUUCGAGUCACAUUCAGACUGAUUUUAAAAAUAAAUGUAUAUCAAUAUAAAAUCCAAUAAAUUGUCCACGCAUAAAAAUCAAUGCAAUUUAAAAUCUCGAAAUGAAAAAAAGAUAUUUGAAAAUAAUUGCCUGUUUGAUGUGUUUUAAAAAUGUACAACCCAUUUCUCAUUACUGAUAGGCCAUUUUCUCGGCCAGCCAAAUGAAGCUCUCCUCGUCUUGAAAGAUUUGCAGCCCAGCAGACCUGAUAAAGCGACUUACUUGACAAAUCACAAAAGAACUGGGCUAGCCAUUUUCAGAAAGAAAAAAAACUACUGGGCUGGUCUGUGGUAAACAUAAAAGAAAAGGCUGUCUAGACAGGCCAGAGUGUCCCGCACAGCCCAGUUGACACCCUGCUUCUGUCUCAAAAACAAAUUAGAUAAAUGCCACUCCAAUUAUGGCGAUUCAUAAAAAUGCCACUGCAAUUUCCAAACUUUGAAAAAUGCCACAACAUUUUUUGCAAACUUUGAAAAACGCCACUGCAGUUUGCAAACUUUGAAAAACGCCACUCCAGACUUCGAAAAAUGCCACUAGAAAUGGCAUUUUUCAAAGUUUGGAAAUUGCAGUGGCAUUUCUCGGAUACACCAGAUUUGGAGUGGCAUUUAUCAAAUUAACCCAAAACAAAAAUAACUGGGCGAGCUGCUGGGUCCCUGGUGUCCGCCGCUCGUUGUGCAAUUCUCUCGUUUAUUGACUACAUUGACAAUGGCAUGGGACCCAGAUGUCAGAAAUCCACUAGGAGGAGCCAUUUUUUUAUUGGCUUGAAAUAAGGAGGCACUUGCUUGCGUACUGCCAUGACCUUGGCGGGUCCCUGUUGUCAUCCUCUCCACGUACAGUACUAGUUAGCCGUGCUUCAAAACUGAUCGGCACGCCAUUAAAAAAAUAAAGUUCGAUAACUAAUGCGGCACCUCGGGCCAAUGCGGCCACAUCGAAUUUUGCACGAGAAAUAACACACCAUGUUUCGUUGACAUGUGGCCCUGUUCCAAUAUAUCAGUGAGACGACGGCGAGUCGUAGGAGUAUUUCCGAACGGACGUGUAGGCCGGGGCGCCUCUUCGUGAACCAUGGCAAACUCGCAACCGUCCAUCGACUCUUCGCCUUUCCCUCUCGAUUUGGAACUGCUGUCGCACACUCUUCCUCUCCCUCCUCCAUUUUCCUUCAGCCCUUCACCCUUUCUUCUGCCAUUGUUCUAUCGUCUUCUCCAUGGAGGGAACAGGCCGGAAACGACCCCGUUAUUCUUGCCCCGAUCUGAAAGAUGACGUGGUGGAGGAACUCAUUGAUCGGUGCGAUGUCAUCACCUCGGCUAGCAUGGAAGGUUCGUUCAAGCCCAUUCUCGACUCAACUAAUAACAUCAUUACAAAGAACCCAAGAGUCAAGGAGCGGUUUGAUCUCCCCUAUCUUCUUCGCCGUGACCCUGAUGACUGGCGCCGGCACAACGGAGGCCUCGCCCUGUGCCAGUUGAUGCUGCUUGAUAAUGAUAUGUAUGAUGUUAAGAUGCCAUCGCUCAAGGGCAAGGCUUGGGCGGGUGCAAAUGGAGAUUGGGUUGUUUACAUUGGGUCCAACUGCGAGUGGGAAAUUGUGAAUGUGUACACUCAUCACCGGGUUCCACUUCCAAAAAUCUCAGCACACUGCCCAGAGGUUGAGCACACCGAUAAUGUGCGCGCGUUUAAAUACGAUCAUGGUGACUGUCUUCUACGGAAGAUAGCAAUUUGUCGAGUUCCCAACCGCUCUUGGAAUUACAACAACUAUGAAGUUGUUGCUAUCUUCGACAAGCUUGUUGCCAUCCUUAGUGGUUUGACUCGAUGGACAUUGCUCAAAAAUCAGUUUCUGUGCACGAAUGAGUACUGUGAUGCAAUUCAAUACGAGGGCCUUGUGUUUGCUUCCACCACUCGUGGCACUCUUUUUGCAUGGUAUCCUCGUAGUUUCGGUACGUUUGUCUUCCAUCGUAAUUAUAAUUGUUUCAUCCACAUGCAUGCGGGUUAGCAAGUUUCCCUUUACUAAUUAACCUUCUUCUUGUGUUUCCAAGGUCCUGUGAACAUCCCACCACCUAUACUUGAAAAUUUUUAUAACCAAGGGGGAGAUGCCGAUGGUGAUGAUCAUGAGUAGUGCCCAUAUACUCUGUGGUGCCUGGCAACUAAUUCCGAUGGAUCACCUCUUCUUGUGUGUAUACAACCCACUAAUGAUGUUACUGCUAAGGAAGCAGGUGUCUCCCAUGGUCGCACUCUCCGGACCUAUUCCAACACCCGUUGCAUGGUAUUCGGUAUGGAUACUAGUGUGCUAGCGCCAACUCCUUCUCCCUAGCACAGAAUUGAUUGUCUUGGAGAAAACGCGCUCUUCCUUGGACAAAACUAUCCGAUGAUGGUGAAAGGCAAUCCAACUGCCGUUGACACAUUUAUGAGAAGCAACUGUGUCUAUACCUCGAACAUUUGGGUGGUUCCCUACCCUGGUACUGAUAUAGUAGGCCGCUUCAGCCUGGAUGAUCAGUCCUGCAUUGGUCUCUAGAUCGACAACGGAUGGCUCGUCCUAGAGAAUCACUUGUGGUUCAAAGCAAGCGUUUCCAACGUCGUGGAAUGGUUGAGUUGAAGUUCAUUUCAUGGCUUGUUAUUUGUUGUGUGGUGAAAACUUUAGUAUUUAUAAUGUAUCCUCGUUGUCGAUGUGGGUUGAUGACCUGUUGUAUGUAAUAAAAUGUUAUGCAUGUGAUAAACUUACUAAAUUUAUGAAUGGCUUUCGAGUCGCUUCUCUAAAUUUGUACUAGCUUCACAUGCUUCGCGCGUUGGGUGGGUGUUUUUACUGUAGCCAUAUGUUAAUGUGUUCGUUGUAUGUAACCAGCACCUCGAAUCCUCGAUACUAGUAUACUAUAUACUAGUAGGAGUAGUAGGGUGGCAUGGGCCAGAACAAGCAUUCACGUCCAGGAGUACGUCACACGCCACCACCACGACAUCCAUCUGACACCAUAUUAUUUCUUGGAGUCCGUGCUAGAGCAAUCUCUUCAACCUCGUCGUUUCUCUAACUUCAGCCGUCGCGCGGUGGGCGAGGUGGGGGUUUGCCGAUAGUCGGUUUCCUUAACCACGGUCCCACUUGUAAGGCCAACUCCAACCACGACCCCAAAUGCACCUCCAUUUUGCACAAACUCCAACGAUAAUUUUGACUAGAAAAGCAAGACCAAAGAAAACAAGAACCACAAUAAUACAUUUUACUACUCUUGUAAGUUGGAUUAGUGCCUUCUCGAUGCAUUCAUUGUAGAUCUACGAAGGCUCGAUCUUGCGUGCUUCUUUCUUCUUCGAGUGUAAAGAAGUAGACGUUGCUUCCUCGCAUCUAGUCUCAUGUCUAGCCUCUAUUCUAGUAGGAGUAUCAACAAGUGCACUAAUCUCAUCCGAGAGCAGAACUAAAGAUUUGGUCGGGUUCUUCCUUCUUUUGCCGACACGUGGGACAUCCAACAUCUAGGUAGGGAUGGCAAUUUUAUCCAUGGAUCUGGAUACCCAUGGAUACCCGACCUGGUUGGGCAAGGGUAUGGAGCGCAUUUCUGCCCAUGGGUCCUUGGAUAUGGAUACCCAUGAACAGUCGGGUUGGGCACGGUUAUAGUUUCUGCUCCAUGGAUAUCCGGUGGAUACCCGUAUGACAUGUGGGGCCAUAUGCCAGUGACAGUAGAAAGAGCGGAUCAAUGGGAAAUGGCAGGCAAUAUGCAACUGGUGCCAUAAGCUAUAUGCUGCAGAACCAACCUCUGGUAUGUCACACUUAAGGACUCAUUGUAUUACUUGUUGCCUACUUAUGCAUGUAGUUUAUGUUGUCAUUUGUGAGUGAAUGAUGAUGAGUUAAUUUGAUCUUUGUGAAGGCUUCAUGCUGACUUUUCUAUGCCCAUGGAGCUCCAUGGGUAUGUGGGUAUCCAGCCGGUUUGGGCAUGGGCACAAGUUGUGCCCAUGGAUAAUUUGGUGGAUGGGCAGAGGGUAGGAAGAUGGGUUAUGGGUUGGAUUUGGACCAGCUCCACCCGCCCCAAACCCGACCCAUUGCCAUCCCUACAUCCAGGUCGUGUCAUGAAAGAAAAUAGAGUGGUAGUUGAAGCCACGAGAUGUGCAUCUUGGGUUAAACUGUAAAUAGAAUCUUACUACUCUUGAGUAACUCCAAAAGCGGCCACCGAAGAUCUUUAUUGGAUUUGUUUUUCAUCACCAGCACAUCAAGGUGAAAGUUGUGCAGGUUCAGUGGGUCCUCUUGCGUUUUCACUAACAUGUGGGGCCGCAUGUGAGCAAACAGACGAUGGGCUCUGCGCGUCCGCUGGCUGGUUGAGAAGAGAGAUAGAGGAGGGCUGAGCACGGACUGCAGGAAAUUUGUUCUACGUACCUCGAUAUAGGCUCGAUAUAGUGGGGUGGCAUGGGCCAUAACUAGCAUUCACGUCUAGGAGUACGGCACAAGCCACCCAUACGAGUUCCAUCCGACACCAAUUUUCUUGGCGUCCAUGCUACAUCCAUCUCUUCUGCCUCCUGUUUUCUCAGCCAUCGCACGGUGGGCGGGGUGGGGGUUUGCCGAUAGUCGGUUUGCUCAACUGCAGUCCCACUUGUAAGUGAAAAUGCAACACCGCACGCAUUCCCGCUUGAGCGGCGUGCCAGACCAACCAUGUGGGGGUGCGAUGCGAACAUGGCAGGCUUUUCCUUUUGAACUCGUAACUUGUAAAAUUUGGUUCUGCUCCAUGGCGCGACCGAUAGAUAGAAAAUAACGAUUUUUCCUAGAGUAAUGAGAAGUUUGGUUCUGGCGCCGUUCAUGCAUGGAGUAUGUACAAUAAUUACUAUAGUAUCAUAUACUACUACAUGGAUUUGACGGAAAGAUAAAAAUACAUACGGAUCCGUCAAUGUUCAACGACAUCCUCAUGCCCUAGUGCGCCGGGUCACCAACCGACGUGUGAGGAGCAGCGGCGUUGGCGGCGAGCUCAACGUGCUUCUGAACAGUGCCGUCCAAGGUUGCCCUGUGCUCCAAGAAGGCCAGCGUCCUAUCGUCCUCCUCUUGCAUGUAGUAGUCCUUGUGGAUGAUUUGCGCAUAGACAUGGGUGAUUAUGUCGAUGGUGUCUUGCUGCGCCAGGCGCUGCGCGGCAAGCGCGACCUCGAGGUGGACAUUCUCCGGCGCGAUGGCGGGCAGUUGCAGGGCCACCAGUGCGUCGAAGAGGUUGUUACCAUAGUGUCCGUUGAGGGUGGAGGGCAUCGCAGAGCCAGGGCGCGUCGGCUAGAGGCUUACGUCAAAGUCGUCCGCAAGCUUCCUGACGACGGUGAACUUGUCGAGGAAACCGACGAGGACCUCGUCGAACAAGGAGACGAAGCUGUCGUCCAAGCGGCCCCUCGCCCUGGAGGCCUCAAGCAAUACUACCUGGAGACAUUCCUCGGUGCCAGGCCACAGGCUGGCGUCGUGGACCAUCUGGCACAGCCGGCUGAUGCUCGCGCUCAUCGCUUCCAUGGGUCUAGCGUGGCUUCUAGUCAACUGAUAUUGCGAUUCGAGCGAUCACUCAGCCCUUGGUUAGCGUGCAUAGGUGCGUAGGAUUUCGUACUACUCCUCGGCCCUCUACUGCACCUGCCUUUGGCUAUAUGAUACGUGGGCCAGCCACCCCCUAGGGCCACGUGUCAUUGACCCAAAGGCAGUGGCCAUAAGUCAAUGAAGCUGCGCCCCCCUCCGUGCCGGUGCAGUAUAGUCAUCUCACCGGACCUCUAGUUGGGGCCAAACGAGAGAAGUUUGAUGUUUACUGGUUUAUUGGCCUCCUUUGCAUUUUGCGCCAAGUUUUGACCUUUCAUUUAACUAUUAAAUGGUAAUGCAUGUAAACAAAAAUGUUGUGUAAGUCACCUUACGAAAACCAAAUAAUCCCAAAAUACUUAGGCACGGUGCAUUAACUCCCUCCUUGUUUCUUAUUUCGUGACAUAUCAACCAAUGAGAGAUGUGGGCCGUGCAUGCUUUCAAUGACUUGAGACUACCAAACAUGACAUGUAGUGUUUAGUUCAUUGCAUGUAAUCCUAUUAGUACUCUAGUUAGGAGUAGCAAAAAACAUUAAGUUCUCUCACCGAUAGGAAUAAAACACCAUGUAUUUAUUUAUAGAGGGAGUAGUACAUUUUUGGUGACAUGCAUUACUAGAUAUUGCUAGUCAAAUACUAAAAUCCAGAUGGACGUGGUAGUACUCCUAAAUCCACAUGGUGGUGCUACUAGUACUAGUAGUACUACUACCAAUGUAGUAGUAGGAGUACUAGCACUGUACUAUCCGUUGGUCAAAUUAUUACGUGCUGCUCCUCAUAGUGAAGUGACAAGACCCUGCGCCGGAGAUGACACCUGAGUAUAGGCGCCGUGUUCGGCAUACCAUAGUCAGCCUCACCGUCUGCAGUCACUAUCAUCAUGGCUGUAGAGCUAGCCUGCUUACAACUAGCCCUGUUCGACAUAAUUUCCCGUGCGUAGAUGCCCGUGCAUUGCACGGAACACCAAGAUUGGGGGUGGACAGCUCCGGCAGCGGCCAUCGCGCCAGAUUUUUCCACGGCCUUCUACUCCUAGAUGUGGUGGGGAGGAGAUGAGGCUGAUUGUGAGAGACAAGGAGUUGUUUGUAAAUAGGGAACAAGUGCGGGCAUCUUUUUGCAAAAAUGGAGAACCUUGGUCUGUAUGCGUCAGAUCUAGAUCCGAUGGCUAUUGGUGAAAGAUGGGAGGCACAACAUCAUCACCAACUCAGGACCUGUUUGAUUCGCAGGAUUUUGAAAACGCAGGAAUAGGACAGGGCAAUAUUACAAGUUUCAAACUGAUAUUACAAAUGUUAGGAGUAAUGUUGCACCUACGAAGAGGGAAUUACUAGGAAGUUUACGUAAGAACUUUCGUUACUUUAGGUGGAUGCAACAUUAUCGUACAAACUAAAAUCCACCGCCCUGACAAGUCACUAAUGGGCAAAUAAGUUUUUGAGUCUCUGGCCACUUGAUGUUUCAAAAACAAAUUCAGCUUCUGCGGAGAAAUGAGCUCCACCGUGUACCCGCGCGGGUGUGGCUGGGUACGAAGCGUGAGUACGUGCACGGUGCACCUAUUCUCUUCUUGUAUAUGUACACCACCUACGUGGGGUUGUGUGAGAGAGAUACAAACCUAGAGAGAUAUAGUGUGUGUGUUCUUGAGAGNNNNNNNNNNNNNNNNNNNNNNNNNNNNNNNNNNNNNNNNNNNNNNNNNNNNNNNNNNNNNNNNNNNNNNNNNNNNNNNNNNNNNNNNNNNNNNNNNNNNNNNNNNNNNNNNNNNNNNNNNNNNNNNNNNNNNNNNNNNNNNNNNNNNNNNNNNNNNNNNNNNNNNNNNNNNNNNNNNNNNNNNNNNNNNNNNNNNNNNNNNNNNNNNNNNNNNNNNNNNNNNNNNNNNNNNNNNNNNNNNNNNNNNNNNNNNNNNNAUGCAAUGUGUGUGAAAUAGAGUCCUAGAUAUAACAUAUAUAUAGAGGGGGCGAUCCACGAGAAGAGAGUGGAGGUAUCAUCGGCUUGAGGUGUCCCAUAGAAUCGAAGAGAGGGAUGAUGUGUGUGUGUGUGUGCGUGUGUGCGCGCGCGAUCGAUAAAGAGUGCCAUCAAAUUUGUGUGUGCCCACGUCAAAGAUAUAGAGUGGCUGGCCUACUGGAACGUGAGAUGCGACAUGUGCAGUUUGUCUCUGUGGCAUGGAUACCUACCUGCAGCGCUCGACUAUCGGUGUGUGGUGGGGGAAGAGGGAGGCCCAAUUAACUAUAGAGGUACAAUGGCUGGUAUAUGUGUGGAGGAGGAGAGAGGCCUACCGCAUGUAUUAAGGAGAUCGACCUGCCUCAUGUAUUAAGGGAGAUCGAUCAGCAUCCAUGCAUAUGUACAGAAGAUGAAUAAGGUUGGGAGAGAGACAGAGCUAGAGUGUUGGAGGGGGUGGUAGUGGAGUUGCUUCUAACAAAUGGUGGGAUAGACUUGCUAGACAAACGGAGGGCACGCCCGCAAUAUCAAUAAGAGAGGAGAUGGCUACUUGUUGUCUGUGCACGUGCAUGUGAGAGACGGGUCAGGAGGCAUGCACGAAUGAUGAGGGGGGACGAUGUGGCUGUGGUAAGAAGACGUAACUACAUAGGAAGAUCAAUCGCCCUUUUAAGAUAAAGGAGAGACAUAACUUGUGAGGUACGUCGAUCGAUGGGGGGGGUAGUUAAAGUCGAUCUAGGUAUAUGUUGGGAGAUCGAUCGGUAUACAUGCAUGUGUGUGUUAGAAGCAAAUGAGGCAUGAGGAGAAGGAUAGAGAGAGAGAGGGAUGCAUGUAGGAGGUGGUACUAGAGGCAUACUAUAUCGAGGGGGAGGAGUGUGCGAGUACGAGAACGCUGAAAAGAGUGGUGGGGGUGAGGCAUGGACGGUGACAAGAGAAGAGGGGAAGCUUGUGUUUGUGCUGGGCACACCUGGCUAGAGAGGCAUAUCGAUCGAUGUGUGCCGUAAAGAAGGAGCUGGGGGGCCUACACACACCGUGGGUGAACGACCUAAAGUGAAAAGACGAAUUUGCGUGAUGGAGCUAGGGAAUGCUGAGGGAGGGUGAGAGGGAUGAGGGCGUGUGCAUGCACAAGAGAAAGUUAGCGCUAGCUACAAAGAUAAGAGGGUUGUGUGGGUGUAAAAGACAAAUAGAGAUCAUAUAUACUUCAUUAUAAAAAGCGAAUUCGGAUAUUUCAAGAAUUUAUCAUAGUGUUUCAAACCGACGGAUGUGUGAAUAUAUAUAACGGUGAUACACAUGGUGUGGUUAUGAACAUGGUAUACUACAUUUAAUAUGUUUUAUCUCUACUCUUAUAAAAAAACAGAGUUGUUGAUGAUGGUGUGCCUGCCAUCCUGCAUUAUAGGCCGUCUGAUUUAUAUCUGGCGGAUAGCAAGGAAACUAUGAUGGUUGAAGUUGGCAAUAAUCAUGAUUGUAGAUUCUUAUUGAAAUAGAGAAACGAAUUCAAAUUUAGUUUGAAUUGCAGCGGUAGUAUAGACAUUUGGAAUGCACUAAAAUGUUGGUAUGAGUAGGUUACAUGCAUUAUACAGCAAGCGAAGAAAUUUAAUCGGACAUAACAUGGAUUCAUACUCCCUCCUUCCAUCUAUAUAGGGCGUAAUGAGAUUUUUAAGACCGCCUUUGACUAUUGACAAGAUUAAUAGUACAUGACAUGCACAAUGUGAAAAUUAUAUCAUUGAAAGAACCUUUCACAGACGAAUUUAACGGUGUGCUUUGUGUAAGUUGCAUGUCAUAUAUCAUUGCUCUAAUAUUUGGUCAAAGUUAGCAUCGAAAAACGCAUUAGGCCCUAUAUAGAUGGAAGGAGGGAGUAGCUUUGAAUAGCAUUUGUAUAGUAAAACGGGGCAAGACUCUCUCUUUGUGUGGUGUGAAUAGUUUUAUUUUUUUUCAUUUUCUUUUUGGUUGAGGGAAGUGCGAAUUGAUUUGGUACAUACAAGUACAAUAUUACUACACGUUAGGCUUGUCCCUAAAAUUCAACCCGUGUCUUGUUAUAUCCCGAAAAUUCAGAUAUCGUGCUCCCAAAACUGGCGCCUUCACAACCCGCGCCUUGCUAUCCCGAAAUUACAACACGCGCGAAAACUCCCUCCAGCUGUCAAAUCCCGACACGCGAAAUCCCCCUUCUAACCCUGAGCCGAAAGGGCCGCUAGUUCAAAUCGGUGGGGGGUACUUUUCUAACACACCCUACAUUUUGGACAAGCGCGUUCCUAAGUCAUGCUUCACCCCCUCCCAUCGCCCCCUUUUCACCAUUCGAAAUCCCAGGCCGCCAUAACCUCUCCGCUCCAGCCGCGAAACCCCACCCUCCUCUGUCCGCCACGUCACCGCUGCCCAGCCGGAGCCUCUUCCCCGAUGAUGUCUUCCAGCGCAACAGCUCGAUGUCCCUCGUCCACCUCCCCGGAUGAGGAUUCGUCGUCCAUCUCGCCGUCCCGCCGGUUCAGCCGCCCCGUCCUCCACCUCCAAGGAGUUGCUCCGACGAUCGCCUUGUCUAUCGCGGCUGCUCCAUCCCCACAGUGCCGCCUUAACCUGCUCCACGGGAACCGCAGCAUCCUCACCGACUCCUCGGACGAAGCCGAGGCCUACUCCUCGGACGAAGCCGAGGCCUACUCGGCGCCACCAAAGAGGUUGUACACUCAUUGCAUCACACCUUCUCCUUAAAUCGACCUCCGGGCGCCGACGGUGCUCCAUCCCGCACCCCCAUGGAGCGGCUACCUUGAAGCCAGCGCCGCAGGCGACAUCUCCACGGAGGCUCUCCCCUAGUGCGAGGCCCCUUCGGCGGCGGCGUCCAUACCAGCCGGAUCUGCUGCUGCUGCUCCAGCUCUCACUCAAUCGCUUGCCCAACUGCUGUUGCUGCUGCUCUCCCCCUCGCUCGUGCUGCUGCUCUACUCCGAUUAAGCCACACUUCAGUCGACUGAAUCGACUUUUGGGUCAGUCGAUUUUCAGGGGUUGGGAGGCUCACCGAAGUUAAGGAAGAACCACCCGCAGCAGGGAUGGGGGCUCGCUGGAGAGGUACCCCACUAUCUAUCUUAGGGUUCUGGGUCGGGGGCGGGGGGCCUAGAGGGCUGGCCGGGGCGGUAGUGGCGAGUUGUUUUGGGGCGGUGAGGCGGCGCUGGGGCCGGCGGUUAGGCCGGUGGUGGCUGGCGGCUCAGGGGGGUGCAAGUUGAAGAUGAACUACAUGCCCUCCCUAAACUACAUGUCAAGUGCCUCUCUGCUACCAUUGCGUUCAGUUUCGACAGUAGCAUUCAGAUUCCACAGUAAAUUUCAGUUUCGACAGUUAAGUUCAGAGUCAACAGUUUUUACCUCAUCUAUUGUAGUCAGGUGGUGUUUGGUGAUGUUAAUUUUACAUCAUCUAUUGGAGAUGCUAUUAGAAUCCCACUUGAGAUUGACGAUGUCUGUCUUAUGCUGCUUCAGCCUUGAUGUCUUACGGCUCAUCGGAGCUACUCCAACGACAGAACGAUCUGUCACAACAGAGCAGUGCCCUGGACACCGUCUACAGAUUCCUCAGAUCUUCCUCCACACCUCCGAUAGCCACCUCUGCCUCAACUGCUUCAACGACCAACCCAUUGAUGCUGAGGUCGACACGGCUAUGGCAAAGAGGUUGUACACUUGUUGCAUCACUUAUUACUAUACAUUCACGUUGAUCCAUUAGGGCUAUUUUGGUUCAACGGAAAAACAUCGAUCCACUAGUUGUUACCAUCACUCUAAAUUUCUGCAUGCUCUCCUUACAUAAUCUCACCAUAUUUUUUUCGUAUGCAUGUCAGAUAUUGUACACAGUCAUGCUGAACAUGUAGAGAAAAAGAGAAGAGUUUUGCGCGGCAAUACAAUGUCAUGCAGACAUCGCUCCAUGGUGGGUUCAAUGGCAAACCCUCCCCACCCCUCUCCAGAUUGUAAUCCAGAGGAAGAUAUCUAUUCUAAGGCGGAUUCAGACGCCGCUGACCACUCCUAUUUACCCCCCAAGGUGUUUGCUCUACCUUGGCAUGAUGAUGUUAGUCAUAUCAUGCAUAUGUUGCCUUGCAGUGCCUACUUUUGACAUCAUAUAUGUCAUCUGCUUAGUUUAGACAUGUUCUGUAAUGCCACCUGUUUAGUUUCUAUAUCAUAUAUGGGAAUUAUGCAGUCUCAUGUCUUUUAGCCAGCCAUAAUAUAUGUGAAAUGUGCAAUGCCAUCCUGUUUAACCAGGCAUCAUAUAUUUGAAUGAUAUCUUGCCCAUCCUUUUCUUCAUUACAUUUCCAUUUAUCGACAAUGUUUGUACAUUAAACUACUCUUCCUGUGAAUCAGCCAUUUGGGUGGGAGAUGGAAAAAUCUGGAGUGAAAACAAGGCCUUCAGAGCAGACAGUGCUACCUGUCGAAGCAGAUCUCUUGUUGGGUCCCGAUAGCUCCUCAGAGAUGGAUUCAGAGACAGAUGACCAGUCCUAUUCCCCCACUGAGGUGUAUGCUCUAACUUGGCAUGGUUAUACUGGUCAUAUCAUGCAUACGGUGUCUUGCAUUGCAUAGUUUAGACAUCAUAUACACAAUAUUCAACACCAUGUUCUUAGUUCAGACAUCAUAUCGAAUGCCCUAUGUUUAGCAUAUAAAUCACAUAUGUGAAUUAAAUGAUGUGAUCCUGAUUACUUAGAUAACAUGUAGGUGAAUUAUGUCAUGCGAUCUUGUUUAGUUAUUCAUCAUAUCUUUGAAUUAUGUUAUGCUAUGCUAUCCAGUUUAGAUAGACAUCAUAUAUGUGAAAUUAUGUCAUGCUAUCCGUUUUAGUUAAACAAUAUACAUGUCAACUAUUUCAUGCCCUCUUUUUUCCACACUAUCUAUUGCAUCUGUCUCUCAUACAAUGUCUGUACAUUCAACUAUGUUUCCUGUUUAUCAGCCAUUUGAAUUGGAGCGGGUGAUACUAGUAUCUAGCGGACUAAAAACACGGUCUUCAAAUAAAACAGUGCUACCUCUUGGUGGAGAUAGCACCCCGGUUGUACAUGCACAAGAACCAGCCCUACCACACAUAACCUAAACUCUCGCAGAUUGUACCCCUACUACGAUGGACAGAGAACCAGCUUCACCCAAUCUAACCCCAACCCCAGCUGAUAGUAACCCAGUUCCUGUUGACACAGCACCAUCUCCACCUCAGAGCUCCCAAACAAGAGCAGUUAGUAAGGCAGCUCCAGUGCCCAAAGGGCCAGUACUAUCACGGCGAACCCCAACUCCACCAGUUUGUACGCUUAUUUCUGUGGAGGAAGCACAACCAGCUAGUCGUAGUUUAGCAUCUAUCACAUUUGAUGUUGUUAAAUCGUAUGUGCGUAUCUUCCCAUCUUGGAAAUAUUAUAGUGAAGAUCAAGGAAAAUGCCAGUUGCAGGUGUUUGUCCAGGAGUUAUGUGUAAGUAAUGUUAUUCAUGGCAAUUACUUUGCUUCGUCUCAUACAUCCUACCUCCAUGAUGGUUAUAAUACAUCAAAUUUUACCAUUUUUCUCUAUAGAGAAGGACCGAUUUGGAAACUCAUGAUGAGGUAACCUGUGCUAAUAACUCUGCUAUCUUCAAGAAUGCUUGGUGGCAGUAUCGGAAUUACCUAAAGAAAACGUACUUCACCGGCAAAGAAACUCAUCAAAUUCCCUUACAUUCUCCUGAGACACAUUUACUGGACGAUGACUGGGAACGCCUUGUUCUGUACUGGUCCCGAACCAAGAAUGUGGUAAGGUCUAUGAUCUCAUUUUCUAUUUUUAAGUAUUAUAUUCUUGCGUCUUACUGUACUCUGUUCAUGUAGAACAAGUGCCUAAACCUGAAGAACAACUGUUCUAAUUUAAGAUUCCAUUGCUACCAUAGGACAUAGAUAUAUGUUUGUUUGAUGCUUUUAUUAUGUACUAGUACUUGGCAAUAGAAGACUUGGUAGUUUAAUCAUGUCCACCUUACUAAUGAACUGGUUCACCGAAAUGAGUUUCAUAUACUAGUACAUGCUAAACUUGUUAUGUGUCUGCUUGUUUCUUCUAUUAGAAUGCUGAUAGAAUAUUGGGGAAGAGUGCCUUAUUAAGCAACGGUAAAGGAAGUAAUGCAAAUAAGGUUCAUGAUAGUGACACAUCCUGUCUUGGUUUAGUGUUGGAGUUACUGGCCACUACCGCUUGCACAAGCUAUUCAAACUCACUAUCUGAAUCAGUUCAGUUUCUUGAGUCUGAACUACAAGCUGAAAGACAUCGAUCAGCUGUGCUGUGACAAGAAGCGGAAGGACUGCGGAAGUCCCUGGAGCAUUCAGAUGCAUACUUUCUGGUGCAACAGCAAGCGUUGGAGGAUUUUAGCGCCAAACAGGACAAAGCUAAUCAGCUUUUUAAGCUUAUUGCCAGCAUGGUGGAUACCCAGGAUAACGUUUCUUGAGCUCUUCUGAAGUUGUUUCAGUUAUGCUCUUGUUUUGCUGCCGCAUUUAUUUGCGCCGGUGGCCAAUUUUGACGGCCAUUGUAUAUGAUAUGCUGCUUUGUUCCCUAUAUUUGCACUGGUGGCGAACUUUGAUGCCUAGUGGAUGUAAUAUGUGUAAUACCCAUGAUAGCCUAGCGUUAGUUGCUUGCUUAUUUAUUUCCUUGUUGUCUUGUUUUUUUGUUUGCUUGUAGUCAUUGCAGUUAUUUUUCCGCGGUUAACUAGUGGCUGCAAUAACCUAGUUUUUAAAACUAGGCCACAAUAACCAUGGGCUAAUAUUUACUGUAGUGACACUGGGCCUCCUACGGGCCGUAGAAACAGUGGGCCUUCUAUGGGCCGUAGAAACAGCAGGCCUUCUACGGGCCGUAGAAACAAUGGGCCUUCUACGGGCUGUAUCAUCAAUGGGCCUUAUAUGGGCCGUAUAAUCGAUUGGCCAAACAUGGGCCAAUAACAGGCCGCAUUAUGGCCGUAAACGGGCUAGAGUUGGAAUCGUCCGUUCAUGGGCCGACCGUAACGGGCCAUCGUUAAUAGGCCGUAUUUGAUGACGCUAUGAAAACGGCCCAACGUAUUAAUGGACCACAAACGGGCCAACUGUAACCACGGGCUGAAUUUUGCCCACAAGCAGAAAAUGACAGUAACGGGCCGUAAGUAAAUGAAUACUAGAAAUGAGCGCAAGAAUAAAUGGGCUCUGAGAAGGCCGAAAGAUAACAUGGGCUGGAAACGGCCCAACGGAAUAACAUGCCGUUAAUGGGUAUAAAGUGAUACACUGUUCAUUACGGGCCAGUUUCACCACGGGCCGUUAAUGGGUGUAAAGUGAUACAUUGUUCAUUACGGGCCAGUUUCACCACGGGCCGUUAAUAGGCCAAGAGUUACAUAGGGCCUCAUAUGGGCCGAAAGACGUCUUGGGCCAUACAUGGGCCAGAAGUGAAAACGGGCUAGAAUCAUAUUGGAUGGCCUAGAUGACGCUACUGGGCCUAAUUCAGAUAGGGCGUCACGGGCCUUGGGUUAGCGGGAUGUAAAUGGGCUAUAUGCGAACAGGCCGUUAACAGGCUUUCCAUGGGCCGGCCCGCCACCUUUUGACCAAGUCAAAUGGGCCGGCCUUUUCAUAGGAAUGGGCCUCUGUUGGGCCGUGCCACGUGCCGAUGUAUCAUAGGCGCCUAUCUGACCCACUAACGAGCUGACACGUGUUUCGUCCGGCCAAUAAGAAUUUUACACAAAUUUCCCGUUGGUCGGGGCUGUUAACGGGUUAUCGGAUCCAAAACCCGACCCGAUAGCUUAACGGCGUUCCAUUACGAUGGAUGCCAUGUGUCGGUCACCCUUGACAAAAGAACUUCUAUGACGCGCGAUUUAUCAUCAUGGAAGUGGACACUUCCGUGAUGAUAAUUUUGGUAAUGUCAAGGAACACUUCUACGACAGCACAUGUAUGACUAUCUUGAUUCUAUCAUAAAUUUGUCAUGGAUGUACAUGCAUGACAAAAAAGCGACCUACUGUGACAAACACGUAUCAUCACAUAAGUGUAUUUUUUUGUAGUGGGAGCUCUGGCUGUCGGCCAAACUCUCCGGCUAGGAAGUUUCGUCAUGACUGCCUGUUCGGCCGCUGCACCGACGAUGACUUCUCAGGUCAUCAAAAACAGCCUCCAUGUCGGCUUGGAAGUCGCCGAGCAGAUGGAUCCAAUGGAGCUCUCUUCCCUAAACGAACUCUUGGAUCGCAUCGCCGCCUUGGGAGUCGCUACGAACUAUGAUCGGAUUGGGCUUAAACCCGAUCAAAGGGAGAUUAACUCUCCACCGGUCACCCAUCAUGUUGCGGUGGUGGAGGAACAAUGCGACAACUCUUCCUCUAUUUUGAGGACUAUGUCCGGAUUCCUGAACUCUCCGAGCCGGAUACCCGCUUAAGGGAGGACAUUACCCAAGCCCUGAACCUAGAAUCAGGCAGCGGGCCAAACUUAUCGGGCAACACUCCGGAAUCCGAACUUCCAAGAUUGGAAACUCCUCGGCCCCUCGGUCUCAGAUCGGGUAGGGGUUUGGACUCAAAUCCACCCACCCACCCAGACAUAAACGCUCUUUCCCACAUCAGGCAAGAGCCCCAUGAAACAGUACAUCAUUAUUGGGCCAGAUUCCUCCUUGUGAUGAACAAGGUUAAGGACUGUCUCGAGGAAGAUGCAGUCUCACUUUUCUGCAAUAAUUGCACGGACAAGGGAAUCCUUAACGCCUUAAGUCGCCGUGACAUAUCAUGCUUCGCUGACUUGGCGUCCAUAGUAUGAAAGUACUGUGCGAUGGAAAGCGCCUGGAAAACCGAAAUGAAAUUUUGGGAUAAUCCGGCUCCGAAUAUACACCCAGUCCAAAGUAAAAGGGUGCACUAUCAUAAGACGCCCGAGCUAGUUGCAAAGAAACAAAAACCCUCUACAGGGCAUGGAACCGUACUGGAGGGAUGGCUUAACGGACCCUGCAAAAUUCACAACACAACGGAUACAAUACCAACACACAGCCUUAGAGCAUGUUGGCGGCAGGUGGCCAAAAGUGGUGAGGAUCUUCUUAUCCCAAAUGCCACAGAGCACCAUCCCGUGGAUAACAAUACGGUGUUAACAGUCUUUGAGACCUUUGCGUCAAAUAAUAGGCGCAAGCGAACACUCUGCAGCAUGGCCGAAAUCUGCCAUGUAGCAGCAAUAAAUCCAUGGAGUGACACGGCUAUUACCUUCAAUGCCAGUGACAAACCUAAAUUCCGAACAGCCCGAGCACCAGCUGCACUAGUCCUCAGUCCAAUUGUGGACGGCUUUCGACUCACCAAAGUACUCAUGGACGGCGGCAUCGGAUUAAACCUUAUCUAUGAGGAAACUCUGCAAAAAAUGGAAAUAGACUGGAACCGCAUUGAGCAAAGUAGCACAACCUUCAGGGGAAUCAUACCCAUUCGGGAGGCACGAUGCGCUGGGAAAAUCACACUAGAUGUGGUAUUCGGUACGCCAGAGAAUUACAGGUCCGAAGAAAUUACAUUUCAAGUGGCCUCGUUCAGCAGUGGAUACCACACCCUUUUAGGACGUGAGGCGUUCACGAUCUUCCAAGCCGUACCCCAUUACGGGUACAUGAAGCUCAAAAUGCCCGGGCCCAACGGAAUCAUCACCCUCGCUAGUGAUCCGGACACAGCACUUCGAGCCGAAAACAAAACAGCCGCACUGGCCCUCGAGGCAUUAUCCGAAGCCCUCUCGGCCGAGGAGCUAACCACGCUACACUCCACAAUGGACAGGGACGACGUGAUACUCGAUAAGAGAUCCAAGUCCACCUCUUUUAAACCAGCGGAUGAAAUAGUAAAAUUCCAAGUCCACCCAACGGACCCUACGAAAACAGCCUCCAUCGAGGCAUAGUUAAAACCCGUCGUGGACGCCACACUAUGAGAGUUCCUGCACGAGAAUUGGGACAUAUUCGCCUGGCACCCCUCAGACAUGCCAAGAAUCCCACGCAGGCUGGCCGAGCAUAGCCUCAAUAUCCUAAAGGGAUUCAAGCCGGUCAAGCAAGCUCUUCGGCGUUUCUCCGAACCUAAGAGACAUGCCAUGGGAGCGGAACUAGCCAAGUUAUUGGAGGCCGGAUUCAUCAGAGAGAUAAAACACCCGGACUGGCUAGCAAACCUGGUGAUGGUACCAAAGAAGGAUAAAUCCUAGAGCCUUUGUGUCGAUUUCAAGGACCUCAAUAAAGCUUGCCCAAAGGAUCCCUUCCCCCUCCCCCGCAUCGACCAAAUUAUCGAUGCUACCGCAGGACACAAGUCAUUGUGUUUCCUCGACACAUACUCCGGUUACCACCAAAUCAAGACGGUGGAGUCCGACCAAGCCGCAAUGGAAUUCAUCAUACCAUACGCUCCCUUCUGUUUCAACACAAUGCCUUUUGGGCUCAAAAACGCCGACGCAACAUAUCAGCGCAUGAUUCAGACAUAUCUGGAGAAACAAAUCGGCAAAACAGUAGAGGCAUACGUAGACGAUGUGGUCGUCAAAACCAAACAUGUCGACUCUUUGAUAGACGACUUGAGGCUCACAUUCGACAACCUUCGAACAUAUGACAUUAAGCUCAAUCCAAAAAAAUGUGUUUUCGGCGUACCAGCCGGAAAGCUCCUAGGUUUCAUUGUCUCAAGUAGAGGUAUUGAAGCUAAUCCGGCCAAAGUCCGAGCUUUAUCACAGUUGGCUACCCCAACAGACCUCAAACAAAUCCAGAAGUUAACAAGAUGUGUGGCGGCUCUAAGCCGCUUUAUCUCCCGCUUAGGAGAAAAGGCUUUACCCUUUUAUCGCCUCCUUCGGCGCACCGAACACUUUGAGUGGACGGACGCUGCCACAGCUAGAUUGGAAGAAAUAAAGGCCAUUUUGGCAACCAACCCAAUCCUGGCCGCGCCAAACAUCGGCGAACCAAUGCUGUUGUACAUUGCGGCAACUCAUCAAGUUGUAAGCGCAGUGCUCGUCGUCGAACGAGAAGCUGACGGACAUAAAUUCCCUCUUCAAAAGCCGGCAUACUAUGUAUCCACUGUCCUCACCACAUGCAAAUCGCGGUACCUACAUUAUCAAAAGAUAGCCUACGCGGUAUUCAUGGCAUCCCGGAAGUUGCGACACUACUUUCAAGAGUGUUUGAUUACAGUAGCCUCGGAAGUGCCACUUAAUGAUAUUAUAAACAACCACGACGCUACGGGCCGGAUUGCCAAAUGGGCUAUUGAGCUCUUCCCGUUUGACAUGACAUACAAACCUCGACGAGCCAUUAAGUCACAAGUAUUGGCCGACUUUGUCACCGAAUGGACGGAGGCCGAACUCCCUAAAGAGUACGGCACAUACUCCAAUUGGAUCAUGCACUUCGACGGUUCUAAAAUGCUUGCUGGUCUAGUGGCUGGCGUCGUACUGACGUCCCCAACCGGAGAUACCGUUCAGUACGUACUACAAAUAUUGUACACAGACUCCAACAACGCGGCCGAAUACGAAGCUCUGUUGCAUGGUCUUCGGAUGGCAGUCUCCAUGGGCAUUCAACGCCUGGAGGUGCGCGGGGAUUCAAACCUUGCAAUAUCCCAAAUAAAUGGAGACUUUGACGCCAAGGAUCCGAAAAUGGCGGCCUACUGAAACGCCAUCCUAAAAAUGUCAGCUCGGUUCGAGGGCUUGAAUUUCACCAUGUGGCUCGGGAAAACAAUCAGGCGGCAGAUAUCCUCGCCCGCAUCGGCGUAAAACGCGAUGCGGUCCCCCCCAACAUCUUUCUGGAAAGGCCGCUCAAGCUAUCCGUAGUAUGGGAAGGGGACACCGGUAACCAUAGUCCGGACCCGGCCAAAAUGCCUGAUACCGAACACUCUGACACAAUCGGAGGCUCCGCCACCGAAAUCACACCUUCAGCCCACGUAAUAAUGGCCAUUAUAGCCCCGUGGACAGAACCAUUCCUGGCCUACCUAACUAGGCAGGAACUUCCGGAGGACCAAAAUGAGGCACGCUGCAUAGUGCGGCGAUCUAAGCACUACCGGAGUCCUUCAAAGGUGCAUCUCUGAAGAGGAAGGGCGGAACCUUUUGGCAGAAAUCCACGCCGGACUCGGCGGUCACCACGCUACAGCCCGGUCUCUUGUAUGCAAGGCCUUCCGUACAUGAUUCUAUUGGCCAACGGCCCGGGCAGAUGCACAGGACUUGGUCCAACGUUGCGCUGGUUGCCAACUCUUUGCAAAUCAAAGCCACAUGCCACCCACCACCCUCCAAACAAUCCCCAUUACGUGGCCCUUCGCGGUAUGGGGGCUUGACAUGGUUGGACCCCUUAAAGGGGGAACCCACAAGAAAAAAUACUUACUGGUCAUGGUGGAUAAUUCACCAAAUGGAUAGAGGCCAAACCUGUUAAAACAGCCGAAUCCGGACCAGUGAUAGACUUCAUAUCUGGGGUCGUACACCGUUAUGGCGUCCCCCACAGCAUCAUCACUGACAAGGGCACAAACUUCACAGCCGAUGAGGUAAAACUCUGGUGCAGCAAAAUGGGCAUCAAGCUCGACUAUGCUUCAGUCUAUCACCCACAAACCAACGGCCAAGUCAAGCGAGCAAACGGUCUUAUAAUGAGUGGCAUUAAACCCAGAUUAGUGCGUUCCUUAACGGAGUCUAACACGCACUGGGUAGAGGAGCUCGACUUCGUACUCCGGGGAUGCGGACCACGUCGAAUCGUAGUACCGAAUACACACCCUUCUUUAUGGUGUACGGCGCAGAGGCAGUCUUGCCCUUGUGACAUAAUUCAUGACUCACCUCGAGUGCGCAUGUACGAAGAAAGAGAAGCCGAGCUCGAUCGGUAGGACAGUCUGGACAUCCUGGAGGAGGAGCGCAAUGUAGCCAAAGCCCGUUCCGCAUUUUAUCAGCAACAGGCUCGCAGAUACAAAAGCAGAGAAGUACGGGCCAAAACUUAUAACGUUGGCGAACUAGUUCUACGCCUGCCGGAUAAGAAAAAGAACAAGCUCGAGCCCAAAUGGGAAGGUCCCUUCAUUGUUGACCAAGUUCUGACCGGUGGAGCGUACCGACUGCGGGAUGCAUCAACUAGUCGACUCGAGCCGAACCCAUGGAAUGCAGCCAGGCUCCGAAGAUUCUAUGCCUAGCGCCGGACCCUGUGUUCAUCCCCUCCCUUUGUCCAUGUUUUGCAUAUACAUUAUCUAUAUUGUUUUUCUUUCUUCCUUUCUUUUAUUAUUUCUCUAGGCCUUUAAGGGCCAACUUGUGCCUCGCUUGCACAUUAUAGAUGCGCUAGCCGCGCUCAUAAUACCUGGGGGCUUCUUUCACAGAAGCUUAAUUAUUUAUCUAGGCCUCAGGCCCCGAACAUGUGCCACGCUUCCGCAUGUACCUUUUUUCGCCAUUAUAUGCAUCAAUAUGACAUAAUUUCUGGCCAAGCUGGGUUGCCUGGCUCUUGUAUUUAUGCCCUACGUUCCCGUUAAUUUGGCUAGGGCAUAAGGGGACCACCUCUGCGAUUGUUAUUGCCGGGUCAGCCGGACGUGUACCUCAGACUGGGUGAAGCCAAAAGCUAGCGUUCUUAAGGGAAUAUUCGGUCGGUGAAGAAAAGAUGAUUUUUAUUUAUUGUCCAUAUCUGCCCCCAGAUGUUUUUCCUGCAUUUCCUAUCGCAGUCCGGACAUGCACUUUAGGGCAUGCUUACCCAGGGAAAGGAACCCUUAACGGAACUAUUCUCCCUGGAAGAUGUUUCUUACUACCCAUGUAAUAUAACAUAACUAGUUGGGCACUUGUCUGUUCAAGCACUAAUGACCCCUACGCCUGGUCUCCACGCAUACCCCAGUUCUUAUAUAACUGAGCAGGUAUUCGGAUACACUCCAGACUAUCGGGUCCCGAGGUUGAAGCGAAAAGGUCUGCCAAGACAAAUGAUCUACAAUCUGGCUAGAAGGCAUUAUACAUGUCACUUCCAUUACAUAGUCAUGCAGACUGACUAAAUUCCUCUUCUAUACCAUCCAAUAGGCGGUCUAGCUUAAAAUCAUGUUGGGAAUACUUUGCGGCUAAUUCUACUUGCUCAUAAACUAAGCUAACGGGGAUCUCUUUUCCGUCGGAACCCAUAGGUCCGACCUCGGCCAUGUGAUUUGGGUCUGCCUUGGUAUACCGUGUCUUCACCAUGGCCCAGGCUUCUCUGGCACCCUGUCGGCAGGCUGAUAUCUUCCAUAAUCGGAAGCGCCGCCGUGUUUGUAACACCCUCGAUGCGACUAUACCUCCCAUGUGUCGAGGCACGACUUAGAGGCAUAAUCGCAUUGAAGGCAUAUGUCGCAAGUUAGGCAAUCUUCACAACAUCCCAUGUAAUAUGAAUAAUAAAGGGGAGAAAACAUAGUUGGCUUACACUCGCCACGUCAAUCAAGUACAUAAAUAACAUUACAUCAUCCAAACACUCAUGGCCCGACUAUGGCACCAAAAUAAAGAGACCCAACAUGCGACACAGUCCCAAUCACCCCCAACUAGGCACCACUACUGAUCAUCGGGAAAGGAAACAUAGUAACAUUGAGAGUCUUCGUCGAACUCCCACUUGAGCUCAUAUGUGUCUGCUGGAGCGGAAUCAUCAGGCCCUGCAUCUGGUGUAAUAGUAAUCUGUGAGCCACAGGGACUCAACAAUCUCGCACCCUCGCGAUCAAGACUAUUUAAGAUUAUAGGUAUGGCAAGGUAAGAAUAUAUGGAGCUGCAGCAAGCGACUAGCAAGUAUGGUGGCUUACUUAUUCGAAAAAGAGAGCGAGAAGAGGAGGCAAAGCGCGAGCGAGAAACUAGAGAACAACCUGGGCAAACAUUACUCCAACACCAUGUCCACUUCCCGGACUCCGCCGAGAAGAGGCCAUCACGGUAACACACUCAGUUGAUUCAUUUUAAUUAAUUAAGGUUCAAGUUAUCUACAACCGGACAUUAACAAAUUCCCAUCUGCCAAUAACCGCGGGCACGGCUUUCGAAAGUUCAAAUCCCUGCAGGGGAGCCCCAACUUAGCCCAUGACAAGCUCUCAUGGUCAAAGAAGGAAUAGACCUGCUCCCAAGAGGUUCCGAUCAGACUCGGUAUCUCGGUUCUUCAAGACACUUCGACAGGUUAAAACAAGACCAGCAACACCGCCCGAAUGUGCUGACAAAUCCCGAUAGGAGCUGCACAUAUCUCUUUCUCAAGGCACACUCAGAUUGUCCUAGGUACGGGUAGGCCAGCCCAGAGUUGCCCCUGGUGGCCACCGGUAGCUGACAGGUGGACCAACACUCAGAGGAGCACUGGCCCGGCGGGGUUAAAAUAAAGUUGACCCUUGAGUCUGCAGAACCCAAGGGAAAGAAAAGGCUAGGUGGCAAAUGGUAAAACCAAGGUUGGGCAUUGCUGGAAAAUCUUUAAUCAAGGCGAAAUAUCAAGGGGUUCCCAUUAUAACCCAACCGUGUAAGGAACGCAAAAUCCGGGAACAUAACACCGAUAUGACAGAAACUAGGGCGGCAAGAGUGGAACAAAACACUAGGCGAGAGGCCGAGCCUUCCACCCUUUACCAAGUAUAUAGAUGCAUUAAGAUAACAUAGCAAUAUAAUGAUAUCCCAACAAGUAAAUAAAUGUUCCAACAAGGAACGGGCUCCAAUCUUCACCUGCAACUAGGAACGCUAUAAGAGGGGCUGAGCAAAGUAGUAACAUAGCCAAUCAACGGUUUGCUAGGACAAGGUGGGUUAGAGGUUUGACAUGGCAAUUUGGGAGGCUUGCAAGCAAGUGGUAGGCAAAAGAGCGAGCAAACUAGCAUAGCAAAGAUAGUAGUGAUUUCGAGGGUAUGAUCAUCUUGCCUGCACAGUUGUCAGAGUUGACUGGAUCCUCGAAAGCAAACUCAACGGGCUCCUCGUUAGCGAACUCAUCUCUCGGCUCUACCCAAACAAGGCAAACAAGCAACAAGGACACAAUCAACCACAUGCAAACCCAAACAACACAAUGCAAAGAUGAUAUGCUAUGCGGGAUGCGAUGCGGGAUGCAAAAUGCAAGAUAAGACAGGAAAUGCAUGAACCUGGCCUCAACUUGGAAAAUCAAGUGUGCCACUGGAAAGAUGAGAUGAAAUCGCUUGAAAAUGAUAUAAAGAACGCCGGAAUCGGAGUUACGGUUUGGAAAUGGCAAGCGAUUCAAAAAUGGCACCGGUCUGCGAUUUACAGCAAGUAGGCAUCUAAAUGCAACAAAAUGAACAUGCUACAGCACCCAAACAUGACAACAAAAUACAUGGCAGGGAUGCACGCAAGAUUCUUAAAAAGUCUAGCACUGAGCUACGGCGAAUUCAUCCAUUAAUAGGUUCAAACAAGCAUGGCAAAAAUGCAUAUGGCAAACAGAUCUCAGACUUAGUGAAAUUAACACUUGUCUGGAAUUUCAGAUCAAGUAGCCCUCUUCGGAGCAACAAAAAUACAUGCUACAUGACCUGAAAAUGGGAAAGUAAAGCAUGGCAUGGAGCUACUCAAAGAGCUUAACAAAAGUCCCUUAGUGACCUUGAGCCAAAAGGGAUCAGAAAAUACAAUUGCAAGCAUGUGAACAUAGCAAAAACAUAAUCAGUUUUCAGACUUAGUGAAAACUGGAGCAAGCUGAAAUAUAACUCAAGUAGGCAUGUUUACGAGCUCGAUGCACUCACUACGGUGCAAGUCAUGGCAAGACAAGCAUACAUCCAUCUAGAAGGCACAAAAUGCAAUCUAGACAUGGCAAGAACAAUAGCAUAGCAUGCACGGAUCAACGACAACAUCACCGGCAAAAUUGCAAACAAGUUGACAAUUUGCCCAGAUUCACAAAGUAGCAAAAGUAGAGCUCGAUUGACUCAAGCUAGUGUGCUCCAUAAUUGCAAACAAAGAUAUGGAUGGAUAGAGCACUACAAUAUUAACAAAACACCCUUACUGAUCAUCCUCAAAAGAGGCACAGAUCACUAGGAAACAACAUGAACAUAUGGCAUCAUGAGAUGAACAGCUCCAGGACUUAGUGAAAUUACUAAGUCCCUGAAAACAGAAUUAGCAAGUGCACCACUUUGCAAGCUUGCACAAGUCUGGUGACAAAAACCUAAAUGGAGUAGCAGAUCUGGCAAUUAUCUCAAGUAGCCCUCUUCUAACAGCAUUUCGGGCAUCAAGAUGAGCUCAAAUGAAAAUGAUGCAAUGGAAUGAAAUGAUGUACUCUCUGAGGUGAACAUUUUGAUAUGCUAUAUGCAUGAAUCGGAGCUACAGAUGCAAAGUUACGGAGCUACGAAUGCAAAGUUACGGAGCCGUGAACAUGGGCAUAUGGACUGAGAAUUUCGGGACUUAGACAAAUUUAACCUAGGGUUUUUUGGAUCUAGAUCUCGCGCACGGAAAUCGAGGAACUCCGGCAAGGAACUGUAGCUGCCGGAGAGGAGAAGGUUGCCGGCGAUGAGGGGGAGGCCGGACGGCGGCGGCCGGCGGGCACGGACGCCGAGUUUGGCCGCGGGUGGCGCCUCGUGCGGCCGACAGCGAGGGACGGUGCCGCGGCGCGAAGGAGCGGCGAGGCGCUGGUGCGGCGGGCCGGCGGCGCUGCGGCAGAGGCGGAUGGCGGCGGGCGCGGGCGCGGCGCCGUGGAGGAGAGGGCGCGGGCGGCGCAGCGAUGGGCUCGCGGGGAGGGGGGGGGCGGCUACGGGCCCGUGCGGGCUCCAGCGGCGGUGGGAGGCGGCGGCCACUCAGGCUGCGCCACAUGGCGGUGGCGGGAGGCGUCCGGACAUGUCCGUCGGCCGGUUUUUUUGUCCGGCGUGGCGCGGGGACGAUUUCUAGGGUUUCAGACGAGGGGGAUCCGGAUUUUCGGAGGAGGGGCUAGUUUUAUAGGUAGAGGGAGCUAGGAGAGUCCAAAUGAGGUGCGGUUUUCGGCCACGCGAUCGUGAUCGAACGAUCUAGAUGACGGAGAAGACUUAGGUGGGGUUUGGGCCAAAUUGGAGGGGUGUUGGGCUGUAACACACACGAGGCCUUUUCGGUCCCUCGGUUAACCGUUGGAGUAUCAAACGAAGUCCAAAUGAUACGAAACUUGACAGGCGGUCUACCGGUAGUAAACCAAGGCCGCUUGGCAAGUCUUGGUCCAAUCCGGAAAUGUUUAAUCCCUACACACAAAAGAAAGCUAGAAAUGACCACCGGAGGAGAACGAAGCGCCGGAAUGCAAAACGGGCAACGGGGAAAAUGCUCGAAUGCAUGAGACGAACACGUAUGCAGAUGCAAUGCACAUGAUGACAUGAUAUGAGAUGCAUGACAAUGAUAACAACACACGGAGACAAAAACCCGAACCCGAGAAAAUAAAAUAACUUAACGCUGGAAACGGCAAGAGUUGAAGUACAAAUAGGGAAAGUUACAUCCGGGGUGUUACAGUGCUCCCUUGAGCUUCUUCGCAAGCUCUGCAAGGCCCUCUGGCAGGGAGACGGACGGCCACAAGGCCUGGGCAACACCCUGCAUCACCCGCCGAACUUGUUCGUGCAGAUGUGACAGCUCGGAUAGAAGAUCACCCGCAGACCCGGGCAUUUCCUCCGCGGGACAACCCGUCAGCAUACCUACAGACAUAACGCUGUUAGUCGGCUUCUUCGCCAAACUCCCUUAAAAGGAUUCGUUCAAGCACUUACUGAAAAUGCCACGCUGAAGCCGCUUAUUCUCCUUCUUGAAGUCUGCAAGCUGGUCUCGAACGUCUUUUAGUUCCACGGUCAGCUUAAUAUUGGCGUCUUGGAGAUUGUUUUUCUCCCGCCUAACCUCAGUCAGCACGCGUUUGCCAGCCUCUAGCUAUCGCAUAACAUGCUGGUCCUCCGGAUUUUCUCCGGUUUCAUCUGCAACAUCCAUUGUUAGAUCUGCAGCCAUGCCGUGCAUUAUAUGGUAACCAUCAUUCUUUAAGGUAAAUGUUACCAGCAGGUGACUUUUUAGGUUCCUGCAAUGCGGCCACAGCAGCCCGCAGUUGGGUCUUGCAUUCCUCUAGCUCCUGUGACAGCCUAGUAUUCUUCUCUAUAAGAACCUGCACAAUAAAGAUGAUCCUUAAAUCAGUUCUGCUAACUGUUUCAAGUCUCAGGGGCUACUGACACAUAUAAAUCGUCAGAUUUACUUACCCGUACAUCCUUUACAUACUGAUCCAUGGCUCUGGCUAGACCAUCUUGAGCAGCUCGGAGGUACGCCUCUCCAGAAUUGAAGGCAUCAAAUGCCUCUGGUGAGAAACAAGCGUCACAGAGUACGGCCCAGCAGCGCCUAUGAUUCAUGGCACUUUCCACUUCUGAGUUUGUAGCGGACAAUCUAUCCGCAUCCUAUGUAGGGGGAUUAUCCGAUGCCCGCUCCAUAUCGGCUUCCGCCUCUAUGUCCGGUCCUAGCGCCCGACUGGUGCAAGCGUGAUUAGUAACAUCGCCAGACAUAUUCCGCGAGCAUUUUUUCUAUUAAAGAAACACGGGCGUCAUUAUAUUUCGAGAAAGACGACAACCACGGAGCGGGGUUUUUCAUACCUUUGCGCCAGCGUCUCCGUCCUGACCGCCUUCCUUUUUGGCCUACCCGGCCUCGGUGCCUCUUGUGGGCGAGUUGCUGCGGGUUCGGCAGGGCGUCCCGAAUGCCUUCCCAGUAAAAAUGCCAUGUGUAUGGUGGGUGAAGUGUCUAAAAGGGGGAUCCUAGUUUUUGGAGUUGGGAUUUUUGGUUUUUCUUACGUGCGAUGCAGGGAGCAGUCCGGGAUAGUCGGCCGUAAUGGCCACCAUGGCAUCAUCGCAGCUUAACUGAUAGAACUGCCGGUCUAUCAGCUCCACGAAUAUAACCGGAUCUUCUUCAAGUCCGGAGUCGAGGGCCCGUUCAGGGUCCUCAGGUUGUGGAGAAGGGCUCCUGACCUCCUUUAUGGCUUUUCGCAGUUCCUGCCGCAAAGUGGCAAGGUGAAUACUUACGACAAAGAAUGCGGGAAAAAUGGAGUAGGGAGAUAUGACUUACCCAGCUUGGAGGAUUGUACAUGGAGAAUCCAUCCCGUGGCUUGAUGCGGGUGAACUCCUCUUCCUCACCCUUGAACAAUUCGGACAGAAUUUUCGCUAAAGCGACAGCAUUGUCCGGACCCUUACACCCGCAGCGGGUGGCGUCAUCCGCCCCAUUAUAACACCACAAGGGAUGCCCACGAUAUUGAAGUGGUUGCACUCCCCGCAUUAUGCAAAUCAACAUAACUUCGAUUACUGUCAAUCCUGAUCGAGCCAGUGCUUUAAUUCGGUUCAUCAGAUAGAUGACUUCUCCAUUGUCUUCCACCUGGGGGCUCCGUGGGCGCCAACUUCGGUGUUUUUUCCAGAGGAGCAUUGUUGAACUCAGGAAGACCCCGCCUAACAGGGUCCUGAAGGGGAACGUCCUCCAUAUAAAACCAUUUUGAAGGCCAAUCUUCGGAUGACUUCUUCGGAGUACCGUACAGGUAUCCGGUAUCGGUGAUGCGUCAUAUUUCGGCUCCGCCCACUUGAUAAAGUGACCCCCUCUGUGUGCGAGGGACGAGGAAAAAUAGCCUUUUCCACAGCUCAAAGUGAGCCUCGCAGCCCAGGAACAACUCGCAGAGAGCAACAUAGCCGUCGAUAUGUAGGAUGGAGGUGGGGUGGAAUUGUGUAAUUGGAGGGUGUGGAACUCUAGGAGCCCGUGGAGGAACAGAUGAAUUGGAAAUCCGAGUCCCCUUAAUAGAUAGGGAACAAGGCAGACCUGUUCCCCCAUAGAGGGACAGGGAAAGCUCUCCGCUUGCUCCCCGCCAUUGUAGGUGGAAAGAUCGGCUCGAACGGGCACCAUGUACGCCGGAGGGAGAAAUCCCUUAGUCUGCAGUUCGACUAAACGACUGUGUGGGACUGAACACCUCUCCCAAUCACCGGGCUUAGGGCUUCGGGGGCGGGAGGAGGAGCUGCGGAGGUCGGCCAUGCUGGAAUGGAUCUUUUCGGAACGCGCUCUGAUGGACUCUCGCUGGGGGAGGAUGGUAUGAAUCGGAUCUAAGGAUCCCCACCCCUUUAAUAGACCAUUUAUUUAUCUGGCUAGGGGGCGAAUGUAAAAACACCCUGGCGCCUCGUAUUCAUUCGACGCGUGGGAGAAAGCCAUUAUUGGGCACAGAAGCCAAGAGGUCCAAACAUUUAUGGGACCGGACACUGCUUUACAAACGUUCGAAAGAUGGAGAAGAACCCGCCUUACAAUGCCGAAGACAAUACUGCGCGCCGAACUCAUCGUCAUUGAAGCCUGGUUCGGGGGCUACUGAGGGAUUCCUGGAUUAGGGGGUAUCCGGACAGCCGGAUUAUAUCCUUUGGCCGGAGUGUUGGACUAUGAAGAUACAAGAUUGAAGACUUCGUCUCGUGUCCGGAUGGGACUCUACUUGGCGUGGAAGGCAAGCCAAGCAAUAUGGAUAUGUAUAUCUCCUCCUUUGUAACCGACCUUGUGUAACCCUAGCCCCCUCUGGUGUCUAUAUAAACCGGAGGGUUUUAGUCUGUAGGACAACAUACAAUCAUACCAUAGGCUAGCUUCUAGGGUUUAGCCUCUCCGAUCUCAUGGUAGAUCAACUCUUGUAAUACUCAUAUCAUCAAGAAUAAAUCAAGUAGGACAUAGGGUUUUACCUCCAUUAAGAGGGCCCUAACCUGGGUAAAACAUCGUGUCCCCUGCCUCCUGUUACCAUCCGCCUUAGACGCACAAUUCGGGACCCCCUACCCGAGAUCCACCGGUUUUGACACCGACAUUAACCAUUUUAAUAGCAUGUUGGCACGCAAGGUAAACCAUUAUAACUCAUAGCUAAUCAAGCAUGGCACGAGAAACUAUGAUCUUUAGCUGUCAUUGCAAACAUGUUUAUUCAUAAUAGGCUGAAUCAGGAACGGUGAACUAAUCAUAUUUACAAAAACAAAAGAUGUCGAGUUCAUAGCAGCUUUUCUCAUCUCAGUCAGUCCAUCAUAUAUCAUCAUAAUUGCCUUUCACUUGCACGAUCGAAUAGUGUUAAUAAUAAUAAUAGUGCACGUGCAUUGGACUAAGCUAGAAUUUGCAGGCAUUCAAUAAACAGGAGAAGACAAGGCAAUAUGGGCUCUUUUGUCAGAUCAACAAUAAUGCAUAUAAGAGCCACUUCAACAAUUUAAUUAUGGUCUUCUCCUAUCGACCCCCAAAGAAAAGAUAAGAAAUAAAACUAUUCACAUGGGAAAGCUCCCAACAAGCAAAGGAAGAACAGGAAAUCUUUUUGGGUUUUCUUUUUAAUUAUUACUACAAGCAUGGAAAGCAAACUAAUUAAAAGCUACAACUAUUUUUUUGGGUUUUUCUUAAGGUUUAUUAAACACACAAGAAGAAAGCAUAAAAAGGAAAAUAAACUAGCAUGGAUGAUACAAUGAAAAAGUAUGAGCAUUGACAUCUAGCAAUGAGUGUGUGAGCAUAAAUGUAAUGUCGGUGAGAAAUACGUACUCCCCCAAGCUUAGGCUUUUGGCCUAAGUUGGUCGAUGGCCACGGCUGGCCUGGCUGAUAUCCAUAAUAAUAGUUUUUGGGGUCGUACUGUGAUGCAGCAGCUAUCGCCUGCUGAGCUGCAGCGUGGCGACGUGCAACCUCCUCUCUCCUCUCGUACUCAUCUGCCUCCUCUCUGGUAAUAGUUUAUCCUCCUCUUGCCUGAUAAUCAAAGAAAGCAGGAGCAGGGAGAGUAAUACCGACAGCACGGCGUCUAUCAAAGAUUAGUCGAUACUGGAGAGGUGAUUCGUUCCUCUCGACAAACUGGUGGUGAACCAUAGCAUUAAAAUCUAGAUAGGCAGGAGGUAAUUCAAUAUCAUCUUUGCGCACAUCUAUACCAAGAAAAUUAGCUACGCGGGUUGCAUAAAUUCCACCAAAGGAACCUCCACUAAGUCUAUUCAGAUGCAACCUACGUGCAACAAUGGCUCCCAAAUUAUAUGAUUUGUCUCCUAACAUAGCACUUCUAAGAAUAUUGAGGUCAGGGACAUACACGUGACAUGCCUCAUCUUUACCAUUUAUGCAUCUACCUAUGAAGAGAGCAAAAUAAUGUAUAGCAGGAAAGUGAAUGCUCCCUAUGGUAGCUUGUGUAAUAUCUCUAGAUUCUCCCACAGUUAUAUUAGCAAGAAAAUCUCUAUAUUCAGAUUUGCAAGGAUCUCUCAUACUACCCCAUUGUGGAAGUUUGCAUGUAGUGGUAAAAUCCUCUAAGUCCAUGGUAUAAGAUUUAUCGUCAAGAUCAAACAGGACAGUUGGAUAAUUACGUGAAGUUGAAAAUUCAAACCUCCUCACAAAGGAGCUAGUGAGCUCAUGAUACUGACUGCACUUCUCUUCCUCAAAUCUCACAAGAUUAGCGUUACGCAAAUAUGCGUUGAAUUCUUCUUUUAUUCCCGCUCGAUCCAUAAAAUUUUCAGAAGGCCACUCACCAGGACGCACUGGAGCAUCUCUUGGUGGCACUUUGUCAGCAUCACGCAUUGCAAGCCUGGGUCCUUGCUUCUUGGAAGAACCACCUUGGAACAUUUUCCUAAGCAUUUUUCUACCUCUGAAAAAUUCUGACUUUUUAGUAACUUCAAAUUAAAAGUAAACCAAACUCAAUAAUAUUGAUAGCAACUACUCCUACAAGUGCCGAGAGCCUAUAUCAUGCAUCAAAACUACUUUUGACCAUAUAAAUUUGACAUGCAAGCUCAAGAACAGGGUCACCUAAGCAGUAAAAAUUUGCAAUGAAUAAAGCACUAGAACAAAAACUAAUUGGACCAAUGGAGGAGUCACAUACCAAGGAACAAUCUCCCCAAGCAGUUUUGUGAGAGGUGCUUUGAGCAAGGAGAUCGAAAAUGGCAGCAAAACGAGCUUGGACUCAGGUUUGAGUUGGUUAUUCGUGUUUGGGGGAGGAAGAUGAAGUGUAUGGGUGAAGGAAUAAGUGGAGGAGGGCCACCAUGGGCCCACGAGGCAGGGGGGCGCGCCCUAAGGGGGGGGGGGCGCCCUCCACCCUCGUGGGCAGGUGGUUGACCCCCCUGGUGUGUUCUCAGUUCCAUAAAUCCUCAAAUAUUCUAGAAAAAAAUCAUAUUUAAUUUUCAGGGCAUUUGGAGAACUUUUAUUUUCGAGGUAUUUUUAUAUUGCACGGAUAAUCAGAUAACAGACAGAAACAUAUUUAUUUUUAUUUUAUUUAAUAUAAAUAACAGAAAGUAAAAGUGGGGUACAGAAAGUUCUGCCUUCUAGUUUCAUCAAUCUCAUGAUCAUCAAAAGGAAUCCUCUAACAAGGUUGAUCAAGUCUUGUUAACGAACUCAUUCCGAAUAACAUGGAACCGGAGAAAUUUCGAAUAACACUAUGUUACCUCAACGGGGAUAUGCAUGUCCCCAAUAAUAAGAAUAUCAUAUUUCUUCUUGAUAGUAGGAAGAGGAAAUUCAAAACCUCCAAAUAUAAUCGAUGGAAUUUUUCCAAUAGAGUUGAUACUAUGAACUUGAGGUUGUUUCCUCGGAAAGUGUACCGUAUGCUCAUUACCAUUAACAUGAAAAGUGACAUUGCCUUUAGUGCAAUCAAUAACAGCCCCUGCAGUAUUCAAAAAGGGUCUUCCAAGAAUAAUAGACAUACUAUCGUCCUCGGGAAUAUCAAGAAUAACAAAGUCCGUUAAAAUAGUAAUGUUUGCAACUACAACAGGCACAUCCUCACAAAUACUGACAGGUAUAGCAGUUGAUUUAUCAGCCAUUUGCAAAGAUAUUUCAGUAGGUGUCAACUUAUUCAAAUCAAGUCUAGGAUAUAAAGAGAGAGGCAUAACACUAACACCGGCUCCAAGAUCACAUAAAGCAGUUUUAACAUAGUUUCUUUUAAUGGAGCAUGGUAUAGUGGGUACUCCUGGAUCUCCAAGUUUCUUUGGUAUUCCACCCUUAAAAGUAUAAUUAGCAAGCAUGGUGGAAAUUCUAGCUUCCGGUAUAUUUCUCUUAUUUGAAAUAAUAUCUUUCAUAUACUUAGCAUAAGGAUUGGUUUUGAGCAUAUCAGUUAAUCGCAUACAUAAAAAUAUAGGUCUAAUCAUUUCAGCAAAGCGCUCAAAAUCCUCAUCAUCCUUUUUCUUGGAUGGUUUAGGAGGAAAGGGCAUGGGUUUCUGAACCCAUGGCUCUCUUUCUUUACCGUGUUUCCUAGCAACAAAAUCUUUCUUAUCAUAAUGUUGAUUCUUUGAUUGUGGGUUAUCAAGAUCAACAUCAGGUUCAAUUUCUAUAUCAUUAUCAUUACUAGGUUGAGCAUCAUCAUGAACAUUAUCAUUAACAUUAUCACUAGUUUCGGGCUCAUUACCAGAUUGAGUUUCAGCAUCAGAAAUAGAAAUAUCAUUUGGAUUCUCAGGUGUUUCAACAAUAGGAUCACUAGAAGCAUGCAAAGUCCUAUCAUUUUUCUUUUUCUUCUUUUUAGAAGAGCUAGGUGCAUCUAUAUUAUUUCUCUGAGAAUCUGGCUCAAUUCUCUUAGGGUGGCCUUCAGGAUACAUAGGUUCCCGAGUCAUUCUACCACCUCUAGUCAUAACUCUAACAACAUUAUCAUUAUUCUUAUUGUUCAAUUCAUUGAGCAAAUCAUUUUGAGAUUUUAGUACUUGUUCUACUUGAGUGGUAACCAUAGAAGCAUGUUUACUAAUAAGUUUAAGUUCACCUUUGACAUUAGCCAUAUAAUCACCCAAGUGUCCAAGCAUAUUUGAAUUAUAUUUCAGUUGUCUACCAAAAUAAGCAUUAAAAUCUUCUUGCUUAGCCAUAAAUUUAUCAAACUCAUCUAAGCAUGGGCUAGCAAUUUUAGUAAAUGGGAUUACAGCUUUAUCAUAUUUAUAGAGAGAAUUUACCUUUACUACCUGUGUUGGGUUAUCAAGACCAUGAGUUUCUUCAAUAGGUAAAGGAUUUGGAUUAUACGUUUCUUCAACAAGCGGUAAAUUAAGACCAUUAUUUCUUCAAUAGGAGGUAAAUUCUUAACAUCUUCAGCUUUAAUACCUUUUUCUUUCAUAGAUUUCUUUGCCUCUUGCAUAUCUUCAGGGCUAAGAAAUAGAAUACCCCUCUUCUUCGGAGUUGGUUUAGAAAUAGGCUCAGGAAUUGGCUCCGGAGGUGUCCAAUUAUUUUCAUUUGUCAACAUAUUAUUCAAUAGAAUUUCAGCUUCAUCCGGUGUUCUUUCCCUGAAAACAAAACCAGCACAACUAUCCAGGUAAUCUCUGGAGGCAUCGGUUAGUCCAUUAUAAAAGAUAUCAAGUAUUUCAUUUUUCUUAAGAGGAUGAUCAGGCAAAGCAUUAAGUAAUUGGAGAAGCCUCCCCCAAGCUUGUGGGAGACUCUCUUCUUUAAUUUGCACAAAAUUAUAUAUAUCCCUUAAAGCAGCUUGUUUCUUAUGAGCUGGGAAAUAUUUAGCAGAGAAGUAAUAAAUCAUAUCCUGGGGACUAUGCACACAACCAGGAUCAAGAGAAUUAAACCGUAUCUUAGCAUCACCCUUUAAUGAGAACGGAAAUAUUUUAAGGAUGUAAAAGUAGCGAGUUCUCUCAUCUUUAGUGAACAGGGUAGCUAUAUCAUUCAGUUUAGUAAGAUGUGCCACAACAGUUUCAGAUUCAUAACCAUGAAAAGGAUCAGAUUCAACCAAAGUAAUUAUAUCAGGAUCAACAGAGAAUUCAUAAUCCUUAUCAGUAACAAAGAUAGGUGAAGUAACAAAAGUAGGGUCAGGUUUCAUUCUAGCAUUUAGAGAUUGCUUACUCCAUUUAGCUAAUAAUUUUUUAAGUUCAGUUCUAUUUCUGCAAGCUAAAAUGGCUAAAGAAGCAACUUGAUCAAAUACAUAACCCUUAGGAAUAGCAAGUGGUUCUUCAUCAUCACUUUCAUCAGUGUCAUCAGAUUCAAUAUUUUCUAUCUCUCUAGCCCUAGCAAGUUGUUCAUCAAGAAAAGCACUAAGUGGCAUAGUAGUAUCAUGCAUAGAGGUAGUUUCAUCAUAAGUAUCAUGCAUAGCACAAGUGGCAUCAUCAAUAACAUGCGACAUAUCAGAACGAAUAGCAGAAGCAGAUGUAGGUGUCGCAAGCUUACUCAAAACAGAAGGUGAAUCAAGUGCAGAGCUAGAUGGCAAUUCCUUACCUUCCCUCGUAGUUGAGGGAUAGAUCUUGGUUUUUGGAUCUCUCAAGUUCUUCAUAAUGAUAAACAGAUAUAUAUCCCAAGUGACUCAAAGAAUAGAGCUAUGCUCCCCGGCAACGGCGCCACAAAAUAGUCUUGAUAACCCACAAGUAUAGGGGAUCGCAACAAUUUUCGAGGGUAGAGUAUUCAACCCAAAUUUAUUGAUUCGACACAAGGGGAGCCAAAGAAUAUUCUCAAGUAUUAGCAGCUGAGUUGUCAAUUCAACCACACCUGGAAACUUAAUAUCUGCAGCAAAGUGUUUAGUAGCAAAGUAAUAUGAUAGUAGUGGUAAUGGUAGCAAAAGGUAACAGUAGUAAAAGCAAUGUUUUUGGUAUUUUGUAGUGAUGAUAGCAAUGGCAACAGAAAAGUAAAUAAGCGAAGAACAAUAUAUGGAAAGCUCGUAGGCAAUGGAUCGGUGAUGGAGAAUUAUGCCAGAUGCGGUUCAUCAUGUAAUAGUCAUAACCUACAUUGACACAUUACUAGCUCCAGUUCAUUGAUAUAAUGUAGGCAUGUAUUCCGAAUAUAGUCAUACGUGCUUAUGGAAAAGAACUUGCAUGACAUCUUUUGUCCUACCCUCCCGUGGUAGUGGGGUCCUUACAGAAACUAAGGGAUAUUAAGGCCUCCUUUUAAUAGAGAACCGGAACAAAGCAUUAACACAUGGUGAAUACAUGAACUCCUCAAACUACGGUCAUCACCGGUAAGUAUCCCGAUUAUUGUCACUUCGGGGUUAACGGAUCAUAACACAUAAUAGGUGACUAUAGACUUGCAAGAUAGGAUCAAGAACACUCAUAUAUUGAUGAAAACAUAAUAGGUUCAGAUCUGAAAUCAUGGCACUCGGGCCCUAGUGACAAGCAUUAAGCAUAGCAAAUUCAUAGCAACAUCAAUCUCAGAACAUAGUGGACACUAGGGAUCAAACCCUAACAAAACUAACUCGAUUACAUGAUAGAUCCCAUCCAACCCAUCACCGUCCAGCAAGCCUACGAUGGAAUUACUCACGCACGACGGUGAGCAUCAUGAAAUUGGUGAUGGAGGAUGGUUGAUGAUGACGAUGGCGAUGGAUUCCCCUCUCCGGAGCCCCGAACGGACUCCAGAUCAGCCCUCCCGAGAGGUUUUAGGGCUUGGCGGCGGCUCCGUAUCGUAAAACGCGAUGAUUUCUUCUCCCUGAUUUUUUUCUCCCCGAAACUCAAUAUAUGGAGGUGGAGUUGGAGUCAGAGAGGCAACAGGGGGCCCACGAGGUAAGGGGCGCGCCCUAGGGGGGCAAGCGCGCCCCCACCCUCAUGGAGAGACGGUGGGCCCCCUGGCCUUCAUCUUUGGCAGAUAUUUUUCUUAUUUUCUGAAAAGUGUCUCCGUGAAGUUUUGGUUCAUUCCGAGAACGUUUGCUCCUGCACAUAAAUAACACCAUGGUAGUUCUGCUGAAAACAGCGUCAGUCCGGGUUAGUUCCAUUCAAAUCAUGCAAGUUAGAGUCUGUAACAAGGUCUAAAGUGUUUGGAAAAGUAGAUACGUUGGAGACUUAUCAAGCAUUAACACAUAGUGAAUACAUGAACUCCUCAAACUACGGUCAUCACCGGGAGUGGUGCCGAUUAUUGUCACUUCGGGGUUGCUGGAUCAUAACACAUAGAAGGUGACUAUAGACUUGCAAGAUAGGAUCAAGAACUCACAUAUAUUCAUGAAAACAUAAUAUGUUUAGAUCUGAAAUCAUGGCACUCGGGCCCUAGUGACAAGCAUUAAGCAUAGCAAAGUCAUAGCAACAUCAACCUCAGAACAUAGUGGAUACUAGGGAUCAUGCCCUAAUAAAACUAACUCGAUUACAUGAUAAAUAUCUUCCAACCCAUCAUCGUCCAACAGGCCUACGAUGGAAUUACUCACGCACGGAGGUGAGCAUCAUGAAAUUGGUGAUGGAGGAAGGUUGAUGAUGACGAUGGCGACGAAUUCCCCUCUCCGGAGCCCCGAACGGACCCUAGAUCAGCCCUCCCGAGAGAGUUUAGGGCUUGGCGGCGGCUCCAUAUCGUAAAACGCGAUGAAUCCUUCUCUCUGAUUUUUUUUCUCCCCGAACAUGAAUAUAUGGAGUUGGAGUUGAGGUCAGUGGAGUGUCAGGGGGCCCACGAGGCAGGGGGCGCGCCCAGGGGGGUAGGGCGCGCCCCCACCCUCAUGGAUAGGGUGUGGGCCCCCUGACGUGGAUCUUUCUUGCAGUAUUUUUUAUAUAUUCCAAAAAUAAUCUCCAUUGAUUUUCAGGUCAUUCCGAGAACUUUUAUUUCUGCACAAAAAUAACACCAUGGCAAUUCUUCUGAAAAUAGCGUUAGUCCGGGUUAGUUCCAUUCAAAUCAUGCAAGUUAGAGUCCAAAACAAGGGCAAAAGUGUUUGGAAAAGUAGAUACGACGGAGACGUAUCAACUCCCCCAAGCUUAAACCUUUGCUUGUCCUCAAGCAAUUCAGUUGAUAAACUGAAAGUGAUAAAGAAAAACUUUUACAAACUCUGUUUGCUCUUGUUGUUGUAAAUAUGUAAAGCCAACAUUCAAGUUUUCAGCAAAGAUUAUGAACUAACCACAUUCGCAAUAACAUUUAGGUCUCAUGUUUACUCAUAUCAAUGGCAUAAUCAGCUAGCGAGCAAUAAUAACAAAUCUCGGAUGACAACACUUUCUCAAAAAAAUCAUGAUAUGAUAUGACAAGAUGGUAUCUCGGUAGCCCUUUUCGAGACCGCAAAACAUAAAUGCAGAGCACCUUUAAAGAUCAAGGACUGACUAGACAUUGUAAUUCAUGGUAAAAGAGAUCCAGUCAUAGUCAUACUCAAUGUAAACUAACAGUACUGGAUGCAAAUGAUAGAGGUGCUCUCCAACUGGUGCUUUUUAAUAAGAGAUGAUGACUCAACAUAAAAGUAAAUAGAUAGGCCCUUUGCAGAGGGAAGCAGGGAUUUGUAGAGGUGCCAGAGCUCGGUUUUGAAAUAGAUAUGAAUAAUAUUUUGAGUGGUAUACUUUCAUUGUCAAUAUAACAACCGAGAGAUCUCGAAUCUUCCAUGCUACACACAUUAUAGGUGUUUCCCAAACAGAAUGGUAAAGUUUAUACUCCCCCUCCACCAACAAGCAUCAAUCCAUGGCUUGAUCGAAACAACAAGUGCCUCCAACUAACAAGAGUCCCGGGGGAGUUUUGUUUGUAGUUAUUUUGAUUUGAUUUGCAUAAAGCAUGGGACUGGGCAUCCCGGUGACCAGCCAUUUUCUCGUGAGUGAGGAGCGGAGUCCACUCCUCUUGAGAAUAACCCGCCUAGCAUGGACGAUACAGAUAGCCCUAGUUGAUACAUGAGCUAUUCAAGCAUAUAAAACAGAAUGUUUAUUUGAAAGUUUAGAGUUUGGCACAUACAAAUUUACUUGGAAUGGCAGGUAGAUACCGUGUAUGGGUAGGUAUGGUGGACUCAUAUGGAAUAACUUUGGGGUUUAUGGAAUUGGAUGCACAAGCAGUAUUCCCGCUUAGUACAAGUGAAUGCUAGAAAAAGACUGGGAAGCGACCAGCUAGAGAGCGACAGCAGUCAUGAACAUGCAUUAAAAUUAAUCAACACUGAAUGUAAGCAUGAGUAGGAUAUAAUGCACCAUGAACAUAAAUAUCGUAGAGGCUAUGUUGAUUUUGUUUCAACUACAUGCGCGAACAUGUGCCAAGUCAAGCCACUCGAAUCAUUCAAAAGAGGAUACCACCCUAUCAUACCACAUCACAACCAUUUUAAUAGCAUGUUGGCACGCAAGGUAAACCAUUAUAAGAUCCUAGCUAAUUAAGCAUGGCAUAAGCAACUAUAAUCUCUAAUCGUCAUUUUAAACAUGUUUCUUUCAUAAUAGGCUGAAUUAGGAAUGAUGAACUAAUCAUAUUUACAAAAACAAGAGAGGUCGAGUUCAUACCAGCUUUUCUCAUCUUAGUAAGUUCAUCAUAUAAUCAUCAUUAUUGCCUUUCACUUGCACGACCGAAUAGUGUGGAUAAUAAUAAUAGUGCACGUGCAUUGGAGUAAGCUAGAAUCUGCAAGCAUUCAAUUCAAGAGAGAAGACAAGGUAAUAUGGGCUCUUUGUUAGAUCAACAAUAAUGCAUAUAAGAGCCACUCAACAUUUUCAUUAUGGUCUUCUCCUCUUGACCCCCAAAGGAAAGAAAAGAAACAAAACUAUUUACACGGGAAAACUCCCAACAAGCAAAAGAAGAACGAGAAAUCUUUUUGGGUUUUCUUUUUAGUUACUACUACUACAGGCAUAGAAAGUAAACUAACUAACAUAUACAACUAAAUUUUUUGGUUUUUUCUUAAGGUUUUUCAAACACACGAGAAGAAAGCAUAAAAAGGGAAAUAAACUGGCAUGGAUAUUACAAUGAAAAAGUAUGAGCACCGACAACUAGCAUGAGUGUGUGAACAUGAAUGUAAUGUCAUUGAGAAAUACGUACUCCCCCAAUCUUAGGCUUUUGGCCUAAGUUGGUCUACUGCCAUGGCUGGCCUGGCAGAUACCCAAAGUUGUAGUUGGGGUCAUACUGUGAUGCAGCAGCUAUUGCCUCAUGAGCUGCCGCUUGAAGGCGAGCUGUUUCCGUCCUCCUCUUAUACUCGUUCGCCUCCUCCCUAGUUAUAACAUAUCUCCCCUUUUCCUGAAAGUCAAAGAAAGCGGGAGCAGGGAGAGCGACGUGAUAGGUGCGUCGUCUGUCAAAGAUUAGUCGGUACUGGAGGGACUGGUUGUUCCUCUCAACAAACUGAUGACAAACCAUAGCAUCAUAAUCUAGAUAAGGAGGCAACUCAAUAUCAUCUCCACGUAUGGGUAUCUCAAGAAAAUUAGCUAUGCGAGUUGCAUAAAUUCCACCAAAGAAAUAUCCAUGAAUACUAUUAUUAUGUAACCUACAUGCAACAAUAGCCCCCAAGUUGUAUUGUUUAUCUCCUAAAACAACGCUCCUGAGAACGCUAAGAUCAGGUACACACAUGUGACAUGCUUUAUCUUUACCAUUUAUGCACCUUCCUAUGAAGAGAGCAAAAUAAUGUAUAGCGGGAAAACGAAUGCUCCCUAUGGUGGCUUGUGUUACAUCUCUACAUUCCCCCACAGUUAUACUAGCAAGAAAAUCUCUAAAUUCAGAUUUGCGAGGUUCACUAACAUUACCCCACUGUGGGAGUUUACAAGCAGUGUUAAAAUCUUCUAAGUCCAUGGUAUAAGAUCUAUCAUGAAGAUCAAACAGGACAGUUUGAGAAUUGCGUGAUGAUGAAAAUUCAAACCUUAUCACAAAGGAAUCAGUGAGGUAGUGGUACUGACGGCACUUAUCUUGCAUGAAGCUCUCAAGAUCGGCAUUACGCACAUAUGCUUCAAAUUCCUCCUUGAUUCCUGCUCGAACCAUGAAGUCCUCUGACGGCCAUUCACAAGGCCGCACUUGAGCAUCCCUUGGUGGUUCAUCAUCCGCAUCGCGUAUUGCGGGUCUGGAUCCUUGCUUCCUUGAAGAACCACCUUGGUACAUUUUCCUAAACAUAUUUCUUCCUCUGAAAAAUUUCUGAAAUUUUUAGUAACUUCAAAAUAAAAGUGAACCAAACUCAACAAAAUUGAUAGCAACUACUCCUACAAGUGCCUAGAGGCGAUAUCAUGCAUUAAAACUACUUGGGACCAUAUAAAUUUGACAUGCAAGCUCAAGAACAGGGUCACCUAAGCAGGAAAAAUUUGCAAUAAAUAAAGCACUAGAACAAAAACUAGUUGGACCAUUGGAGGAGUCACAUACCAAAGAACAAUCCCCCAAAGUAGUUUUGUGAAUGGAGCUUUGAGCUAGGAGAUCAAAAAUGGUGGCAAGAUGAGCUAGAACUCGCGCUUGAGCUGGUUGGUGAUUUUUUGGGAGGAAGAAGGAGUGUGUGGUGGCUGGAAUAAGAGGAGGGGACCCACGUGGGGUCCACGAGGCAGGGGGGCGCGCCUAGGGGGUGGGUGCGCCCUCCACCCUCGUGGGCACGUGGCUGCUCCCCCUGCUGUGUUUUCAGUGCCAGAUAUUCUCAAAUAUUCUAGAAAAAAUCAUAUUUAAUUUUUAGGGCAUUUGGAGAACUUUUAUUUUGGGGUAUUUUUUAUUGCAUGGAUAAUUCAGAAAACAGACAAAAAACUAUUUUUGCUUUAUUAAUAUAAAUAACAGAAAGUAAAAAGAGGGUACAGUGAGUUGUGUUUUCUAAAUUCAUCCAUCUCAUGCUCAUCAAAAGGAAUCCACUAACAAGGUUGAUCAAGUCUUGUUAACAAACUCAUUUCGAAUAACAUGGAACUAGAUAAUUUUUGAAUAACACUAGGUUACCUCAAUGGGGAUAUGCACAUCCCCAAUAAUAAGAAUAUCAUAUUUCUUCUUGACAGUAGGAAGAGGAAAUUCAAAACCUCCAAUAGUGAUUGUUGAAAUUUUUUCCAAUAGAAUUAAUAUUGUGGACUUGAGGUUGUUUCCUCAGAAAGUGUACCGUAUGCUCAUUACCAUUAACAUGAAAAGUGACAUUGCCUUUGGUGCAAUCAAUAACAGCCCUUGCAGUAUUCAAAAAGGGUCUUCUAAGAAUAAUAGACAUACUAUCGUCCUCGGGAAUAUCAAGAAUAACAAAGUCCGUUAAAAUAGUAACGUUUGCAACCACAACAGGCACAUCCUCACAAAUACCGACAGGUAUAGCAGUUGAUUUAUCAUCCAUUUGCAAAGAUAUUUCAGUAGGUGUUAACUUAUUCAAAUCAAGUCUACGAUAUAAAGAGAGAGAGGCAUAACACUAACACCGGCUCCAAGAUCACAUAAUGCAGUUUUAACAUAGUUUCUUUUAAUGGAGCAUGGUAUAGUUGGUACUCCCGGAUCUCCAAGUUUCUUUGGUAUUCCACCCUUAAAAGUAUAAUUAGCAAGCAUGGUGGAAAUUUCAGCUUUCGGUAUCUUUCUUUUAUUAGUAACUAUAGCUUUCAUAUAUUUAGCAUAAGGAUUAAUUUUAAGCAUAUCAGUCAAACACAUACGCAAAAAGAUAGGUCUAAUCAUUUCAGCAAAGCACUCAAAAUCCUCAUCAUCCUUUUUCUUGGAUGGUUUAGGAGGAAAAGGCAUGGGUUUCUUAACCCAUGGUUCUCUUUCUUUACCGUGCUUCCUAGCAACGAAGUCUCUCUUAUCAUAACGUUGAUUCUUCGAUUGUGGGUUAUCAAGAUCAAGAACAGGUACAAUCUCUACAUCAUUAUCAUUACUAGGUUGAGCAUCAACAUGAACAUCAUCAUUAACAUUUUUACUAGGUUCAUGUUCAUUACCAGAUUGUGUUUCAGCAUCAGAAAUAGAAAUAUCAUUGGGAUUCUCACGUGUGUCUACAAAGGUUCACUAGAAGCAUGCAAAGUCCUAUCAUUUUUCUUUUUCUUCCUCUUAGAAGGACUAGGUGCAUCUACAUUAGUUCUCUGAGAAUCUUGCUCAAUUCUCUUAGGAUGGCCCUCAGGAUACAAAGGUUCCUGAGUCAUUUUCCUCCUCUAGUCAUAACUCUAAUAGCAUUGUCAUUAUUCUUACUAUUCAAUUCAUUGAGAAAAUCAUUCUGAGCUUUAAGUACUUGUUCUACUUGAGUGGUAACCAUAGAAGCAUGUUUACUAAUAAGUUUAAGUUCACCUUUAACACUAGCCAUAUAAUCACUCAAGUGUUCAAUCAUAUAAGCAUUAUGUUUCAAUUGUCUACCAACAUAAGCAUUGAAAUCUUCUUGCUUAACCAUAAAGUUAUCAAAUUCAUCUAAGCAUUGGCUAGCAAACUUAAUAGGCGGGAUUUCAGCUUUAUCAUAUCUAUAGAGAGAAUUUACCUUUACUACCUGUGUCAGUUAUCAAGACCAUGUAUUUCUUCAACAGGCGGCAAAUUAAGACCAUGCAUUUCUUCAAUAGGUGGUAAAUGCUUAACAUGUUCAGCUUUUAUACCUUUUUCUUUCAUAGAUUUCUUUGCCUCUUGCAUAUCUUCAGGAAUGUGAAAUAGAAUACCCCUUUUCUUCAGAGUUGGCUUAGGAGUUGGUUCAGGAAGUGUCCAAUUAUUUUCAUUAGUCAACAUAUUAUUCAAUAGAAUUUCAGCUUGAUCAACUGUUCUUUCCCUGAAAACACAACCAGCACAACUAUCCAGGUGGUCUCUGGAAGCAUCGGUUAGUCCAUUAUAAAAGAUAUCAAGUAUUUCAUUUUUCUUGAGAGGAUGAUCAGGCAAAGCAUUAAGUAAGUGGAGAAGCCCCCCCCCCAAGCUUGUGGGAGACUCUCUUCUUCAAUUUGCACAAAAUUAUAUAUUUCCCUUAAGGUAGCUUGUUUCUUAUGAGCGGGGAAAUAUUUAGCAGAGAAGUAAUAAAUCAUAUCCUGGGGACUACGCACACAACUAGGAUCAAGAGAAUUAAACCAUAUCUUAGCAUCACCCUUUAAUGAGAACGGAAAUAAUUUAAGGAUAUAAUAGUAGCGAGUUUUCUCAUCAUUAGUGAAUAGGGUAGCUAUAUCAUUUAAUUUAGUAAGAUGUGCCACAACAGUUUCAGAUUCAUAGCCAUAGAAAGGAUGAGAUUCAACCAAAGUAAUUAUAUCGGGAUCAACUGAGAAAUCAUAAUCCUUAUCAGUAAUAAGAUAGGUGAAGUAGCAUAUGCAGGAUCAUAUUUCAUUCUAGCAUUCAGAGAUUUUUCUUUCAGCUUAGCUAAUAGUUUUUUAAGAUCACUUCUAUCAUUGCAGGCAAGAAAGCCUCUAGUAGUUUCUUCAUCCAUAACAUAACCCUCAGGAAUAACAGGCAAUUCAUAUCUAGGGGAGAAUCUUCAUCAUCACUUUCAUCAAUAUUAUCAGUUUCAAUAAUUUCAUUCUCUCUAGCCCUAGCAAGUUGUUCAUCAAGAAAUUCACCAAGUGGCGCAGUAGUAUCAAGCAUAGAAGUAGUUUCAUCAUAAGUAUCAUGCAAAGCAGAAGUGGCAUCAUCAAUAACAUGCGACCUAUCAGAAUCAAUAGCAUGUGUAGGUGUCACAAGUUUAGUCAUAACAGAAGGUGAAUCAAGUGCAUAGCUAGAUGGAAGUUCCUUACCUCCCCUCGUAGUUGAGGGAUAUAUUUUGGUUCUUUGAUCUUUCAAGUUCUUCAUAGUGAUAAGCAGAUAUAAAUCCCAAGUGACUCAAAGAAUAGAGCUAUGCUCCCCGACAACGGCGCUAGAAAAUAGUCUUGAUCAUCCACAAGUAUAGGGGAUCGCAACAGUUUUCGAGGGUAGAGUAUUCAACCCAAAUUUAUUGAUUCGACACAAGGGGAGCCCAAGAAUAUUCUCAAGUAUUAGCAGCUGAGUUGUCAAUUCAACCACACCUGGAAACUUAAUAUCAGCAACAAAGUAUUUAGUAGCAAAGUAAUAUGAUAGUAGUGGUAAUGGUAGCAAAAGUAAUAUUUUUGGGUUUUAUAGUGAUGGUAACAGUUGCAACGGAAAAGUAAAUAAGCGAAGAACAAUAUGUGAAAAGCUCGUAGGAAUUGGAUUGGUGCUGGAAAAUUAUGUCGGAUGUGAUUAUUCAUGCAACAGUUAUAACAUAGGGUGACACAGAACUACCAAUUCAUCAAUAUAAUGUAGGCAUGUAUUCCGAAUAUAGUCAUACGUGCUUAUGGAAAAGAACUUGCAUGACAUCUUUUGUCCUACCCUCCCGUGACAGCGGGGUCCUAUUGGAAACUAAGGGAUAUUAAGGCCUCCUUUUAAUAGAGUACCAGACCAAGGCAUUAACACAUCGUGAAUACAUGAACUCCUAAAAGUACGAUCAUCACCGAGAGUGGUCCCGAUUAUUGUCACUUCGGGGUUGCCGGAUCAUAACACAUAGUGGGUGACCAUAGACUUGCAAGGUAGGAUCAAGAACUCACAUAUAUUCAUGAAAACAUAAUAGGUUCAGAUCUGAAAUCAUGGCACUCGGGCCCUAGUGACAAGCAUUAAGCAUAGCAAAGUCAUAGCAACAUCAAUCUCGGAACAUAGUGGAUACUAGGGAUCAAACCCUAACAAAAGUACUCGAUUACAUGAUAAAUCUCAUCCAACCCAUCACCGUCCAGCAAGCCUAUGAUGGAAUUACUCACGCACGGCGGUGAGCAUCAUGAAGUUAGUGAUGGAGGAAGGUUGAUGAUGACGAUGGCGACGGAUUCGCCUCUCCGGAACCCCGAACGGACUCCAGAUCAGCCCUCUUGAGAGAGUUUAGGGCUUGGCGGUGGCUCCGUAUCGUAAAACGCGAUGAAUCCUUCUCUUUGAUUUUUUUCUCCCCGAACACAAAUAUAUGGAGUUGGAGUUGAGGUCGGUGGAGCGUCAGGGGGCCCAUGAGGCAGGGGCGCGCCCAGGAGGGUAGGGCGCCCUGACGUGGAUAUUUCUUCCAGUAUUUUUUAUAUAUUACAAAAAUAAUCUUCGUUGAUUUUCAGGCCAUUCCAAGAAAUUUCAUUUCUGCACAAAAAUAACACCAUGGCAAUUCUGUUGAAAACAGCGUCAGUCCGAGUUAGUUCCAUUCAAAUCAUGCAAGUUAGAGUCCAAAACAAGGGCAAAAGUGUUUGGAAAAGUAGAUACGAUGGAGACGUAUCAAGCAUCAUGUUGAUUAUCAUAACAAAAAUAAAAUUAAACAUAGGACUUUUAUCAUAGAACCUUUAUCAUAUACUUCUCAUGAAUAAGUAAUAGUUCAUCACACAAUCGAAGUAUAAAGCAAAAACUCUAUUAGAAACCAACAAACUAUGUUCUCAGUCGACUUUGCAACUACAAUUCAUCAUCUUUUCAGGAAGGGUCACGUGUCGGAGCCUUUAGGCAAGUCGACAUACUCAACCAUCAUAUAGUCUUCUACGAUUGCUAACACUCACCGCGUACACAUGAGCAAAACGUUUCAACCGGGCACAUAGAAAGAUAGGGGCUUAUGGUUUUGCCUCCAAACGUGCUCACCUCAAGGGUGAUGUCAACAAUAAUAACUCAUGCCACCCGUAUUCAACUGGACAUAUGUGCCUAGAUCUUUCUUCACCACAUGAUGCUUGCCAAAGGAGAAAAAUAAAAGGAAUAGAGAGAAAACUUUGACUCUUGCAUAAAAGUAAAAGAUAGGCCCUUCGCAGAGGGCAGCAGAGGUUGUCAUGCAUUUAUUUAUUUGUAUGCUCAAUCCUUUAGUGCAAAAGAACGUCACAUUACAUUGCCCAUUGUGAUAGCGGCCUUUAUUAUGCAGUGUGACGCUUUUAUUCUUUUAUUCUUCACCAUCACAAGUUCGUGCAAUGCUCAAUUUUCUCUUACACUAAAUGAUCUCACACUUUUAGAAGCAAUUUUAUUGCCUUUUUGCACCGAUGACAACUUACUUGAGGGAUCUUGCUCAAUCCCUAGGUAGGUAUGGUGGACAGUUGAAAAUAAGAUUUGGGUUUAAGGGUUUUUGGAUGCACAAGUAGUAUCUCUACUUAGUGCGGAAUUUUUGGCUAGCAAAGAUAGGGGGAAAGCAUCACAUGUUAAAGGAUCCAUGACAAUAUGACUUCUAUGUGAAUAUGAACAAGCAUAAAUCAUUAUGUUGUCUUCCUUGUCCAACAUCAACAAUUUUGGCACAUAAUAUUUUGUUGAGGGCUCUCAAUCACAAAAGAUUUCUAGGAUAGUAUAAAUUUAUAUGUGAAUCUUCUCUUCCCUUAUUAAUUCUUUAAUGAGUUGCAUCAUUAAAUAAUGCUAUGUUUGUCAAUCUCUAAUAAAAUUUUCUACUUAUACUUUUCCUUAUGUGGUGCCAUCACCUACCAUAGGAUUAGUAUAUGAUCUUUUAUUCAUUUAUUUCCUUUCUCUUUUUCUUUCUUUCUUUAUUUUCUUUUAUUUGUAAUAUGAAAGUAAAGAAAGCAAAAACUCAAACUAAACUUUUAUUAUAUAACUUGCACAUGAUUACAAGGAUAGAUCACUAAGCAAACUCUCAAAGAAGAAAGGAUCGAACUAAACUUUUAUUCAUCGAAAGCAAAAGAUCGAACUAAAGAUAGUGGGAUGAUACGAUCCCGGGGCACCUCCCCCAAGCUUGGCAGAAGCCAAGGGGAGUGCCCAUACCCAAUACUUAAUUAUCCUUUGGUGGUGAAGAAGGUGAUGUUGGUGAAGAAGAAGAGAUCUUGUCCUCGGAUUUCCAUGGUAGUGGUCCACCAUCAUAAGGGGAGGAGUGAGUCUUAAGAGUCCUGCAACUAGUAGCCAAACUCAUACCUUUAAACCUUGCCUCAUAUUCAAAGACUUGGUUUUGAAGAUCAUAGAUCUGGCUUUGGAGAAAGUUGAUUUUCUCAUUGAGGGUGAAGAUGAUGUCCUUCAUGGGCUUGCCAUCCACCUUGAGAUCACGGGAAAGGUCCACAAUCAUGAGGUGAUUGGCAUUGAGCCCACACUCCACCACCCCCUUGCACCGGAAGACGUCUUGAUCCACAGCUUCAAGCCUGUCCUCCACGGUUCUCGUCCCCUUGGGACAUGGCACAUCACAAAGGUGAAGCACCCCCUCAUGCAUCUGGAUGAUCUGAGGGUGUUGCACCACCUCCCGCAGAUAUGGGUUGAUGACGUUCUUGAAGAACUUGUCCUUGGAGGAGCUUGAAGAGGCCAUAGUAGAUGGGAUCUGAUAGAAAACAACAAGGAAAAGAGAACAAAGGAUUUUCUAUGCGAUACGGUGAUCAACAGGUUCGGGAAGUAUAUAGAGAUUUUUAUCUCGGGGGACAAGCAAACUGUAGAAAAACAGAGUUUGGAAGGUGUCCCAAGUGGGCACAACCCACCUGGGCGUGCCCUGGUGUCUUGUGCCCACCAGGGGACACUUCCUAGAAGUUUCUUUAUUUCCAAAAUUUUUAAAUAUUCCAAAACUGAUAAAAAAAUUAUUUUUGUGGAUUUUUCGGAGUCCGUUUACUUACCGUAUCACGUACCUCCUUAUUUUCACGAUUCUGGAGUGUUCCGGAAGGACUCUUUUAUGUGUUCUUCCGGUGUCAAAGUUUGGAUAAUAUUACUUUCAACAUUAAUAGGCGUACCUGAGAUAUAAUGUUUUAUACGUUGCGCAUUGACAACCUUCGGGUUAGUACCUUCAGAAUUAUUUAUUUUGAUGGCUCUAGACCGAUAAACCUCCUCGAUGACACAUGGGCCUUCCCAUUUUGAGAGGAGUUUUCCUGCAAAGAAUCUGAAACGAGAGUUGUACAAAAGAACAUAUUCUUCAAAUUUAAACUCACGCUUUUGGAGUCUUUUGUCAUGUCAUCUUUUCACUUUUUCUUUGAAUAUUUUUGCAUUUUCAUAAUCUUGGGUUCUCCAUUCAUCUAGGGAGCUAAUAUCAAAUGACCUCUUUUCACCGGAAAGUUUGAAAUCAUAAUUGAGUUCUUUGAUUGCCCAAUAUGCUUUAUGUUCUAACUCAAGAGGCAAAUGACAAGCUUUUCCAUAAACCAUUUUAUAAGGAGACAUACCCAUAGGAUUUUUAUAUGUUGUUCUAUAAGCCCAAAGUGCAUCAUUGAUACAUCUCCAACGUAUCUAUAAUUUAUGAAGUAUUCAUGCCAAUAUAUUGUCAUUCUUGGAUGUUUUACAAUCAUUUUAUAGAAACUUUAUAUCAUUUUUUGGGACUAACUAUUGACCCAGUGCCCAGUGCCAGUUGCUGUUUUUGCUUGUUUUUUACAUCGCAGAAAAUCAAUAUUAAACAGAGUCCAAACACCGCGAAACUUUUUUGUGAAUUUUUUAUGGACCAAAAGACUCCCAAUGGGCCAAAGCAGCACCUGGGGGGUGCCCCGAGGGGGCACAACCCACCAGGGCGUGCUAGGGCCCCCUGGCGCGCCCAGGUGGGUUAUGCCCACCUCGGUGGACUCCCGUACCCCUUAUUUGCACUAUAAAUUCCCAAAUAUUCCGAAACCCCUCGGGGUUAACCUAGAUCAGAGGUUCCACCGCCGUAGGCCUCCGUAGCCAUCGAAAACCAAUCUAGACCCGUUCCGACACCCUAUCGAAGGGGGAAUCAUCUCCGGUGGCCAUCUUCAUCAUCCCGGCGGCCACCACGAUGAGGAGGGAGUAGUCCACCCUCGGGGCUGAGGGUUUGUACCAGUAGCUAUGUGUUUAAUCUCUCUCUCUCUCUCGUGAUCUAUAUCAUGGGAUUUCUUAAUAUAGUCGGAUCAUAUGAUGUUUCUCCCUCUAUAAUCUUGUUGUGAUAAAUUGAAUCUUUACCAUUUAAAGUUUUGUCAUGUCGGAUUGAAUAUUUAGAGAUGAUAACACAUGAUAUAUGUCUUGCGGUAUGAAUACUUGAGGUGACAAUUGGGGUAUCUUACUGAUUCACUUGAUAUAUGUUAUCGCAUUCAACUCGUGGAUUCCCGCGGUGAUAUUGGGGUUAUCUAUGCAUAGGGGUUGAUGCACGUUUUUAUCCGACGGAAACUUUGGGGUCUCUUUAUAGUUCUUUGUGUGGAUUGAGUAUUAUUAAUAUGAAUAUGCUUUGGUGUUACUCUAGUACGAACUCUAGGAUAGAUCAAACGGAAACAAUAGCUUUGUGUUAUUUUAGUACGAACUCUUGAAUAGAUCGAUCGGAAAGAAUAGCUUUGAGGUGGCUUCGCACCCUACAAACAAUUCCUACCUUUUUUCUCCGCUAAUACACUACAAAAAAGACACAUCCGUGACAUUUUGGGCCGAACGAAAAAAAAA
rnacentral:lncRNA from 1 species